GUGCUCUCCAUGUCGCGCAAGCGUGAGGGAUCCCCGCUAUAGGGUUUGCAAUAUGUUCAUGAUUUGCUUAUGGUGGGUGGCGUGAGUGACAGAAGCACAGACCCGAGUAAGUAGGUUGUUUAUGUAUGGGAUAAAAGGGGACUUGAUGCUUUAAUGCUAUGGUUGGGUUUUUACCUUAAUGAAUCUUUAGUAGUUGCGGAUGCUUGCUAGAGUUCCAAUCAUAAGUGCAUAUGAUCCAAGUAGAGAAAGUAUGUUAGCUUAUGCCUCUCCCUCAAAUAGAAUUGCAAUAGUGAUUAUCGGUCUAGUAACAUAGUCAGUUGCCUACAGACAAUUCCACAACUCCUACUACCACUUUUCCACACUCGCUAUAUUUACUUUUAUUGUUUCUUUAUUUAAACAGCCCCUAGUUUAUGUUUACGUGCUCUUUAUUGUCUUGCAAACCUAGCCUUUCACACCUACAAAGUACUUCUAGUUUCAUACUUGUUCUAGGUAAAGUGAACGUCAAGCGUGCGUAGAGUUGUAUCGGUGGUCGAUGGAACUUGAGGGAAUAUUUAUUCUACCUUUAGCUCCUCGUUGGGUUCGACACUCUUACUUAUCAAAAGAGGCUACAACUAUCCCCUAUACUUCUGGGUUAUCACUAGCCAGGCCAUCCCUCCACUCACCCACCCCCCUAUUAUUCUGCGGUGACGGCAGCCUCACACCACAGCCGAACGAGUGAACCCUCAUACUCCUCUACGCAUGGGCAUCCACUGCCGCGUCUUCCCCGGCUCCCGUCGUCUUCUUCCUAGGCCUCGCCGUCGUCCACCGUCGUGGUGCUCUUGGCGCGGCAUGGUCAAUGUGGUCAACGACCGACUUCCAUCGGAAGAGUACUGUACAUGGAGAGGCUGACAGCCGGGUCCACGGCCACAGCCUAGUUUUUUUGUGAUUUGCCAAGUAUGUCGCUUUGUCAAGCCUGUUGGCCUGCAAAUCUUUCAAGACGAGGAGAGCUUCAUUCGGCUGGCCGAGAAAAUGGCCUAUAAGUAAUGAGAAAUGGGUUGUACAUUUUGAAAACACAUCAAACCGGCAAUUAGUUUCAAAUUUCUUUUUUUCAUUUUGAGAUUUUAAAUUGCAUUGAUUUUUAUGCGUGGACAAUUUGUUGGACUUUAUAUUGACAUACAUUUAUUUUUAAAAUCAGCUUGAAUGUGACUAGAAAUUUUGGGAUUAAAAACAGUUCGGACCACACCGAAAUAUGCAAAAUUUCGUAUAAUUUUUUAACCGUGGCCACAAUAUGGGCUGUGGUGCUAACAAAAAGAAUAUGGGCUCCAAAAAAACCCUUAAGAAUUAGCAAAUGGGCUGUAAAUUAUUAGAAAUAAUGACAGAUGGGUUGUAUGCUGUUUUCCACAGAUUUGAGGCUUUCCUAAAAAAAGGUUGACGCACAAGCAUUGACUACUAGAUUUCCAUCCAACGGUCGUCGUGCUUCUUCAAUCUCUGCUCUUCCUGCUCCAGCCGCUCAAACAAGCAUCGGCGGGACUGCCUGCUCCCUCCUCCCCGCGUCCGGCUGUGCUGCCGCGCAGGCCUCACCGCCCCAUCAUACUCCCAUCGCUGGCCUAGCCAUCCCUCUACUCACCCACACCUGCUGUUAUUCUCCGGCGAUGGAAGACGAACCAGUAAACCCUCGUACAGUCGUACUCCCCUCCGUGUGGGGAACAACUGUCGAGUCUUCCCUGCCUCCGUCUCGUUCCCUUCCUAGGCCUCGCCGUCGUCCAGCGCCCUGGUGCUCUCGGUGCAGCCUGGUCGACAUGGUCAACGACCGACAUGCAUCUGAAGUGGACUGUACGUGGAGAGGCCGACAGCUGGGUCCACAGCCGCACAUAAGGAAAUGCCUCCUUAUUACGCGCAAAAUAAUGAUUCCUCCACCUGACAUCAGGGACCCACCGAAAGGGCCUUUAUAUUUCGUGAAAAAAACGUUACCGCCGCUGACAGCUCAGACCCACCAGCUAUAUCUUUGCACGCAAGGAAUUGCCUCCUUAUUACGCACAAAAAAUGAAUACUCCCCAUGUUAGCUGGGACCCAGUAUUGUGGCAGGCUGACUUGUGGUCCUACUAAGUUGACGGGGACGGAUUGUCAACUUAGUCAAUAUGCACGAUUCUAGCUCCAGUGACUGUACGAUGUGCAUCCAACGGCCAUAGUGCUUCUUCAACCUCUGGUCUUCUUGCUCUAGCCGCCAAAACUAGCGCCAGUCAUGCCGCGUGCUCCUGCCUCUCAUGGCCGGCUCCGAUGCGGCGGAGGCCUCACCGCCGCCUACUACUCCCACCGCUGGCCAGGCCAUCCCUCUACUCACCCACACCCCCUAUUAUUCUGCGGCGGCGGCAGCCUCACACCGCAGCGAACCAGUGAACCCUCGUACUCCUCUAUGCGUGGGCAUCCACUGCCGUGUCUUCCCCGGCUCCACGUCAUCCCCUUCCUAGGCCUCACCGUCGUCCACCGCCCUGGUGCUAUCGACGCGGCAUGGUCAACAUGGUCAAGGAACGGCUUCCAUCGGACGUGAACUGUACGUGGAGAGGCUGACAGCUGGGUCCACGGCCGCAGGAAGGAAGUGCCUCCUUAUUACGUGCAAAACAAUUAUUCCUCCACCUGACAGCUGGGACCCGCCAGACGGGCCACCGUAUUUCGCGAAAAAAACAUUUCCCCCUCACUGCUGGGACCCACCAGCUACAUCUUCGCACGCAAGGAAGUGCCUGACAGUCAGGACCCACCACGUUGAAGCGUACGUAGCGUUGUCAUUCUGGUCGCGAACGUGUACGUACAUAUAUACUAGUGGAUAUCGAGGCGUGCAUGUGUUGUAGUAGAGGCGCGCAUGUGUCGUAGUAGAGGCGCGCACAUAGCAUGUACACGUACGUACAACUGCCAGGGUGCAAGAAAGAAAAUACGGCCACGUAUGUGUACAUACGGGUGGGGUAUCGAACGCCUACUCGCGCAUAUAUACGUACGGCUAGGGCUCUUGUACAUUGGCUGGGUCGAAACGGACAAACAGCAUCGUCGUCAUGUUCAUGGGGAGCCAACCGGCUGGGUUGGAAUGGAAUGCAUGGUCAUGUUCAUCGGGAGGCCUUGGACGGAACAGGCGAUGGAAACGAGGCAUGGCGUACCGCAGAACGGAGGAAUCAGCCUUGUGUUUGACCGACCAUGUUCAAAACGGGAUCCUGUUCAUCAGGAGAGGUCUGGCGUAACGCAAAACGGAGGAAACGGACCUCCUACAGUCGAAACGGGGGUCCUGUUGAUCGGGAGGGGUGUGGCGUACCACAAAAUGGACGAAACAGACUUGUGUUGGAGCGCUACGGUCGAAACGGGGGUCCUGUUCAAUGGGAGGGGUGUGGCGUACCACAAAACGGGACUCCAUGGGAUACCGUUCAUCUCCACCGUCGACCUCCUCCAGCCUCCACGGGCUACUGUUCAUCCACCGUCGACCUCCUCCAGCCUCCACCUGUGACUCUUCAUCCACGAGCUCCUGUUCAUCCAGCCUCCAACGCGCGCUACUCCACCGGCUACUGUUCAACCACCCCUCUCCACGGGCUCCUGUUCAACCACCCCUCCACGGGCUACUCUUCAUCCACCCCUCCACUGUCUACUAUUCAUCCAGCCCUCCACAGGGUCGUCCUGUUGAUCCAGCCCUCUACGGGGUCCUGUUCAUCCAGCCCCAACCGGCUCGAUCGAUCGGGGUCCUGUUCAUCUAGAGGCAACGCCACAGGUCUUGUUCAUCCACUCCCAUCGCUCACUGNNNNNNNNNNNNNNNNNNNNNNNNNNNNNNNNNNNNNNNNNNNNNNNNNNNNNNNNNNNNNNNNNNNNNNNNNNNNNNNNNNNNNNNNNNNNNNNNNNNNNNNNNNNNNNNNNNNNNNNNNNNNNNNNNNNNNNNNNNNNNNNNNNNNNNNNNNNNNNNNNNNNNNNNNNNNNNNNNNNNNNNNNNNNNNNNNNNNNNNNNNNNNNNNNNNNNNNNNNNNNNNNNNNNNNNNNNNNNNNNNNNNNCAUCCAGAGAGGCAGCAUCGAUCGGCUUCAAUUGGCAGCAGUAGCGAAGGAAUCGAUUGCUCGAGUUCAGUUAACAGCCAUCGAUCGAUCGCUCGGGUUAGAGCCCAACGCCUCGCUCGGGUUCAGUUAGAGCCAACGCCUCACACACAUGCGCGUACAUGUAUGAGAGAAGCGUGCAUCGCUCGGCCCCCGACCACCCACCUUAACCGGGAACUUCCCAACAUUUUCCUUGCCCUCGCUUCUACCACGGUUUUUUUCGUCAUGGACGGCUCAAGGAAUGUCAUGCAGCUGCGUCUCCGGACCGCGCAGGAUGAAAAGCCCAUUUUCUGUCAUGAUUUUUUGUCAUAGAAGUAAGAGCCCACCACAUCUAUGAUGAUACCAGGUUUUGUCACAAUUAUCGUCAUAGAAGUGUCAUAUGUAUGACAGAAAAAAAAUUCAUUCGGCCCAAAAUGUCACGGAUGUGUAUUUUUUUGUAGUGUAUUAACGGAUCCAUGUUGUUCUAUCCAGAAUGGCCAGGAGAGGUAAUCGUGGUCAUGGUCGUGGUGAUGACAACCCACCCCGUCCGCCAUAUGUUUGCGCAAUGAUGGCACGAUUUGAGCUGAACCGUCAGUUUAUCGAAGGAAUCAUGAACCAGUUCCCAAACCAGAACAACCAGCAUCAGCAUGGGCAAGUUACACUUUAGGACUUUACACGCCUCAAUCCAGCUAUCUACCGCACCUCAACUAACCCACUUGAUGCUCAUGACUAGCUUGUCACAUCACCUUCGAGCUAGAGUCUGCAGUGUUUCCCCUGCCAACUAUGUCACCUUUGCGGUGUACCAUCUGAAGGGUCCAGCUGCACAAUGGCGAGAUAGCCACAAGGGUAUGCUGCCUGUUGGUACCGUCUUCACACGGGAGGUUCUCAUACAACAAUAACCAUCAAGCUAGCAUGAAGAUGGCCCCCUUCAAAGUGUUAUAUGGACGGAAGUGCCGAACUCCUCUGAAUUUGUCGGGGCUCUAGGACCGAAGGUACCCAGGCCCGUCUGCCUACGGCCCAUCGCGUGUCAUCGUCAAAGGCUUGUUGUGAGGCAAACAACAUCGAGGCGUCCUCUAGGGUGGUCUCCCGAGGUUGCCUUAUGAGGCCCCUCGAGGGCCGGACAUCUCUAGGCCCGCCACCCCGCCUCAUGAGGUGCAUGGUGACGUGAGCCAUGACGAGCGGGGCCAGGCGGGCGCCAGCAGGCACAGGCAAGGACACUUUCCUCUUUGGUUCUAAGGAGGCAAGGACGUACGCGCGUUCCCGAGGAAUCCCCCAAAGGUUGCCAUUCCGGUGCACCGCGACCAAGACCACGAACUCAUUAGGACGGAGGUCAUCACCGAGCCCACCUCUGCGUCAUGACCAAAAGCUUUGCAGGCGAACACCACCUUUAGUCAGGAUAGGGUGUACUACUAUCUCCCUUCAAAACGGGCUGCUGUGGUAUCCCUUCCCACCUAGAGCCUUGGGGGGACAGGACCGGGCGAGUAUAAGUACAGGCCAGCCUCCAUGUAAUGCCCCGGAUACAACUUUCCAUAUUCGUAACUCCAAAUCUUGCCUUUUCCGGAGAUGUGAUUUAUUAUUUUCUUCGUGGUUGGGUUUUGUCUUUUGUUUUGCAUUUUGUUCAUGUCAUGCAUCUCAUCUCAUGGCAUCAUGUGCAUUGCAUCCGCAUAUUUUCAUAAAACUCGCACCCAUUCGUAGUUGUCGCGUUCCCUUUGCCUCCUUUGACCGUUCCGAGACCAACCGGGUUUUUUGAGUCCCUCUUGGCUGACCAUCUAACCUCUCUGCACAACCACCAAACCCCCCUCUUGCGCGCGUCCGAAAACUGCUCCGAACUUGAACCGGGCUGUUGUGACCAUUGGGUUCGGAUCAUCCCUAAACAUCUAUAAAACAUCUCCGUUUUCUUAAUUGGACUUCCCUAGCCAUAUUUUUUGUCCGCCCAAUCCUGAUCCGAUGAUCCAAAUCCUCCCUCCUUUUACCUACCUGCUAUAUAAGCAGUCUAACCCUAGGCCUAGUUGUCCCAUCCAUCAAAUCCUCCGCGCCGCCGCCACCCACUGACCAUCUCCCUCGGGAUCCCUCAAGAUCCACCCACCUGGUCUCCCCCUUCCUCGGGGUUUGCCCGAUCCAUCCAAUCGAUCUGGCCAACCACCACCUCCUCUCCCUUGAAUUCCCCAUCGAGCUAACUGGCGCCCGCGAUCGUCUCGCCUUCAGCCACCCACCAACCAGAGCAACCAGCCCCUCCUUGUGCUUGAGGCCUCCCAAGCCGCUCCUCGUCGGACUUCUCCCGCGGCAGCUCUAGCCCUGCCUCGUCGCCGUCCAGAGCCACCUCGUCCCCUCACCCCCGAGCUCCCUCACAUGGCGGCCUCGCGCCACCAGAGUCAAGCCGCCGGCUGCCCGAGUCCCAUGUGCCUCUGCCUCGAGGGCCUCCUCGUCCCCAACUAGCAUCGCCACCUCCUUCCUCUGCAACGAGCAGGACCUCGCCUGCUUGUCCCGCUCGAGCACCCCGUCGACCAGGCCAGUGCUCCGUCGUCCCGUGCCCUUCCCUCUCCUUCCUUCUCCCAUCUUGUUUCGUCUUCCUCCUCGUCGCGCGGAUCUAGGAGGCUCGCCGCCCAGCCGCAUCGCCCUAUUGCCGCACCUGCAUCUCCAUGAGCUGCUCGCCGUCGUCCUUCAUCCCGCAGCCUCCCCGCUCUCCUUGUUGAUGCAGCGAGACGAGCUCCUCCCGAAGGCCAGCAACGAGCACGCCGCCCCUCCGGGUCGACCUCUUGCCGUCUCCUUCUUCCUCUCGUGCUCUCUCUGUCCCUUCAUCUGGUUUCUCUCUCUCUUACCUUCUCCCUCUCCAGGACCUCCAAGAUGCCAUGGACAGCCUCCCCGCCACCUGUUGUCUCCGUUCACGGCAAGCACCGCUGCUGCCUUGCUCGCCCGCGUGAAGACCUCGCCUCCGCCUGUUUCCCCGUCCCCGGCGCCAUCUGUAGCUGCGCCGAGCCACCGCCGUGGCUCUGCUUCCUGUCGAGCAGAGGAGCCCACUCGCCCGCGUUGACCGCGGCCACUCCACGCGCGGGCCACGAUCCUCCCGUGGCCCCGCUCCCAUCUCCACCGACUGGGCCAGAGCCCAUGGUGAGGCCACCCCCAGCCCCUCCUGUGCACUGUUGGCCCAGCAAGUUUCGGCCCGAUACAUGUUUUUUCCUCCGUUGCAAUUUCUCUAUUGUCCAGGGUUUACGAUUUACAGAAAAGUCCCCCAUGUUCAUGCAUUUAAUAACUCAACAACCAUGCAUCGGAUUAAAAUGAUUUAAACAUGUAAAAUGCUUAGAAAUUUAUCUAGUUUCAUAAUCUUCUACUUUCAUCUAUGUUUGAAAUGUUUAAACUUGUUGCUUGAUUAAUUUUGCUUAAAUGCCAUGUUAAAAUGAUUUAUUUCAUAACUAAAUAACCGUAGCUCCAAUUUUAAUAAACUUUAUAUGUAAAUGGGGUGGAAAAAUGCAUAGAUUAACUUGGUGCACUUUGUUUUACUGUUUAACAACAUUAAAAUAUGGUUUAGGGCAGAACAGUACCAAUUUCGAAAUAUGGACAUGGGGAUUUUCCAAAAUUGUUGUUUGUUGUUUCGGCCUCAUUUAAAUUUGCCUAGAUAGGUAGUUUUAUUAUGUUUCACCUCUUUCCAUGGUUAACAACAUUUAAUAUUGUUGUGUACCUAAACAAGAGCGAACUAAAUUACUCGAAUGUGGUGUUUCAUCAAUAUGCAACUCGUUGCAUAUUGAGCUCCACUUAACUUGUAGUAUUGUUUGUUGCACUUUGUCAUGCCAUGCCUCUUUAAACCGGACAUGCAUCAUAGUUGGUUGUGCAACAUGCCUUGUUCAUGUGUUGUUUGUUUACUAUGCUGUUUGCUUCUUUCCGGUUGUGCUUCUUCUCGAUAGUUCCUAUUUCGUUGCGAUCGUGAGAAUUCGUUCGACUACGCUUGGUUCGUCUUCGACCGUUCGUCUUCUUCACGGACUCGUUCUUCUUCCUAGCGGUAUUUUAGGCAAGAUGACCAUUAUCCUGGAUCUCACUACUAUCAUUGCUACGCUAGUUGCUUCGUUCUAUCUCUAUGUUGCGCUACCUAUCUCUUGUUGAUCAAGCCUCCUAAUUUGCCAUGUCAGCCUCUAACCUUUUUUCACCCUUCCUAGCAAACCGUUGCUUGGCUAUGUUACCGCUUUGCUCAGCCCUUCUUAUAGCGUUGUUAGUUGCAGGUGAAGUUGAAGAUUGCUCCAUGGUGAAUAGGAUUAUGUUGGGAUAUCACAAUAUCUCUUAUUUAAUUAAUGCAUCUAUGUACUUGGUAAAGGGUGGAAGGAUCGGCCUUAUGCCUGGUGUUUUGUUCCACUCUUGCCGCCCUAGUUUCCGUCAUACCGGUGUUAUGUUCCUUGAUUUUGCGUUCCUUACACGGUUGGGUGAUUUAUGGGACCCCCUUGACCGUUCGCUUUGAAUAAAACUCCUCCAGCAAGGCCCAACCUUGGUAUUACCAUUUGCCUCACCUAAGCCUUUUUCCCUUGGGUUUCCGGAGCCCGAGGGUCAUCUUUAUUUUAACCCCCCCGGGCCAGUGCUCCUUCAAGUGUUGGUCCGAACCGAGCAACCUGUGGGGCCACCUCGAGGAAACUUGAGGUCUGGUUUUACUUGUAGCUUGACUUAUCUGUUGUGCCCUGAGAACGAGGUACGUGCGACUCCUAUCGGGAUUUGUUGGCACAUCGGGCGGCUUUGCUGGUCUUGUUUUACCAUUGUCGAAAUGUCUUGUAAACCGGGAUUCCGAGACUGAUCGGGUCUUCCUGGGAGAAGGAAUAUCCUUCGUUAACCGUGAGAGCUUGUGAUGGGAUAAGUUGGGACACCCCUGCGGGGUAUUAUCUUUCGAAAGCCGUGCCCGCGGUUAUGUGGCAGAUGGGAAUUUGUUAAUGUCCGGUUGUAGAGAACUUGACACUUGACUUAACUAAAAGGCAUCAACCGUGUGUGUAGCCGUGAUGGUCUCUUUUCGGCGGAGUCCGGGAAGUGAACACGGUUUUGGCUUAUGUUUGACGUAAGUAGGAGUUCAGGAUCACUUCUUGAUCAUUGCUAGCUUCACGACCGUUCUGUUGCUUCUCUUCUCGCUCUUAUUUGCGUAUGUUAGCCACCAUACUUGCUUAGUCGCUGCUGCAACCACACCACUUUACCCCUUCCUUACCCACUGAGCUUUGCUAGUCUUGAAACCCAUGGUAAUGGGAUUGCUGAGUCCUCGUGGCUCACAGAUUACUACAACAACGGUUGCAGGUAUAGGUUAUGCGAUGAUCACGACGCAAGAGUUAUGUUUGCUUGUUUUGGAGUUCUUCUGCUUCUUCUUUGAUCAGGGGAUAGGUUCCAGGUCGGCAGCCUGGGCUAGUAGGGUGGAUGUUGUCUGAGCUUCUAUUUGUGUUUCAUCCGUAGUCAGAUGUUGAUAUGGUGUAUGAUGUAUUGUUGUGUUCGUGUGGCAUUGUAUGCCUCUUGUAUGUAUCCCCAUCUAUUAUGUAAUGUUGAUGUAAUGAUAUCCAUCUUGCAAAAGCGUAUCAAUAUGCGGUUCUAUCCUUGGUGGGACCUUCGAAUCUCUUUAGGAUAGUAUCGCAUAUUGGGCGUGAUACUCCACCAUAGAGAAAGGCCGGAAAACCACCAAAUCAAUUCACCCCUUGAGCCCUCACAAGGCAACUCAUCCUUGUACUAGUUCAUACUCAUCCUCCAUGUGAGGCAAUCCACAACAAAAGAAGGAGUAGGGUCUUACGUCGCAAGGUGGCCGAACCUAGGUAAAUUAUUGUGUACCUUUCUUCUUAUGCUCACUCAAGCUAGACGGAGCAAGGCCAUGAGGUGGUGAGCAGCAAGUCAUAGCCUAGCAGAGUCCUUCAUGCACGCCCGGGAGUUCGAACCUUUCUUGGGUCUGUGGAGCCCCGAUUCUGACAGAAUUGGUCAGAAACUGGGGAAUGGUCACUCUUCAUUCUGGAUAUUAUCCAACAUGACGAAGAACAAGUCCACAUUAUUCUCAAGAAUCUGAAGACAGAUCAGUCUCAUCAGAAGAGUCAGUAUGACCGUCAUCACAAAGAUAUGGUCUAUCAACCUGGAGAAAAGGCUUACCUUCGAGUCACACCGAUGAAAGGUGCUCAAGCUUCAAGAUCGAGGGCAAGCUAGCUCCUUGCUACAUUGGUCCUUUCCUAGUUCUCGAAAGACAUGGAAAAGUGGCAUGCCAAUUGGAACUGUCAUCGAACCUUUCUCAGGUUCACAAUGUCUUUCAUGUGUCACAGCUUUGCUGCUUUUUCAAGGACCCAUCCGAGCAGUGGACCAUGAAGUGCUCGAAUUACAACAAAGCAUCUCUUAUAAAGAGCUUCCGGUCCGCAUUCUCGACCAACCUAAAUGUCGUACCCGUCAGAAGACAAUCAAAUUCCUUAAAGUCCAGUGGUCAAACCAUUCUGAAGAUAAAGCCACUUAGGAAUGUGAGGAUCGUUUUCUUGAUGAAUACCCCGCCUUGUUCCCGUCUACCUCCUAAAUCUUAGGACGGGAUUUCUUGUAGUGGAGGAGAUUUGUAACACACCAAUAAUCAAGCUACAGUAACCUCACCCUCAUGUGCCAUGUCAUCAAGUUUUGUUAAGCCAAUUUUCCACUUGAUGAAAAUCAGAGUCAAAUCUAAAUUUCAAAUAACAAGUCAAAUUCUUAUUUCUUCAAACUGUCAAAUAAAAAUACUUGAUGGGUUGCAAAUAUCCGCUAACAAAUUGUCAUGUAAGAAUCAACAUUUUUCAAAAUAUUAAAAUGCCCCUAAGCUAUUUAUGACUGGACCAUAAGCUUUUAAUUGAAACGAUUCAAUUUAAAUAAAUAUGCAAACUUUUCAAACUAAGUUGGAACUCUUUGUGCUAACUUAGUAUAUAUGGCCUAAUAAUUGCAUACAGGUUUUCAUAUUCAAUAAUUCUGGUAUUUAAUUAAAGUACAAAACAGAAAAUAACAACAAAAAGAAAACAUAAAACAACGAAUAAAAGAGACACAUAAAACCCUCCUUAGUGGGCUCUAAGUCCACAUGGGCCGGCCCAGUCAAUGUGGAUGGUUUCUCCUUCCUUGCUAUAGGAGAGAGGCAGGGCAGUGGCAUGGCGUGAUAACCCACAAGUAUAGGAGAUCGCAACAGUUUUCGAGGGUAGAUUAUUCAACCCAAAUUUAUUUAUUCGACACGAGGGGGGCCAAAGAAUAUUCGUGAGUAUUAGCCAUUGAGUUGUCAAUUCAAGCACACCUAAAAGACUUAAUAUAUGCAGCAAAGUUUUUAGUAGAAAAGUAGUAUGGAAGUAACAGUAACAGUGGUAAAAGUAAUAGUAGCAGUUUUGUAGUAAUCAUAACAGUGGCAACGGCAAAGUAACUUAGCAAAGAUCAAUAUAUGAAAAGCUCGUAGGCAUUGGAUCAACGAUGGAUAAUUGUGUUGGAUAAUAUUCAUCAUGUAGCAGUCAUAACCUAGGGUGACACAGAACUAGCUCCAAUUCAUCAAUGUAAUGUAGGCAUGUAUUCCGUAUAUAGUCAUACGUUCUUAUGGAAAAGAACUUGCAUGACAUCUUUUGUCCUACCCUCUCGUGGCAGCGGGGUCCUAAUGGAAACUAAGGGAUAUUAAGGCCUCCUUUUAAUAGAGAACCGGAACAAAGCAUUAGCACUUAGUGCAUACAUGAACUCCUCAAACUACAGUAAUCACCGGAAAGAAUCCCAAUUAUUGUCACUUUGGGGUAUGCGGAUCAUAACUCGUAAUAGGUUUCUAUAAGUUGCAAGAUAGGAUCAAGAACACACAUAUAUUCAUGAAAACAUAAUAGGUUCAGAUCUACAAUCAUGGCACUCGGGCCCUAGUGACAAGCAUUAAGCAUAGCAAAGUCAUAGCAACAUCAAUCUCAAAACAUAGUGGAUACUAGGGAUCCAAUCCUAACAAAACUAACUCGAUUAAAUGAUAAAUCUCAUCCAACCCAUCACCGUCCAGCAAGCCUAUGAUAGAAUUACUCACUCCCGGCUGUGAGCAUCAUGAAAUUGGUGAUGGAGGAAGGUUGUUGAUGAUGAUGGCGAUGGAUUCCACCCUCUAGAGCCCCGAACGGACUCCAAAUCGGCCCUCCCGAUGAAGAACAGGAGGUGGCGGCGGCUCCGUAUAGUAAAACGGAUGAAUCCUUCCCACUAAUUUUUUUUCUCUGUGAAUAGGUACUUAUAGAGUUGGAGUUAGGGUUGUAGGCGGUCUAGGGGCCCCACAAGCCUGGGAGGCGCACCCUGGGGGGUAGGCACGCCCCCAGGGCUUGUGGCCUCUGGGUGGACCCCUCUGGUAUUUUUCUACCAGUAUUUUUAAUAUAUUCCACAAAAAUUCUCUGUAAAUUUUCAAGUCAAUCCGAGAACUUUUAUUUCUGCACAAAAAUAACACCAUGGCAAUUCUGCCGAAAAUGGCGUCAGUCUGGGUUAGUUCCAUUCAAAUCAAGCAAAUUAGAGUCCAAAACAAGGGCAAAAGAGUUUGGAAAAGUAGAUACGAUGGAGACGUAUCAACUCCCCCAAGUUUAACCCGUUGCUUGUCCUCAACCAAUUUAGUUGACAAACUGAAAGUGACAAAGAAAACUUUUACAAACUCUAUUUGAUCUUGUUGUUGCAAAUAUGUCUAGCCAAUGUUCAGGUUUUCAGUAAAGAUUAUGAACCAACCAUAUUCACAAUAAUGUUAAGGUCUCACAUUUACUCAUAUCAAUAGCAUAAUCAACUAGCGGGCAAUAAUAAGAUAUCUCAGAUGACAACACUUUUUCAAAACAAUCAUGAUAUAGUAUAGCAAAAUGGUAUCUCGCUAGCCCUUUCUGAGAUCGCAAAAUAUAAAUGCAGAGCACCCUUCAAGAUCAAGCACUGACUAGACAUUACAAGUCAUGGCAAAAGAGAUCUAGUCACACUAAUACUCAACAUCAAUUAAAAACAAAGCAUAUAAAUGACAAUAGUGCUCUCCAGCUGGUGCUUUUAAUAAUAAGAUGAUGACUCCACAAUAAAAGUACCUAGAUAUGCCCUUCACAGAGGGAAGCGGGGAUUUACAGAGGUGCCAGAGCUCGAAGCUUUUAAAAUAGAGAUGGCUAUAAUUUUGAGAGGCAUGCUUUCAUUGUUAACAUAACAACCAAGAGAAUUCUCACUAUCUUCCAUGGUAGACAUAUUAUAGGCGGUUCCCAAACAGAAUGGUAAAGUUUUUACUCCCCCUCCACCAACAAACACACUCCACAGCUAGCUGCAUCCAUGGGUACCAUCCAUACCAACAACAGUCCCGGGGGAGUUUUGCUUCAUUAUUAUAUUUGAUUUAAUAUUGAGCAUGGAAUUGGGCAUCCCGAAUACCAGCCUCUCUGGUGAAUGACAAGUGAAUAAACACUCAUCAUGAGAAUAACCUAAUGGAAAUAUCCCCUAGAGGCAAUAAUAAAGUUGUUAUUAUUAUAUUUCCUUAUUCAUGAUAAAGGUUUAUUAUUCAUGCUAUAUAAUUGUAUUGAUCGGAAACUUAAAUACAUGUGUGGAUACAUAAACAAAUACCGUGUCCCUAAUAAGCCUCUACUAGACUAGAUUGUUGAUCAAAGAUGGUUAAGGUUUCCUAAACAUGGACAUGUGUUGUCACUUGAUAACGGGAUCACAUCAUUAGGAGAAUGAUGUGAUGGACAAGACCCAUCCCUUAGCUUAGCAUAUGAUCGUUCAGUUUAUUUAUACUGCUUUCUUAAUGUCAAAUACAUAUUCCUUCGACUAUGAGAUCAUGCAACUCCCGGAUAUCGGAGGAAUACCUUGUGUCCUACCAAACAUCACAACACAACUGGGUCCUCAUAAAGAUUCUCUACAUGUAUCUCCUAAGGUGUUUGUUGAGUUGGCAUAGAUCAAGAUUGGGAUUUGUCACUCCAUGUAUCAUAGAGGUAUCUCUGGGCCUUCCUGGUAAUACACAUCACAAGAAGCUUGCAAGCAAAGUGACUAAGGAUUUAGUUACGAGAUGACGUAUUACCGAAUGAGUAAAGAGACUUGCCGAUAACGAGAUUGAACUAGGUAUCAAGAUACCGACGAUCAAAUCUCAGGCAAGUAACAUAUCGAUAGACAAACAAAAUUAUGUAUGUUGUCAUAAAGGUUUAACUGAUAAAGAUCUUCGUAGAAUAUGUAGGAACUAAUAUGGACAUCCAGGCCCUGCAAUUGGUUAUUGACUGGAGAGGCGUCUCGUUUAUGUCUACAUCAUUCUCGAACCCGUAGGGUCCGCACGCUUAACAUUCGUUGAUGAUAUAGUAUUGUAUGAGUUAUGUGAGUUGAUGACCGAAUGUUGCUAGGAGUCCCGGAUGAGAUCACAGACAUAAAGAGGAGCUAUGUAAUAGUUCAGAGGUAAAGAUUUAUAUAUAGGAAGAUGCCAUUUGGUCAUCGGAAAGGUUUUGGGAUGUACCAGGUAUUAAUCGGGUCACCAAAAGGGGUUCCGGGAGACCUACGGGGAGUAUAUGGGCAUAAUGGGCCAAGGGGAGGCACACACCAGCCCACAAGGAUCUGGUGUGCCCUCUCCCUAGCCGCCGGCCCUAGGGAAGGAAAGGGGGGCUAGCCCCUCCCGCCUUCCCCUCCUCAUCGGAGAAAGGAAAGGGGGGCGCUAUUGGGGAACGUUGCAUGGGAAACAAAAAAUUUCCUAUGUCAGUACAAAAAAAAUACACUUCCGUGAUGAUAUGUGUUUGUCACAGUAGGUCACAUUUUCUGUCAUGCAUGUACAUCCAUGACGAUUUUAUGACAGAAUCAAGAUAGUCAUACCUGUGCUGUCGUAGAAGUGUUCCAUGAUAGUACCAAAAUUAUCAUCACAGAAGUGUCCACUUCCAUGACAAUAAAUCGCGCACAACAGAAGUGAUUUCGUUAAGGGUGACUGACACAUGGCAUCCACCGUAACGGAAUGUCGUUAAGCUAUCGGGUCCAGUUUUGGAUCCGAUAACCCGUUAACAGCCCCGACCAAUGGGGAUUUUCCACGUGUAAAAUCAUCAUUGGCUGGAGGAAACACGUGUCGGCUCACCGUUGGGACAGAUGUCGUCCACUCAUUGGACCCAAGGUGCCUAUGAUACAUCGACACAUGGCACGGCCCAACAGAGGUCCAUUCCUGUGAAAAGGCCAGCCCGUAUGGCUUGGUCAAAAGGUGGCGAGUCGGCCCAUGGAAAGCCUGUUAAGGGCUUGUUCGCAUAUAGCCCAUUUACAGCCCGCUAACCCAGGGCCCGUUAGGACCUCUCCGAAUUAGGCCUAGUAGCGUCAUGUGGGCCAUCCAAUAUGAUUCCAACCCAUUUUAACUUCUGGCCCAUGUAUGGCCCAUGAUGACUUUCGGCACAUAUGGGGCCCUUUGUAACUCUUGGCCAAUUAACGGCCCAUGGUGAAACUGGCCCGUAAUGAGCAGCGUAUCACUUUAUACCCAUUAACGACCCAUUAUUCCCUUGGGCCGUUUCCAUCCCAAGUUAUCUUUUGGCCUUCUCAGGGCGCAUUUAUUCUUGGGCUCAUUUCCAGCAUUCGGUUACUUACGGCCCCUUACUGUCAUUUCCUUCUUGUGGGCCAAAUUCAGCCCGUCGUUAUAGUCGUCCCGUUUGUGGCCCGUUAAUACAUUGGGCCAUUUUCAUGUCAAAAAAACCCGUUGGGCUGUUUUCAUAGAGUUAUCAAAUACGACCUAUUAACGGCCCGUUAUGGUCCACGGAUAGUACGGCCCAUGAUUGGCGAAAUGAUGAUAUGCCCCGUCGAAGGCCCAUAAAAGGCCCAUGGAUCGUACGACCCGUAGAAGGCCCAUGGAUCCUAUGGCCCGUAAACGGUCCAUGGAUCAUACAGCCCGUAGAAGUCCCAUGGAUCGUAUGGCCCGUAGAUGGCGCAUGGAUCAUACAGCCCGUAAAAGGCCCAUGGAUCCUACAGCCCGUAUAGAAGGCCAAUGGAUCCUACGGCCCGUAGAAGGCCCAUGGAUCAUACGGCCCGCAGGAGGCCCAUGGUUACAAUAGUCCGUGUGUUGCCAUGAUUAUUUUGGCCUAGUUUCCAAAAAUAGGUUAUUGCGGCCACUAGAAAAACACAGAAAAAGAACUGCAGUGACUACAAGCAAACAACUAAACAAGACAAUAAGGAAAUAAAUAAGCAAGCAAUUAAUGCUAGCCUAUUACCGCUAUUACGCAUAUUACAUCCACUGGGCAUCAAAGUUUGCUACCAGUGCAAAUAUAGGGAACAAAAUAGUAUAUUACAUACACUGGCCGUAAAAAUUGGCCACCAGUGCAAAUAAAUGGGGCAGCAAAACAAGAGCAUAACUGAAACAACUUCAGAAGAGCUCAAGAAACGUUAUCUUAGGUAUCCACCAUGUUGGCAAUAAGCUUAGCAAGCUUAUUAGCUUUGUCCUGGUUGGCGCUAAAAUCCUCCAACGCUUGUUGUUGCACCAGAAAGUAUGCAUCUGAAUGCUCCAGGGACUUCUGCGGUCCUUCCGCUUCUUAUCACGGCACAACUGAUCAAUGUCUUUCAGCUUGUAGUUGAGACUCAAGAAACCGAACUGAUUCAGACAGUGAGUUUGAAUAGCUUGUGCAAGCGGUAGUGGCCAGUAACUCGAACACUAAACCAAGACAGGACUUUGGGGUUGUCUCACUGUCUUCAAGAUAGUCUUCCUUAGUUGUUUAAUCAGCUUUGUUGGAGACCAACAAGGAUGUCUCACUAUCCUAAACCUUAUAUGCAUUACUUCCUUUACCAUUUCUUAAUAAGGCACUCUUCCCCAAUAUUCUGUCAGCAUUCUAAAAGAAGAAACAAGCAGACACAUAACAGGUUUAGCAUGUAGUAGUAUAUGAAACUCAUUUCGGUGAACCAGUUCAUUAGUAAGGUGGACAGGAUUAAACUACCAAGUCUUCUAUUGCCAGUACUAGUACAUAAUAAAAGCAUCAAACAAACAUAUAUCUACCUAUGGUCACGGCAUUGUCUUGCCAAAUCAAAAUAGAGACACGGUUCAAAUCAUAUCAGUUCAAGACAAAGCAGCAGUGAAAGAAUACAAAGCGUGGGAAACUACAUUGCACCCAACAAGACUUCAGAUGGGUACCACGGGUCUACAUGUACAACAACACUAUUGGCUCUAUUGUGAUGCUAGUAAUGUGCAUGAUAUGAGAAGUCAACUAUAUACACAAUUGAAAUUGAAAUCAAGAGCUAUUGAUAAGAGCAAGCCUGUUAAACAAACAUGUGUGAACAUACCUGUUGUGCCAUUGGAGUUUCGAUUGGAUCCUUCAAUUUAAAAAUAAGUUUGUAUGAGUAACUCUAGUGAUACAAGAGCAAAGCAGCAUGCACGAUAGCAAUCAUAGUUAAAAAAGGUGCACCUAAGCGAGCGCUUAAGCACACCUAGGCUUUAGGCGUUGGCAAAACGCAUUGCGCAUAAGUACGCUUAAUCUGUGCAUAACUGUGCAUAAGCAUGCGCUUUGGUCAGUAAAGCGCAAGGCGGUGGUAAAACGCACAAUUAACGCCUAACACUUUUUUGAACUAUGAUAGCAAUGGAAUCUUAAAUUAGAAUAGUUGUUCUUCAGGUUUAGGAACUUGUUCUACAUGAACAGAGUACAGUAAGACGCAAGAAUAUAGUACUUAAAAAAUAUAAAAUGAGCUCAUAGACCUUACCACAUUCUUGGUUCGGGACCAGUACAGAACAAGGCGUUCCCAGUCAUCGUCCAGUAAAUGUUUCUCAGGAGAACGUAAGGGAAUUUUAUGAGUUUCUUUGUCGGUGAAGUACGUCUUCUUCAGGUAAUUCCGAUACUGCCACCAAGCAUUCUUGAAGAUAGCAGAGGUAUUAGCACAGGUUACCUCAUCCUGAGUUUCCAAAUCGGUCCUUCUCUACAGAGAAAAAUGAGAAAAUUUGAUGCAUUAUAACCAUCAUGGAGGUAGGAUGUAUGGGACAAAGCAAAGUAAUUGCCAUGAAUAACAUUACUUACACAUAACUCCUUGACAAACACCUGCAAUUGGCAUUUUCCUUCAUCUUUAGUAUAAUAUUUCCAAGAUGGGAAGAUACACACAUACGAUUUAAGAACAUCAAAUGCAAUAGAUGCUAAACUACGACUAGAUGGUUGUGCUUCAUCCAUGGGAAUAGGCGUACUAACUGGUGGAGUUGGGGUUUGCCGUGGUAGUACUGGCACUUUGGGCACUGGAGCUGCCUUACUAACUGCUCUUGUUUGGGAGCUCCAUGGUAGAGAUGGUGCUAUGUCAACAGGAAUUGGGUUACUAUCUGCUGGAGUUGGGGUUAGAUUGGGUGAAGCUAGUUCUCUGUCUAUCGUAGUAGGGGUACAAUCUGCGAGAGUUUGGGUUAUGUGUGAUAGGGUUGGUUCUCGUGCAUGUACAACCGGGGUGCUAUCUCCACGAAGAGGCAGCACUGUUUUAUUUGAAGACCGUGUUUGUAGUCGCUAGAUACUGGAAUCACUCGCUCCAAUUCAAAUGGCUGAUAAACAGGAAACAUAGUUGAGUGUACAGACAUUGUAUGAGAGACAUAUGCAAUAGAUAGUGUGGAAAAAAGAGGGAAUGAAAUAGUUGACAUGUAUAUUGUUUAACUAAAACGGAUAGCAUGACAUAAUUUCACAUAUAUGAUGUCUAUCUAAACUGGAUAGCAUAGCAUAACAUAAUUCAAAGAUAUGAUCAAUAACUAAAUAGGAUCGCAUGACAUAAUUCACCUACAUGUUAUCUAAGUAAUCAGGAUUGCAUCAUUUAAUUCACAUAUGUGAUUUAUAUGCUAAACAGAGGGCAUUCAAUAUGAUGUCUGAACUAAGAACAUGGUGUUGAAUAUUGUGUAUAUGAUGUCUAAACUAUGCAAUGCAAGACACCAUAUGCUUGAUAUGAGCAGUAUAACCAUGCCAAGUUAGAGCAUACACUUCGGUGGGGGAAUAGGACUAGUCAUCUGUCUCUGAAUCCGUCUCUGAGGAGCUAUCGGGACCCAACAAGAGAUCUGCUUCGACAGGUAGCACUGUCUGCUCUGAAGGCCUUGUUUUCACUCCAGAUUUUUCCAUCUCCCACCCAAAUGGCUGAUUCACAGGAAGAGUAGUUUAAUGUACAAACAUUGUCAACAAAUGGAAAUGUAAUGAAGAAAGGGAUGGGCAAGAUAUCAUCAAAAUAUAUGAUGCUUUGUUAAACAGGAUGGCAUUGCACAUUUCACAUAUAUUAUGGCUGGCUAAAAGACAUGAGACUACAUAAUUCUCAUAUAUGAUAUAGAAACUAAACAGGUGGCAUUACAGAACAUGUCUAAACUAAGCAAAUGACAUAUAUGAUGUCAAAAGUAGGCACUGUAAGGCAACAUAUGCAUGAUAUGACUAACAUCAUCAUGGCAAGGUAGAGCAAACACCUUGGGGGUAAAUAGGAGUGGUUAGUGGCAUCUAAAUCCGCCUCAGAAUAGAUAUCUUCAUCUGGAUUACAAUCUGGAGAGGGGUGGGGCGGGUUUGCCAUUGAACCCACCAUGGAGCGAUGUCUGCAUGACAUUGUAUUGCCGCGCACAACUCUUCUCUUUUUCUCUACAUGUUCAACAUGACUGUGUACAAUAUCUGACAUGCAUACGAAAAAAAUAUGGUGAGAUUAUGUAAGGAGAGCAUGCAGAAAUUUAGAGUGAUGGUAACAACCAGUGGAUGGAUCCAAAAAUAAUGAUAGCAGGCUGAUGAUUGCUUUAAUUUAAUAAAAAGACAAAUGAUAAUUGCUUUACUCUUUGUUUCCUACCCAAGAUGAACAACAUACGCAUACCCUAGGUGAACCAGAUAUUAGACAGAGAUACUAUUCAUUGCUUCCUCGAUAUGUGCCCCACAACUAAUUUAGAACUCAAGUUUGAACAUUAAUUUGGACCUGACUUGGAGUCCAAGAGGUGAACAGGACGAUAAAGUAGCAGGUAAUUUUAAGCAAUGCAUAACAUAAGCAGAAACAAAAGAGUGCGACCUCUCUUGUGGACCCGUGUACUCCUCAGGUUCAUCUGCUGAGUCGAUGAUGGUGAUGCCGUUGCGGUGGGUGCCAGCGGUAGGGAAGGAGAUCUGAGGUGGCGAAAGACGGUCAGGAGUCGUGAUGUUAGUUUGGUGGAUGCUUCUGUCGAUGGAGCAGCUCAGGUGAGGUGGACGACGUCGCGACAGGAACAGGACAAACCAUACAAAGUUCCCUUCGACACCUACCUGUAACUGAAGUAAUUCUGGAAGGGCUCACUUCGCUUGCAUGAUUCUAAAAACGCAGGGAUAGGAAAAACACCGGAAUAGGAUAGGAAUGCACAUGGUAAACAGAGCAUUUGUAAACGCAGUAUUACUAUCAACUUGGGUGUUUGGUUUACAGGAAUUGGAAGAGCAUAGGAAUGCAAAUAAACAUGGCCAAAAUAAAGUGAAACCAUAUAAAAGCGUGUACAGUUAGAAUGUUAUUUUGCCACUAAUGCACUUGGUCUUGUUUUCAUGCAUAGGAUUUUGAAAAGUAGGUCCAGGUGGAUGUUUUGCUUCAUUCCUUUCAACAAAAUGCAUGAAUAAUUGAAUAGUAGAGUGCCAUUGGAAAAUUCCCUAUUGCUAUGGUUUUCCGUUGAACCAAAAUAGCCCUAAUGGAUUGACAUAAAUGUAUAGUAAUAAGUGAUGCAACAAGUGUACAACCUCUUUGCCGUAGCCGUGUCGACCCCAUCAUCAUUGGGUUGGUCGCUGAAGCAGUUGAGGCAGAGGUGGCUGUCGGAGUUUGGAGGAAGAUCUGAGGAAUCUGUAGAUGGCGUCCAGGACACUGCUCUGUUGUGAUGGAUUGUUAUGUCGUUGGAGCAGCUCCGGUGAGCCAUAAGACGUCAAGGCUGAAGCAGCACAAGACAGACAUCGUCAAUCUCAAGUGGGAUUCUAAUAGCAUCUCCAAUAGAUGAUGUAAAAUAGAUGUAAAAUUUACAUCACCAAAAACCACCUGACUACAAUAGAUGAGGUAAAAACUGUUGACUCUGAACUUAACUAUUGAAACUGAAAUUUUCUGCGGAAUCUGAAUGUUACUGUCGAAACUGAAUGCAAUGGUAGCAGAAAGGCACUUGACAUGUAGUUUAGGGAGGGCCUGGAGUUCAUCUUCAACAUGCACCCCCCUGAGCCGCCAGCCACCACCGGUCGAACUGCCAGCCCCAGCGCCGCCUCGCCGCCCCGAAACAACUCCCAACCGCUGGUCCGCCGCCGCCACGUCCUGCCCUCUAGGCCCCCCUCCCCCACCCUGAACCCUAAGAUAGAUAGUGGGGUACCUCUCCGGCGAGCCCCUGUCCCCACUACAGGUAGUUCUUCCUUAACUCCGGUGAGCCCCCCCCCACCCCCUGAAAAUAGACUAACCCAAAAGUCGAUUCAGUCGACUGAAGUGUAGCUAAAUCGGAGCAGAGCAGCAGCACGAGCGAGGGGGGAGAGCAGCAGCAGCAGCGCGAGCGAGCGAGCGAGAGCCGGAGCAGCAGCAGCUAGGCAAGCGAGCGAGCGAUCGAGCGAGAGCCGGAGCAGUAGCAGUAGUGCCAGCGAGCGAGCGAGAGCCGGAGCAGCAGCAGCAGAUCCGGCUGGUACGGACGCCGCCGCCAAAGGGGCCUCGCACUGGGGGAGAGACGCCCUGGAGAUGUCUGAUGACCCACAAGUGUAGGGGAUCUAUCGUAGUCCUUUCGAUAAGUAAGAGUAUCGAACCCAAUGAGGAGCAGAAGGAAAUGAUAAGCGGUUUUCAGUAAGGUUUUCUCUGCAAGCACUGAAAUUGUAAGUAAUAGAUAGUUUUGUGAUAAGAUAAAUUGUAACGAGUAACAAGCAAUAAAAGUAAAUAAGGUGCAACAAGGUGGCCCAAUCCUUUUUGUAGCAAAGGAAAAGCCUGGACAAUUUCUUAUAAUGAGAAAAGCGCUCCCGAGGACACAUCGGAAUUAUCGUCAAGCUAGUUUCAUCACACUCAUAUGAUUCGCGUUCGGUAAUUUGAUAAUUUGAUAUGUGGGUGGACCAGUGCUUGGGUACUGUCCUUACUUGGACAAGCAUCCCACUUAUGAUUAACCCCUAUUGCAAGCAUCCACAACUACAAAAAAAGUAUUAAGGUAAACCUAACCACAACAUUAAACAUAUGGAUCCAAAUCAUCGCCUUACGAAGCAAUGCAUAAACUAGGGUUUAAGCUUCUGUCACUCUAGCAACCCAUCAUCUCCUUAUUACUUCCCAAUGCCUUCCUCUAGGCCCAAAUAAUGGUGAAGUGUCAUGUAGUCGACGUUCACAUAACACCACUAGAGGAAAGACAACAUACAUCUCAUCAAAAUAUCGAACGAAUACCAAAUUCACAUGACUACUAAUAGAAAGACUUCACCCAUGUCCUCAGGAACAAACGUAACUACUCACAAAGCAUAUUCAUGUUCAUAAUCAGAGGUGUAAUAAUAUGCAUUAAGGAUCUGAACAUAUGAUCUUCCACCAAGUAAACCAAUAAGUAUCAACUAUAAGGAGUAAUCAACACUACUAGCAACCCACAAGUACCAAAUUGUGGUUUUGGAUACAAGAUUGGAUACAAGAGAUGAACUAGGGUUUGAGAGGAGAUGGUGCUGAAGAAGAUGUUGAUGGAGAUUGACCCCCUCCCGAUGAUAGGAUCGUUGGUGAUCACGAUGGUGAUGAUUUCCCCCUCCCGGUGGGAAGUGUCCCCGGCACAACAGCUCUGCGGGAGCUCUAGAUUGGUUCCGCCAAGGUUCUGCCUCGUGGCGACGGAGUUUCGUCCCGUAAGCUUGCCCACGAUUUUUCCAGGAUAAAACCUUCAUAAAGCAGAAGAGGGACACUGGGGGGCCACCAGGGGGCCCAGGAGACAGGGGGCGCGCCUAGUAGGGGUGCGCGCACCCCCCACCGUCCUGGACAGGGUGUGGGCCCCCUGAGGUGUUUCUUCCGCUCAAUAAUUCUUAUUAAAUCCAAAAAUAAGUUUCGUGGAGUCCCAGGUCUUUUGGAUCAGUGCAGAAUAGGUUUCCAAUGUUUGCUCCUUUUCCAGCCAGAAUUCCAGCUGUCAGCAUUCCCCCUCUUCAUGGUAAACCUUAUAAAAUAAGAUAGAAUAACCAUAAGUAUUGAUAUAAAUGUGUAAUAACAGCCCAUAAUGCAAUAAAUAUUGAUAUAAAAGCAUGAUGCAAAAUGGACGUAUCAACUCCCCCAAGCUUAGACCUCGCUUGUCCUCAAGCGGAAGCCGAAAUCGAAAAAUAUGUCCACAUGUUUAGAGAUAGAGGUGUCGAUAAAAAUAAAAUACGGACAUGAUGGCAUCAUGAUCAUUCUUAUAACAGCAACAUAUAUAGAUUUUGUCAUAUGAAUUCUUAUGCUCAAGUAACAAUCAAUUCACAAUGUCAAGUAUGAUUCAGAAACUUUAUUGAAAGCUAACAAACUAUAAUCUCAGUCAUUGAAGCAAUUGCAAUUUAUCGUAACAUCACAAAGAGUCAAGAAUAGAGCUUUUCAGCAAGUCCACAUACUCAACUAUCAUAUAAUCUUCUACAAUUGCUAACACUCACGCAAUACUUGUGGUUAUGGAGUUUCAGCCGGACAGUGAGAAAGAUAGGGGCUUAUUGUGUUACCUCCCAACGUAUGCACCUUUAGGUGAUGUCAACAAUAAUAGUCCAUGCUAACGAACAUCCAAUUAAAUAUAUGUAUCAUGAUCUUUCAAACACGAGGAGCUUGCCAAAGGAUAAAAUGAAAAAGGGAAAGGUGAAGGUCACCUUGACUCAAGCAUAAAGUAAAAACAUAAAGUAUAAACAUAAAGUAAAAGAUAGGCCCUUCGCAGAGGGAAGCAGAGGUUGUCAUGCGCUUUUAGGGUUGGAUACAGAAAAUCUUAGUACGAAAGAACGUCACUUUAUAUUGCCACUUGUGUAUGGACCUUUAUUAUGCAGUUCGUCGCUUUUAUUGCUUCCAUAACAAGAUCGUAUAAAGCUUAUUUUCUGUGCACUAAUAAGUCAUGCAUAUUUAGAGAGCAAUUUUUAUUGCUUGCACCAAUGACAACUUACUUGAAGGAUCUUACUCAAUCCAUAGGUAGAUAUGGUGGACUCUCAUGGCAAAACUGGGUUUAAGGAUAUUUGGAAGCACAAGUAGUAUCUCUACUUAGUGCUAGGAAUUUGGCUAGCAUGAGGGGGAAAGGCAAGCUCAACAUGUUCGGAAGGUCAAUGACAAUAUACUUUAACUGAGAUGUGAGAAAACAUAAACCAUUACGUUGUCUUCCUUGUCCAACGUCGACUCUUUUAGCAUGUCAUACUUAAUGAGUGCUCACUAUUAUAAAAGAUGUCCAAGAUAGUGUAUUUAUAUGUGAAACCUCUCUUUCCUUAUUACUUCCUAUUAAUUGCAACGAUGACCAAGACUAUGCUUAUCAUCUCUUAACAACUUUUAAGCCUCAUACUUUCUAUGUGUGAAGUCAUUACUAUCCAUAAGAUAAAUACGAACUCUUUUAUUCUUUUUAUUCUUUCUAUUUUUCUCAAGAUCAUAGCAAGAAAGCAAAGCCCUUGACUCAACACUAAUCUUUUUCAGAGAUAGCUCACAGACUCAAUUACAUAAGAGAUCACAAAGCGAAACUAGAAGCUAAUUGAUAUCAAAACUUCAAUCUACUGGAUUAAGAUACUACUAAAAAGGAUCGAACUAAAUAAAACAGUAAAGAUAGGAGUGUGAUGGUGAUACGAUACCGGGGCACCUCCCCCAAGCUUGGCAGUUGCCAAGGGGAGCGCCCAUACUCAUGUGAUUAUGUCCUCGAAGGUGAUGGAGGUGGUGAUGAUGAUGGUGGAUGAUAGCACAUUGAGCGUAAAAGCCCCUCCAACUUGCGGAUAAUGCCCUUGAGUCUGGCAAUAUGAUCCUUCAACAAAAUAUUCUCCUGUGUGAGAUACUUAUUCUGUAUGCGAGCUAACUCAAUCAUCUUGAAAGCUUCAAUCUCAGUUGGAGUAAAGAGGUUAGGUAAGGGUUGAGGGAUGUCUUCUUCUUUCAUUGUCAGGGCUUGAACCUCCAUGGCUUCCUUGAUCACUUCAUCCUUAUUGAUCUCUUGCGGUUCUUCUCUUUUCAGCUCCAUCUUCAAUAGCCAAGCAUCCUUGUAUUCAUUGUUGAAGGAGGGUGACGCCAUGGUGCUCUAGAUCUGUAACAGGAAGUAGCUCGAAACAAAAACAGGGGAUAUUUGCGUGAUACGGUGGUCAAAACUUUCGGGAGAUUAUAUAAUGAAUUUUUACCGACCAAAAUAUGUAACGUGCAAGAAACGGAGUCCGAGAGGCACACGAGGUGUCCACGAGACAGGGGGCGCGCCCUCCACUCUCGUGGAGGCCUCGUGUCCUUCCCGGACUACUUCUUUCUUCCUAAAAAUUUUAAAUAUUCCAAAACUGAUAAAAAUUGCCUUUAGAAUUGUUUUGGAGUCGGUUUACUUACUGUACCACAUACCUAUUCCUUUUCGGGGUCUGGAACAUUCUAGAAAGUGUCCCUUAUGUAUUCCUCCCGGGUUACGGUUUCAAUAAUAUUAGUUUCAACAUUGAUAGGAUUACGUGAAAUAUAAUAUUUAAUUCUUUGACCAGUCACCACCCUUGGACUUGUGCCUUCGAAAUUGUUGAUUUUUAUGGCACAAGAAUGAUAGACCUCCUCGAUAACAUAAGGACCUUCCCAUUUAGAGAGAAGUUUUCCUGCAAAAAAUCUUAAAUGAGAAUUGAAUAAUAACACAUAAUCACCUACGUUAAACUCACGCUUUUGUAUCCUUUUGUCAUGCCAGCGUUUGACUUUUUCUUUAAAUAGCUUGGCAUUCUCAUAGGCUUGGGUUCUCCAUUCAUCAAGUGAGCUCAUAUCAAACAACCUCUUCUCACCGGCAAGUUUGAAGUCAUAGUUGAGCUCUUUGAUAGCCCAAUAUGCUUUAUGUUCAAGUUCUAGAGGUAAAUGACAAGCUUUUCCAUAAACCAUCUUAUAUGGAGACAUACCUAUAGGAUUUUUAUAUGCAGUUCCAUAAGCCCAUAAUGCAUCAUCAAGUUUCUUGGACCAAUUAUUCCUAGAUCUAUUAACAUUCUUUUGCAAAAUUAAUUUGAUCUCUCUAUUGCUCAACUCUACUUGACCACUAGACUGUGGGUGAUAAGGGGAUGUGAUUCUAUGAUUAACAUAGUACUUAGCAAGUAUCUUACAGAAAGCACCAUGAAUAAAAUGUGAACCACCAUCAGUCAUAAGAUAUCUAGGGAAUCCAAACAUCGGAAAAAUAACUUCUUUAAGCAUUUUAAUAGAUGUGUUAUGAUCAGCACUACUAGUUGGAAUAGCUUCUAUCCACUUAGUAACGUAAUCAACAACAACUAAAAUAUGUGUGUAACCAUUAGAGGCAGGAAAAGGUCCCAUAUAAUCAAAGCCCCAAACAUCAAACGGUUCAAUAACAAGAGAAUAAUUCAUAGGCAUUUCUUGACGUCUACUAAUAUUACCAAUUCUUUGACAUUCAUCACAAGACAAGACAAACUUACGAGCAUCUUUGAAGAGAGUAGGCCAAUAAAAACCAGAUUGCAAUACCUUGUGUGCAGUUCUAUCUCUAGCGUGGUGUUCUCCUCCAUAUGAUUCGGAGUGGCACUUGCGUAGGAUCUGUUCGUGUGCAUGCUCAGGUACACAACGUCUAAUAACACCAUCUACUCCUUCUUUAUAAAGAUGUGGGUCAUCCGAAAAGUAAUGUCUCAAAUCAUAAAAGAACUUUUUCUUUUGCUGGUAUGUGAAGCUAGGUGGUAUAAAUUUAGCAACAAUGUAAUUAGCAUAAUUAGCAUACCAAGGAGCAGUACGAGAAGCAUUAACGACCGCUAAUUAUUCAUCAGAAAAGCUAUCAUCAAUAGGUAGUGGGUCAUCAAGAACAUUCUCUAACCUAGACAAGUUGUCUGCAAUGGGGUUCUCAGCUCCCUUUCUAUCAACAAUAUGCAAGUCAAAUUCUUGGAGCAAGAGAACCCAUCUAAUGAGUCUAGGCUUAGCAUCUUUCUUUUCCAUAAGAUAUUUAAUAGCAGCAUGAUCAGUGUGAAUACUAACUUCGGAAUCAACAAUAUAAGGUCUAAACUUAUCACAUGCAAACACAACUGCUAAGAAUUCUUUUUCAGUAGUAGCAUAAUUCCUCUGGGCAGUAUCAAGAGUCUUACUAGCAUACUGGAUAACAUUUAAUUUCUUAUCAACUCUUUGCCCUAGAACAUCACCUACAACAUAAUCACUAGCAUCACACAUAAUUUCAAAAGGUAAAUUCCAAUCAGGUGGCUGAACAAUAGGUGCAGUGAUCAAAGCUUUCUUAAGUAUUUCAAAUGCUUCUACACAAUCAUCAUCAAAGACAAAAGGAAUAUAUUUUUGCAAUAAAUUAGUUAGAGGCCUAGCGAUUUUAGAAAAGUCCUUAAUGAACCUCCUAUAAAAACCGGCAUGACCAAGGAAGCUUCUCAUACCUUUUAUGUCCUUGGGACAUGGCAUCUUUUCAAUAGCUUCAACUUUAGCUUUGUCAACUUCAAUACCUCUCUCGGAGAACUUGUGCCCCAAGACAAUGCCUUCAUUAACCAUAAAGUGGCACUUUUCCCAAUUCAAGACGAGACUAGUGUCUUCGCAUCUCUGCAACUCGAUCAAGGUUGCUCAAGCAAAUCAUCAAAAGAGGAUCCAUAAACGGAGAAGUCAUCCAUGAAUACCUCACAAAUAUUUUCACAAAAGUCAGAGAAUAUAGCCAUCAUACAUCUUUGAAAGGUAGCAGGUGCAUUACAUAAACCAAAAGGCAUACGUCUAUAAGCAAAGGUACCGAAAGGGCAAGUGUCGGUGUCAAAACCGGCGGAUCUCGGGUAGGGGGUCCCGAACUAUGCGUCUAGGCGGAUGGUAACAGGAGACAAGGGACACGAUGUUUUUACCCAGGUUUGGGCCCUCUCGAUGGAGGUAAAACCCUACUCCUGCUUGAUUAAUAUUGAUGAUAUGGGUAGUACAAGAGUUGAUCUACCACGAGAUCAGAGAGGCUAAACCCUAGAAGCUAGCCUAUAGUAUGAUUGUUGUUCGUCCUACGGACUAAAACUCUCCGGUUUAUAUAGACACUGGAGAGGGCUAGGGUUACACAGAGUCAGUUACAAUGGGAGGAGAUCUUCAUAUCAAAUCGCCAAGCUUGCCUUCCAUGCCAAGGAAAGUCCUAUCCGGACACGGGACGAAGUCUUCAAUAUUGUAUCUUCAUAGUCCGGGAGUCCGGUCAAAGGUCAUAAUCCGGCCAUCCGGACACCCCCUAAUCCGGGACUCCCUCAGUAGCCCCUGAACCAGGCUUCAAUGACGACGAGUCCGGAGCGCAAAUUGUCUUCGGCAUUGCAACGCGGGUUCCUCCUCCAAAUACUCCAUAGAAGAUGUUGAACACAAGGAUAGUGUCCGGCUCUGCAAAAUAAGUUCCACAUGCCACCGUAGAGAGAAUGAUAUCUGCACAAAUCUAAUCUGCUGACGUACUCCGCAGCGUGACAUCACGCCAUGGCCAGGCCUUUAUUCGAAUCGUUUUACUGUUCCACCUUAGCGUGUUUAGCGUGGCGGUUUCCUUGGCACGUCUUGUCAAAGCAGAGAUUGUGUCCCCUUAUUCCGGGAUUCUCAUCAAUACGAGCGUGGGUAACCCAACUGUGCCUUUGGUAUGACUCCCUAAUUGAAAGCGAGUCCCAAACGGUUACGGGGAGCGCUCUUGGUAUUCAACCUCUUUAUAAAGAGACCAAGGCUCGACUCCUUUUAACUCAAUCGAAUCCGCCCCUUGCCUUGAGCUCCAACAUCCAAAGCUCCAGUUUUAGGCGCCUCGGACCUCCGACGAUGUCCGGCUCCGACCUUAAAGGUCGGUGGAUGCCUUCCUCCAUAACGGAAAAAGACGUGCGAAAGCUGAGAGAUGCCAGGUAUCUGACCGGCGAAAUCUCGCAUAGGCUGCCUGCACCAAGGACAAGUCAUUCCCACUCCCCAGCCCGGUGAGAGCGUAGUGUUCAUAUCCCACUUCCUUCGGGGGCUAGGCUUCCCGAUUGAUCCCUUCGUGAGGGGACUUAUGUUUUAUUACGGGCUGGAAUUUCACGACCUAGCUCUAGAGUCCAUCCUCCAGAUCUCAUCGUUCAUUGUCAUGUGUGAGGCCUUCCUCCAUAUUACUCCCCACUUCGGAUUGUGGCUGAGAACCUUCAAGGUGGAACCGAAGACAAUCGAGGGGCAGCACGCUGAGUGCGGAGGAGCCAUCGUAAGCAAGAUGGCCGAUGCUCCAUGGCCUGAGGGCUCUUUCCAAGAGGAGUUCGGCUUAUGGCAACGGGACUGGUUUUACAUCACAGCCCCUAGGGGCACCACAUGGGUGGCACCACCUGCUUUUCGCUCGGGUCCCCCACCACGGCUAACGUCAUGGGUUAAUGAAGGGCUUAUCUGGGGGGCUGUCCAAAGACGUGCCCUUGCUGCAGGACCGCAUUCGAGAUCUUCUAGAAAGAGAUAUUAACUUGACCAUAGUGGCGCAAGUUAUGCUGAUUCGCCACACGCUGCCCUGCAAACGUCGCCCUCUCCGCCUGUGGGAAUUUAACCCAGAGGGACCGCGAGUCCUCCAACACUUUAUGGGCACGACGCCUGUGGAGAUGUACAAAUUGUUCUUCGGAUCACAAGCAAGGAAUCCGGAUUUGUCCGAGGACGUAGGUCUGAGCUGCAAUCGCCCGGAUGCUCGAGUAAGUAGCCCCGUAUUUGGACACGCCAUCCGCAUUUUCAUCAUAAAAUUACCCUUAACAGAUUUGUCCUUUGAACAAGAGUGGAUAGCGAAGGCAAAGCUUAUCAGGUGUCCAGCCCCCCUGCCUGAGACCGUGCCGGAUCCCGUGUUAACUAGGAUGCUGGAGGUCGUGCUUUUGGUAGAAGGCGAAGGGGGGAACCAAGGAGCUACCGCCUUCGCGAAGGAGGCUGUUGGGAAGGGAGGAAUCGAAAAUUCCCCCGACCAAGGAAAGAAAAGGACUGCCUCUAAAGACCCGGAUGGGAUGGCCUCAAAACGGGAGAAGAAAUCUUCGCCGGAGGGUUUGGCAUCGGAGAAUGCUCCGACCGCAUUGCGCCCUCAAGGGGAUACACUCUCCCCCAAGCCGUGUGUGAAGAGAGGGAUUCCAAAAUGAAUGACAUUCUUGUUUUAUUUAUGAGGAAGAUAACCGAAGCAUUACCUUGCAGUUCGGAUCUCAACCCUUCUCAGCAGAGCUCAUCUUCAGGGGAUCUUCGUCCGGAGAUGAUAGAGAGCGAAACGCCUCCCCAUGUUGCACCGUCUCACGAGGCAGGCGACCCCGAGGUGUCGUCUUGGAGGGUUUUCCCGAGUCCGGACCCUGAAAACGGUUGUCACGCUAGUCUGGUACCCUCUGGUGCACGGUCGGAGGGGUUGAAAGAUCUGCUCGGGAGGGCGUCCAUCUCAGGAGAACACCGUAUGUUGAUGAACACGGUGAUUGGAAGGAUUUUAUCCGCGGAAAGCGGACUGUACGAGGCUGCCAGGAGUUUACUAACAGGUUUUGAGGUAUGUAAAAGGGUGUACCUUUUGGUAGAGCCGCAUAUAAAAUGCGCCCUGUAUAAAUAGUAUCCCCCGAGACUCUGUGGAUCGGCAAAAGUGACGGCGCACAGAGGAUCAUAACCCCAGGUAUAAUAUGUCACCUAUUUUAUGAAGGUGGCGAGGCGUUCGGUGGCUAGCCGGACUGAUGAAUCUGCCGAGCUAAAGCGGCAACUUGACGUGGCGGAUGCCGACAUCGCGCUUGUAAAUAAGCGGCUAGAUGAGGCACAAGGUAUGUUCCCAAGACAUCUGAUAAGAGGAGUUUGAUUCUCGUGCCUUAUAAGAUAUGUGCUUAAUGUAGAUAGUGUUGCUGCCGUGGAGAACCUUCGGGCGGAACUUGUCCGAGCCAAGGAUUAAGCGAGGGAAAGUGAUGCGGCUGCCGUUAAGGCGGUUGAAGAGCUAAGAGCCGAACAGGCUGCUCACUGCCAGAGCAAGAAAGUAAUAGCCGAGAUGGCUAUAAAAUUGAAGGAUGCUACCGACGCUGUAAAUUUCUUGAAUAAGGAGAUAAGGCAGCUCAGAAGGAUCUUGAAAAGAUCACUGCCGAGGCCAAGGAGACUCGCUCUGCAAUGAGAGCUAUAAAGGAGGAUCUACGUCAGGCCGGGGAUAUCACGACUAGAAAGCCCUAUAUGCUGCGGAUGAAGUUCGGGGACCCCAAGUAUGCUUCGUUAGACCGGUAGUGGAGUGCGGAAAACACGUACCUGGAUUUGGCAGCUAGUGCGGCAGACGCGACCGAACACUUCCGCGACCGAGGUGACCAUAGAUUGGAAGAGCUGUUUUGGUCGCAGUUCCACAAUCCAGAGCGCCCGCUUUUGGUAUCCGAUCGUUUGGCCGCCUGGGCAGAGUUGAACAGGUUAUCCGGACUCGCCAUGAAGUAUGUUGCAAGUCGUUUGUGGCCGGAGAAACCGGAGCAGAAGAGUUAUUUUGGCUUGGUGCAGCAGUUCCUUGGUUCAGUGCCGCAUGCUGAUGCAAUGAAGAGAUCGACAUGCAUAGAGGGUGCACAGAUGGCUCUCGCCCGUGUCAAAACAUACUGGGCGAAUAUGAAGGCCUUGCAUCCCGGGAUUCGGACGAAAGCCGAGCACCUGCCAAGCACUACUUUGAGGAAGUUCUUCAGGGCGCUCGUUUAAUAGAGUUGUAGUGCUCGAAGGAUGUUGUGUUUGAAUAGCAUGUGGUAUUGUAAAACGAAUAUUUUGAUAGAAUAUAAAAGCUUUUUAUACUUGUGCUUACAAGAAUUAUAAUGCCUCAUGUCCGGCUGUUAACGUAUAUGUGUAUAUAACCUGAAAGAUGACAGUCGUUGGCUUCAGCCCCCACGCAGAGAAUGCGGGGGUGUUUGCAAAAAGGCGCCUUUUCACACUUAAUCCAACGUCUUGGUCCUACAAAGGAGGUAGUAGCGCAGCGAACUAGGCAACCGGACUAUAAUGCUUUAUCACUUUCACUUAGCCAUAGGAGUUUGACAGUGGGGCUACUGAAUAGCCCCUAUGGGCACCGCGCUCGCCUGAAUUUGGGGCGCGUGUGUGCCUGACCGGUAAGCGGCCCUUCGUUAAUGCGGAGGAAUCCUAAAGAUUCCGGAAGUCAUCGAGUGGUUGACCAGUCUCUGACUACAUCAUGACAGUCAGUUUUCGGCUUUCUCUACUGAGGUGCUCGCCUGGCCAAACCGGGGCACAAUCGCAGUAGUUCUCCUGGUGCCGCCUUAGCUGAUAGAGCGGAACGUAAGGCAGCAAAACACAGGAGCCGGGCAAACCCAACAUUUGACCAAAGACAUGAUUCGGAGCUGAUGCAUAUAAGGCCAAAUUCGUGACGCCGAACACUCCCUAAGGUAUUCGGUCUUUCUGAGGCGGGCCGAACAAUAGCCCUUUGGUAAAAAAGCCCCAGGUGUCCAGGUACAUGCAAAAUUCUGGCAUGGCCACAUGCCAAGACGCCAGCCUCCUCCUGGGCUAUAGUGAAAGCCGGGGGAUGGUAUCAACAAGAGACAGUAAGAAAGGUUUACGCAGGGUCUUAAUCUAAAGAGGAUCCUUAGAACGGGUCCCUACUGCAUGUCUGCGCCUGUAUCUCCAUUGUGUCGUAUCCUGGACGGGCGUAGCACGAUGUUUGUUUGCGAAAGAGAGGGACUUAGUGAGAAAUAAUCGUGCGAGAAAUCUAUAACAGAAUAUAACACAGAGGCAUGAGUAAGAUUGGGUCGUAUUAUCUCUUGGUGUAAACACGCGGAGCCCCUUGUACAGGGUUAUGCGGCUGUUAGGCCUUUGUAUGUUUACGUCGGACUUGUCGAACCAUGUCCGGGGUAGUGAAGCUGGAUUAGUGUGCGUCUGUCAAGGCGGCCGUACCAUUAUCCGUACUUCAGGGAUCAAUUGAUAUUUCCCUUUAAUGAGAUGAUGCCUCACGGACUGGGCAUUUUGAGUGUGAGGGAUGCAUAAUGCGGUAUUGCGUUAAAGCGGGCGAAAGCUUCACGUCCCAGUAGCGCUUGAUAGCGACUUAUGAAUGGGGCGAUGUGGAAGGUUAGCUUUUCGCUUCGGAAGUUGUCGGGUGAGCCGAACAUGACUUCUAACACCAGGGAACCCAUACUCUGGGUAUCUGGGCCCGGCGUGAUUCCUUGAAAGGAAGUGUUGUCAUGGCGAAUUGUUGCUGGGUUUACCCCCAGUUUGCGGAUUGUGUCCUGAUAUAAUAGGUUUCAGUCACUGCCGCCGUCCAUUAGGACUUGUGUAAAUUGGAGUCUGUCAAUUAUUGGAUCCAAGACCAAGGCAGUCCGGCCUGCGUUCCGGAUACCUCUGGAGUAAUCCUGAUGAUCGAAGGUGAUUGAUUGUAGCAACCAGCGACGGUGCUCCUCUGGGGCGGGCCGUGUGGCGCGCAUCUUCGUGGGCGCCGUUCUGUUUUUCCCUUUUAUCACCUGAAGUGAAUUUACUAUUUUGACCUCCUGUGGGAACUUCUUUUGUUCUCCGUUGUUCUGCUUGUGGGGUGCGUCGUCAUCCUCGCUUGGUGUGUCGAGCCCCUUGUGUUCGGCAUUGAGUUUGCUGGACUGCUUGAAGACCCAACAAUCUCUGUGGGUGUGGUUUGCAGGUUUCCCGGGAGUACUGUGGAUUUGACAUAUUUUGUCCAAGAUUUUGUUGAGGUUGGAUAGCUCGUCCCUGUCAUCUUUGGGGGCGGCUUUUUUUGAUUUUGCCGAGAGCUUUUGAAUCCGGCGUUUACUGCCGUGCUCAUCGGGCUAUUGCCCUUGAUCCCGCGCGGCUCUUUGUUACGGCGCGGUUUCCCAUUCCCAUCUCUGGGUUCGGACGUAUUCGGGUCGCUGGUGCUGCUUCGUGCCAACCAGCUAUCCUCUCCUGCACAAAAGCGGGUCAUGAGGCUUGUUAAUGCGGCCAUUGUUCUUGGCUUUUCUUGGCCAAGGUGUCUGGCAAGCCAUGCGUCUCGGACGCUAUGUUUGAAAGUUGCUAGGGCUUCGGCGUCCGGACAGUCGACUAUCUGAUUCUUUUUGGUAAUAAAUUUGUUCCAGAGUUUCCGGGAUGACUCCCCGGGUUGUUGAGUUAUAUGACUCAAAUCAUCUGCAUCUGGGGGUCGGACAUAGGUCCCCUGGAAAUUUGUCCGAAAAGCAUCCUCGACCUCUUUCCAACUUCCCAUAGUGUUUUCGGCGAGGCUUUUAGGACAAUGCCGAGCUGGCCCUUUGAGCUUAAGGGGUAAAUAUUUUAUGGUGUGAAGGUCAUCUCCUCUGGCCAUGUGUAUAUGGAGGAUAUAAUCCUUGAUCCAGACUCCAGGGUCUAUUGUUCCGUCGUAUGCUUCUAUGUUUACGGGCUUGAAUCCCGCUGGAAAUUCAUGAUCUAGUACCUCAUCGGUAAAACAUAGGGGGUGUGCGGCGCCCCUAUAUGUAGGUGUGCCGCAAUGUUCGGAUAUUUUUUGCGUUGCAUUGCUCAAUGGAGCUUGCUUUCUUGGCUCGUAGAUGGAUCUAGUCGGGCCGGUUUUCUGAUGCGAAUCUUUGUGCGGCUCGCGUGCCGCAUUGAAUGUGGCGCCCUUUGUUGGUGGAGGUCGAUCGUGGGGUCGUCUACCCAACCUGGUGACUUCCUUGUUUUUUGAUUGUGGGGGCUCUAGGGCCUCGUCAUCAAAUUCCGGUUGUAAUUUCUGCUUCGGAAAGCUCUUUGUGUGACGACUAUUGCCGUACUUGUGUGCGGUGUUGAGUACUUUGCUCCAUCUUAUUCUGAUUGCAUCUUUCGCUGUUUUGAGCUUCCCCUUCUGCUUUUUCAGGCUACGUGCAGUGGCGACGAGCCUUUGGUGGAGGUUCUGGUGCUCCAGCGACUUGUCCGGCAUGAGGUCAUCCAGACUAUUAUCUUUGCUGGGGCCGGAUUGUUCGGUUUGUCUGCCUUGUUUGGACGGUUGCUCGAUGGCAUGUUCGUCUUCUGUUGAUUCGCCCUGCUCCAUGGCUGGGUCUCUGUCGAGGUGGGGCUUGGCGCGGCGCCUACGCCGCCGCUUUGAUUGUUUUUCGAGGGAACGAUCCCUAGUUGUGCCCUUUUGAUCCUCACCGUUGCUUCUUUUAGGUGUGUCCACCAUGCAUACAUCAUGUGAUAAGGCGAUUGUGCGGCUCUCUAUAGGCGCUGGUUCUCGGCCGUCUCCUUCAUCGGCGUCCAUACCGUCGAUGUCUUCGGAGUCGAAGUCGAGCAUGUCGGCUAAAUCGUCGACAGUGGCUAUGAAGUGGGUGGUGGGUGGGUUUCAAAUUUCUUCGCCGUCCGCAUCCCAACCAUGCUGACAAUAGUCCGGCCAGGGCUCUCCUGACAAAGAGAGAGACUUUAGUGAAUUCAGGAUAUCGCUAAAGGGCGAGUGCUGAAAGACGUCUGUGGCGGUGAACUCCAUGAUCGGAAUCCGAUCGGGUUCGAUCGGAAGAGGUGCAGAGGAUUCAGAGUCCGGAACGGAGUCCGGCGCCCUGGAGUCAUAGGCCUUGCAAAGGGCUGGGAUGGUGUUCGGCUCUAUCGCCGUAGAGAUUGCGGCCCCUGGGGCGGCGUCCAACCGUCCGUCCCCAAUUUGCACAGUCGGCUCCGAGCUAAUGGUCGGAGCGGGCACUUGACCGAUGCUCUGAGCGUUAUCCGGCGGCAGAGCUAAAUCAUGCCCCUCGUGACAGUGCGGCAUGCUCGGCCGUGGCUCGAGUCCGUAGAAGAUCAAGUCCCCGCGGAUGUCGACCUUGUAGUUCAAACUUCCAAACCUAACCUGAUGGCCAGGGGCGUAGCUUUCGAUCUGCUCCAGAUGGCCAAGCGAAUUGGCCCGCAGUGCGAAGCUGCCGAAUACGAAGAUCUGUUCGGGGAGAAAAGUCUCACCCUGGACCGCGUCAUGGUUGAUGGUUGAAGAAGCCAUCGGGCCUAACGGUGACGACACAGAGGAACUCUCAGUGAAAGCACCAAUGUCGGUGUCAAAACCGGCGGAUCUCGGGUAGGGGGUCCCGAACUGUGCGUCUAGGCGGAUGGUAACAGGAGACAAGGGACACGAUGUUUUUACCCAGGUUCGGGCCCUCUCGAUGGAGGUAAAACCCUACUCCUUCUUGAUUAAUAUUGAUGAUAUGGGUAGUACAAGAGUUGAUCUACCACGAGAUCAGAGAGGCUAAACCCUAGAAGCUAGCCUAUAGUAUGAUUGUUGUUCGUCCUAGAACUAAAACUCUCUGGUUUAUAUAGACACCGGAGAGGGCUAGGGUUACACAGAGUCGGUUACAAUGGUAGGAGAUCUUCAUAUCAAAUCGCUAAGCUUGCCUUCCACGCCAAGGAAAGUCCUAUCCGGACAAUGGACGAAGUCUUCAAUCUUGUAUCUUCAUAGUCCGGGAGUCCGGUCAAAGGUCAUAAUCUGGCCAUCCGGACACCCCCUAAUCCGGGACUCCCUCAGCAAGUAAAAGUAGUUUUUGAUUGAUCUUCCGCCGACACAGGUAUUUGAGAGAAACCAGAAUAACCAUCUAGAAAGCAGAAAUGUGUAUGUUUGGAUAGUCUUUCUAGCAUUUGAUCAAUAAAAGGUAAAGGGUAAUGAUCUUUCUUAGUGGCUUUAUUUAAUUUACGAAAAUCGAUUACCAUCCUAUAACCUGUAAUAAUUCUUUGCAGGAUCAAUUCAUCUUUAUCAUUAGGAACAACAGUAAUACCCCCCUUUUUAGGGACACAAUGAACAGGGCUUACCCAUUCACUAUCAGCAACGGGAUAAAUUAUACAUGCCUCGAGGAGCUUUAGUAUCACCUUUCUUAGCACUUCUUUCAUCUUGGGAUUUAGUCGUUGUUGAGGAUCUCUAACUGGUUUGGCACCUUCCUCCACUUUAAUUUUAUGUUGACAUAACGUGGGACUAAUGCCCUUGAGAUCAUCCAGAGUAUAUCCAAUAGCAGUGCGGUGCUUCUUCGGAGUUUUCAAUAAUCUUUCCUCUUCCUGCUUUGAAAGGUUAGCACUAAUAAUAACAGGUUAUAUUUUCUUUUCAUCAAGAUAAACAUACUUAAGAUUAUCAGGUAAUGGUUUUAACUCAAACACGGGAUCACCCUUGGGUGGAGGGGGAUCCCCUAGAAUUUCAACGGGAAGGUUAAUAGGUUCCUGUUUAAGGAAUACUUCAUCUAUUUCCCUUCUUUCUUUCAUAAACAUAUCAUUUUCAUGGUCUAACAAAUAUUGUUCUAAUGGAUCAGUAGGGGGUAUGGCAAUAGAAGUAAGACCAAUUAUUUCAUCUUUACUAGGUAAUUCUUUAUCACGAGGUUGUCUAUGAAAUUUAGCAAAAUUAAACUCAUGAGUCAUAUCAUCCAAGCCAAUCGUAACAACAUCCUUUUCACGAUCAAUCUUAGCUUUAACAAUGUUCAAGAAGGGUCUACCAAAUAUAAUGGGACAAAAGUCAUCUUGUGGGGAACCAAGAACGAGAAAAUCAGCAGGGUAUUUGACCUUCCCACACAAGACUUCAACAUCUCUGACAAUCCCAAAAGGUUUAAUAGUAUCUCUAAUGGCAAGCUUAAUUGUAUCAUCAAUAUCUUCUAACUCAACAGGUGCAAUAUCAUGCAUAACCUCUUGGUAUAAGGAAAUAGGUAUUGCACUAGCACUAGCACCUAUAUCACAUAAGCUAUGAUAACAAUGAUCUCCUAUUUUAACAGAAAUAAUAGGCAUGCCAACGACAGGUCUAUGUGUUUUGGCAUCUGGCUUAACAAUAUUAGCAGUUUCACCACAGAAGUAAAUAACAUUCCCAUCUAAAUUAUCAUCCAAGAGAUCUUUAACCAUAUAAAUACUAGGUUCAACUUUGAUUUUCUCAGGAGGUGUAUAAGUUGUAGUAUUACUCUUACGAACAAUAGUCGAAGUUUUAGCAUGAUCCUUUAUCCUAACAGGAAAAGGUGGUUUCUCAACAUAAGUAGUUGGAACAAUAGGAUCACCAUAAGUGAUAGUAUUUUCUUCAACUAUAAUAGGUGCAACUAAUUUUACUUCAAUGUGAGGAUUAUAUUUAAACCACUUCUCCUUAGCGAGAUCAACGUGAGUAGCAAAAGAUUCACAGAAAGAAGCUACUAUCUCAGAGUCAAGUCCAUAUUUAGCGCUAAAUCCACGAAAAACAUCGGUAUCCAUAAAAGAUUUAACACAAUCAAACUUAGGUGUCAUACCUGACUCCUUACCAAUGUCGGAACCCCAAUCUUCAGAGUUGCGUUUAAUUCUUUCCAAUAAGUCCCAUUUGAAUUCAAUAGUCUUCAGCAUAUAAGAACCAGCGCAGGAAGUAUCGAGCAUGGUGCGAUCAUUGAGAGAAAGCCAAGCAUAAAUUUUUUGAAUAAUCAUUUCUCUGGAGAGCUCAUGAUUGGGGCAUGAAUAUAACAUUGACUUAAGCCUCCCCCAAGCUUGAGCGAUGCUUUCUCCUUCGUGAGGCCAAAAAUUAUAUAUGUAAUUACGAUCACAAUGAACAAGAUGCAUAGGAUAGAACUUCUGGUGAAAUUCCAACUUCAAUCGUUUAUAAUUCCAAGAUCCCAUAUCAUCACAUAGCCUAAACAAUGUCAAUGCAUCUCCCUUCAAAGAUAAAGUGAAGACCUUCCUUUUGACAACAUCAUCGGGAAUACCUGCAAGCUUAAAUAAUCCACAAACUUCAUCCACAAAGAUAAGGUGUAAAUCGGGAUGCAAUGUUCCAUCUCCUGCAAAUGGAUUAGCUAGCAGUUUCUCUAUCAUACCCGAAGGAAUUUCAAAGUGAAAAUUUUCAGUAGGUUCAGUAGGUUGAGGAGCAAUUCUUUGCUCUACUGGUCGGGGCGAAGAUGCCCCGAACAAGCCCCUCAAAGGAUUAGUUUCCAUAGUAACAAGUAACAGAAAAUUUCAGCACACUGUAUAAAUGUUUCCUUACCAAGUUCCACUCACCAAAAGCACUACACUCCCCGGCAACGGUGCCAGAAAAGAGUCUUGAUGACCCCCAAGUGUAGGGGAUCUAUCGUAGUCCUUUCGAUAAGUAAGAGUGUCAAACCCAACGAGGAGCAUAAGGAAAUGAUAAGCGGUUUUCAGUAAGGUUUUCUCUGCAAGCACUGAAAUUGUAAGUAAUAGAUAGUUUUGUGAUAAGAUAAAUUGUAACGAGUAACAAGCAAUAAAAGUAAAUAAGGUGCAGCAACGUGGCCCAAUCCUUUUUGUAGCAAAGGACAAGCCUGGAGAAGUUCUUAUAAUGAGAAAAGCGCUCCCGAGGACACAUGGGAGUUAUCGUCAAGCUAGUUUCAUCAAACUCAUAUGAUUCCCGUUCGGUACUUUGAUAAUUUGAUAUGUGGGUGGACCGGUGCUUGGGUACUGUCCUUACUUGGACAAGCAUCCCACUUAUAAUUAACCCCUAUUGCAAGAAUCCGCAACUAUAACAAAAGUAUUAAGGUAAACCUAACCACAACAUUAAACAUAUGGAUCCAAAUCAGCCCCUUACGAAGCAACGCAUAAACUAGGGUUUAAGCUUCUGUCACUCUAGCAACCCAUCAUCUACUUAUUACUUCCUGAUGCCAUCCUCUAGGCCCAAAUAAUGGUGAAGUGUCAUGUAGUCGACGUUCACAUAACACCACUAGAGGAAAGACAACAUACAUCUCAUCAAAAUAUCGAACGAAUACCAAAUUCACAUGACUACUAAUAGCAAGACUUCACCCAUGUCCUCGGGAAAAACGUAACUACUCACAAAGCAUAUUCAUGUUCAUAAUCAGAGGUGUAAUAAUAUGCAUUAAGGAUCUGAACAUAUGAUCUUCCACCAAGUAAACCAAUAAGUAUCAACUACAAGGAGUAAUCAACACUACUAGCAACCCACAGCUACCAAUUUGUGGUUUUGGAUGCAAGAUUGGAUACAAGAGAUGAACUAGGGUUUGAGAGGAGAUGGUGCUGAUGAAGAUGUUGAUGGAGACUGACCCCCUCCCGAUGAUAGGAUCAUUGGUGAUGACGAUGGUGAUGAUUUCCCCCUCCCGGAGGGAAGUGUCCCCGCCAGAACAGCUCUGCAGGAGCUCUAGAUUGGUUCCGCCAAGGUUCCGCCUCGUGGCGGCGGAGUUUCAUCCUGUAAGCUUGCCCACGAUUUUUUCCAGGAUAAAACCCUUCAUGUAGCAGAAGAUGGACACCGGGGGGCCACCAGGGGUCCCAGGAGACAGGGGCACGCCCAGUAGGGGUGGGCGCGCCCCCCACCCUCCUGGAUAGGGUGUGGGCCCCUGAGGUGUUUCUUCCACUCAAUAAUUCUUAUUAAAUCCAAAAAUAAGUUUCAUGGAGUCUUAGGUCUUUUGGAGCAGUGCAGAAUAGGUUUCCAAUGUUUGCUCCUUUUCUAGCCAGAAUUCCAGCUGCCGACAUUCCCUCUCUUCAUGGUAAACCUUAUAAAAUAAGAGAGAAUAACCAUAAGUAUUGAUAUAUAAUGUGUAAUAACAGCCCAUGAUGCAAUAAAUAUUGAUAUAAAAGCAUGAUGCAAAAUGGACGUAUCAAUGUCGCAUGCGGCACCGGCUUCAAGGUAGCCGCUCCUUGGGGGUGCGGGAUGGAGCACCGUUGGUGCCGGGAGGUCGAGUUAAGGAGAAUGUGUCAUGCGAUGAGUGUACAACAUAUUUGCUAGCGCUGAGUAGGCCUCGGCUUCGUCCGAGGAGUUAGUGAGGAUGCUACGGUUUCGGUGGAGCAGGUUAAGGCGGCGCUGUGGGGAUGGAGCAGUCACGAUAGAUGAGGCGAUCAUCGGAGCAGCUCCUUGGAGGUGGAGGAUGGGGCGGCUGAACCGGUGGGACGAUGAGAUGGACGACGAAUCCUCAUCCGGGGAGGUGGAUGAGGGACGUCGAGCUGUUGCGGUGGACGACAUUGUCAGGGAAGAGGCUCCGACUGGGCAGCGGUGAGGUGGCGGAUGGAGGAGGGUGGGGUUUUGCGGCUGGAGCGGAGAGGUUAUGGAGGCCGGGGAUUUUGAAUGGCGAAAAGGAGGCGAUGGGAGGGGGUGAACCAUGACUUCGGGACGCGCUUGUCCAAAAUGUAGGGUGUGUUACAAAAGUACCCCCCACUGAUUUGAACUAGCGGCCCUUUCGGCCCAGGGUUAGAAGGGGGAUUUCAUGUGUUUGGAUUUGGCAGUUGGAGGGAGUUUUUGCGCGCUUUGUAAUUUUGGGAUAGCAAGGCGCGGGUUGUGAAGGCGCGAGUUUUGGGAGCACGAUAUCUGAAUUUUCGGGAUAUAACAAGGCGCGGGUUGAAUUUUAGGGACAAGCCUAACGUGUAAUAUUGUACUUGUACGUACCAAAUCAAUUCGCACUUCCCUCAACCAAAAAGAAAACGAAAAAAAUAAAACUAUUCACACCACACAAAGAGAGAGUCUUGCCCCGUUUUACUAUACAAAUGCUAUUCAAAGCUACUCCCUCCUUCCAUCUAAAUAGGGCCUAAUGCGUUUUUCGAUGCUAACUUUGACCAAAUAUUAGAGCAAUAAUAUAUGACAUGCAAUUUACACAAAGCACACCAUUAAAUUCGUGUGUCAAAGGAGCUUUCAAUGAUGUAAUUUUCACAUUGUGCAUGUCAUGUACUAUUAAUCUUGUCAAUAGUCAAAGGCAGUCUUUAAAAACACAUUACACCCUAUAUAGAUGGAAGGAGGGAGUAUGAAUCCAUGUUAUGUCCAAUUAAAAAAUUUCGCUUGCUGUAUAAUGCAUGUAACCUACUCAUACCAACAUUUUAGUGCAUUCCAAAUGUAUAUACUACCGCUGCAAUUCGAACUGAAUUUGAAUUCAUUUCUCUAUUUCAAUAAGAAUCUACAAUCAUGAUUGUUGCCAACUUCAACCAUCAUUCAUGUAUUACCUUAAUAACACACCACAUGAUUACUCUAGAGAUAGAUAUGAACUAUGUGUACUACAUGAACUCGAAUUCUAUUUCUGAAUACACUUGAUGUUGAUUCCAAAUAAUAGUACAUUUGAUGUACUAGCUAUACAUUCAUAAUCUAAACCAUGUUCCAUACAUACACCAUGUUUAUCACACAAAGUAUAGUGCCCCGCCCCCUACAUUAUGACAAGUAUUUAGACCUGAGUUGCAAAAGCCACACAUUAGCCCAAAUCAUAAUCAAUGUUCUAUAUAUUAUACGUAGUACUAUCAAGAUGCCCAUGCGUUCCACAUAACAUCAACAUCCAUGAUCAAGGGGAGGCCUAAUUUGCAAAUAUGGAGAGGGGUGUGGGUAUCUUUUUUCAAAAUUGCCAUAGUUUCCUUCCUAUCCGUCAGAUAUAAAUUGGACGGCCUAUAUUGUAGGAUGGCAGGCACACCAUCAUCAACAACUCCGUUUUUUAUAAGAGUAGAGAUAAAAUAUAUUAUAUAUAGUAUAACAUGUUCAUAACCACACCACGUGUAUCACCGUUAUAUAUAUUCACACAUGCGUUGGUUUAAAACACUAUGAUAAGUUCUUCAAAUAUCCGAAUUCGCUUUUUAUAAUGAAUUAUGAUCUCUAUUCGUCUUUUACACCCACAAAAUCCUCUUAUGUUUGUAGCUAGCGCUAACUUUCUCUCGUGCAUGCACACGCCCGCAUCCCUCUCACCCUCCCUCGGCAUUCUCUAGCUCCAUCGUGCAAAUUCGUCUUUUCACUUUAGGUCGUUCACCCAUGGUAUGUGUAGGCCCCCCGGCUCCUUCUUUAUGGCACACAUCGAUCGAUGCCUCUCAAGCCAGGUGUGCCUAGCACAAACACAAGCUUCCCCUCUUCUCUUACCACCGUCCAUGCCUCACUCCCACCACUCUUUCAUCAAUCUCGUACUCGCACACUCCUUCCCCCUCGAUAUAGUAUGCCUCUCGCACCACCUCCUAGAUGCAUCCCUCUCUCUAUAUCCUUCUCCCCAUGCCUCAUUUGCUUCUAACACACACAUGCAUGUAUACCAAUCGAUCUCCCAACAUAUACCUAGGUCGACUUUAACUAACCCCCCCCAUUGAUUGACGUACCUCACAAGUUAUGUCUCUCAUUUCUCUGACAAAGGACGAUGAUCUUCCUAUGCAGUUAUGUCUUCUUACCACAACCAUAUCGUCCCCCAUCAUCAUUCGUGCAUGCCUCCUGACCCGUCUCUCACACGCAUGUGCACAAAUAGGCAGCCAUCCCCUCUCUUAUUGAUAUUGCACGUGUGCCCUCCGUUUGUCUAGCAAGCCUAUCCCACCAUUUGUUAGAAGCAACUCCACUACCACCCCUCCAACACUCUAGCUCUGUCUCUCUCCCAACCUUAUUCCUCUCCUACACAUAUGCAUGGAUGUCGAUCGAUCUCCCUUAAUACAUGAGGUAGAUCGAUCUCCCUUAAUACAUGAGGUAGGCCUCUCUCCUCCUCCACACAUAUACCAGCCAUUGUACCUCUAUAGUUAAUUAGCCACCCCCCCACCACCACCACCACACAUCGAUAGUCAAGUGUUGUAGGUAGGUAUCCAUUUCACAGAGAAAAACUGCACCUUUCCCCUCUCACGUUCCAGUAGGCCAGCCAAUCUAUAUCUUUGACAUGGCCACACACAAAUUCGAUGGCACUCUUUAUUGAUCGUGCGCGCGCACACACACACAUCAUCCCUCUCUUUGAUUCUAUGGACACCUCAAGCCGAUGAUACCUCCACUCUCUUCCCGUGGAUCGCCCCUCUAUAUAUAUGAUAUAUCCAGGACUCUAUUUCACACACAUUGCAUAUAUUACAUUUUUUAAUUGAACCCCCCCCCAAAAAAAACUCUCACGAACCCACACACUAUAUCUCUCUAAGUUUGUAUCUCUCUCACACAACCCCACGUAGGUGGUGUGCGUAUACAAGAAGAGAAUAGGUGCACUGUGCACGUACUCACGCUUCGUGCCCAGCCACACCCGCGCGGGUACACGGUCGAGAUCAUUUCUGUACGAAAUGGCAACCCAUGUGCUAAUUUGAACACGUGUAGCGGUUGUUUACCUACGGAGGUCGUGUACCACGCGUGCACGAAACAAAGUUCGACUUGAUGCGUUGGCGCAUUAUUUUUAAAUAAAGUUAUAUCGCUAAAUGGCACGUACACAGAAUAUAAAACGAUUUUUAUGGAGAAAAAGGUAGUCCGCUCCACUAUAUACAAUGGAGCCUGCCUGCCUGGUUUGUCUCUCUUUAGAGUAUCUCACACAAGGCAGUGGUGGCCCCUCUCUCUCACCGUUGGUCACUGAUCCGGCCGCAUCCCGUCCGCUGACGAAAAGGGGGGAUGUGCAUCGUUUGUUCAUUCGACGGCGCCGAGGCAGCAUGUCUUGAUCUCUGGUACACGCCGUUCUCUCUAACCAAGCUCUGGCGCGGUAGGGCCUAUGCCACCUGCUUGCUGCCACAGUAUGGGUAGAUUCCGCCCGCCGCCACUCACCUAGUUACAUCCCGACGACCUCCAGGUAUCCCCUUCGGCAUUGCUCCACUGCCCGUUUUCCCACGUCGCUGGAUGUCGAUCUUCCAUAGUUCUUUGCCCAAAAUGUAGCUCGUCCGGCGUACUUUCCAUAUUGCAAUCUCGUCCUCACACCAUUUUAGACAAACACAACCUUGUUUUUAUCUUCCCUUAGGACAAGGAAUAUGCUUCUUUUUUGUCAUCGCAUGUGUAAUCAACUGUUAUUGGCCAGUAACUGUUUCCUUUCUACCUCUUUUUUGCAAACAGGGCUAUCCAUUUCACCUCGUUGCUAUUGCGACCUUUUGGUGAACUGCACAAAUCACUUUUUUCUUAAGAGUGUUUUGUGCAGUUGUACUAAAAUGUCACAUGGGCAAUGUCUCUACAUUUCAGUGCGACUGCACAAAGGGAUAUUGGUUUUGCUCUAUCCUCCUCAUCCAACUUCGAGCCUAAUCUUCUCCAACUAGUUAGUCUUAAGAGAGACUGCAAAGGUGACCGGCUUCUAUUUGUGUGUUUAUUGUUUCAUCAGCAGUCCUAUAUUAUCGUAAUCACACUUAAUAUCUUUGGAACAGGGACGCUCAACUCUAUUUUAGUGGAACUGCACAAAAUGAUUGGAAUGUUGCAUGCUCCACACAGCUACUUUUUCCCAACGUGCCUUGUUGAUUUAGACAGAGCUGGGGGGACGUUACUGCCAAUGAAAGCAUGGAUCAAUUUUAAUUUAACACCUUCUCACAACUUUGUCUUUAGUUGUGAUGUAAAUAUCAGCUCUAAUCUGCUAAUAAUUGAGAUGCAUUAGCAAAGAAGUUAGUUUUUUUAUUGUUUUCGAAAGAGCAUCGAUGGCAAGACACAUCAAACAAAAGUUGAAAGCUCACACCAUUGUACAAUUUCAUGUCGCUGAACAAUUAUUUGUAUAGUACGUCAAUUAUGUAAACAAAUGCUGGAAAAUUGAUAGCAUUGCCAGAAGCCUCUUCACCAUCCGGGUCCAUGUGCCAUGCACAAAAUUAUACUACUUCGUUCCUAAAUAUUUGUCUUUUUACAAAUUUCAAAUGGGCAUAUUUUAGAGUGUAGAUUCACUCAUUUUGCUUCAUAUGUGUACUCCCUCUGUUCCUAAAUACUCUAUUUGUCUUUCUAGAGAUUUCAACAAGUGACUACAUACGGAGCAAAAUGAGUGAAUCUACACUCUAAAAUAUGUCUAUAUACAUCCGUAUGUAGUAGUCCAUUUCAAUCUCUAAAAUGAAAAAUAUUUGAGUAGUCACUCAUUGAAAUCUCUAGAAAGACAAAUACUCCGGAGUAUAUUUAAGAACCGAGGGGGUAGUGCACAACCACAUGGGAGACUCAGCCCAGUCGUUGGGCCGCAUUACACUAGAAAAAAAUACACUUCCGUGAUUAUACGUGUUUGUCACAGUAGGUCGUGUUUUUGUCAUGCAUGUACAUCCAUGACAAAUUUAUGACAGAAUCAAGAUAGUCAUACAUGUGAUGUCGUAGAAGUGUUCCACGACAUUACCAAAAUUAUCAUCACGGAAGUGUCCACUUCUAUGACGAUAAAUCUCGCGUCACAGAAGUGCUUUCGUCAAGGGUGACCAACACGUGGCAUCCACCGUAACGGAACACCGUUAAGCUAUCGGGUCGGGUUUUGGAUCCGAUAACCCGUUAACAGCCCCGACCAAUGGGAAAUUUCCAUGUGUAAAAUUCUUAUUGGCCGGACGAAACACGUGUCAGCUCGUCAGUGGGUCAGAUAGGCGCCUAUGAUAUGUCGACACGUGCCACGGCCCACCACUGGCCCAUUUAGCUUACAAAGCCGGCCUGUUUGACUUGGUCAAAAGUUAACGGGAUGGCCCAUGAAAAGCCUGUUAACGGUCUCUUCGCAAAUAGCCCAUUUUACGGCCCGUUAGGCACUAAAGGAAAUCAGCCCAACAACGUCAUGUGGCCCGUCGAAUAUAACACCAGCCCAUUUCACUUUCGGCCCAUGUAUAGCCCACGACGUCUUUCGGCCCAUAUGAGGCCUUCGUAUCUUUCGACCCUUUACAGGCCCACGGUGACUCUAGCCCAUAAUGAAUAGUAAUUUUCUUUGUACCCGUUAAUGGCCCGUGAUUUACAUGGGCUGUUUCCAGCCCGUGUUAGCUUUCGGCCUAUUGACGUCCCAUACGUUCUUGGGCUCCUUUUCGGCCAUCGAUUACUUCCGGCCCGGUACUGGCAUGUUCCCCUAAUGGGCCAAAUUCAGCCCAUGACAAGAGUCGGCCCGUUACUGGCAUGUUCCCCAAAUGGGCCAAAUUCAGCCCAUGGCAAGAGUCGGCCCGUUACUGGCCUAUUACCCUAAUGGGCCAAAUUCGGCCCAUGGCAAGAGUCGGCCCGUUUCUGGCCAGCCCGUCCUAUAUUCUGGCCCAUUAACGACCCGUUAUGCCUGUGACAGAAUUAAGCUUUUGCAGUCCUACGGCCUGUUAACGGCCUGUUACCGUGCUGGGCCGAUACCAAUUACGCCCGAUUACGGCCCAUGUAGACCCAUUUAUCCGACGGCCCGAGGCCCAUUUAUCAACGGCCCGAGGCCCACCGAUUACAGGCCCAUUUAUCGACGGCCCAUAGGAGACCCAUGGAUCCUACUGCCCGUAUAUGGCCCAUGGGUAGUUGCGGCCACUAGCAAACCAGGGAAAAAGAAGACUAGGAAAUAAAUAAGGCCUAAACUAACACUAGGCUAUUAAGGAGAUUGCACAAAUUACAUCCACUCGGCAUCAAAGAUCGCCACCAGUGCAAAUAUAGGGAACACCCUACACUAUACAAAAAUGGCUUGCUGUGUUCUUCAGCCGGUGGCUGCACGUUAAGAAUAAAUUUUGUAUCACACCAAAACAAAUUACAACUAUAAAACAAAAGGAAGGUUGGCAUAAAACGUAACAGUCUAGCAGAUAAAUGCACCACCAGAAGUUCAGAAGCUCGGUUCAUUUGACCUGACUGUUACGUUUUCAUGUUGUAUUGUCCGAUGGAACACCAUAACCCUCGCCUUCAUUUCCCCUAGGCUCCUGAACAACAUAGCAAAUGUCUGAUAGUCUGGUUUCAAAAACCAUGCAUAUCUUGACAACAUUGAGCAAUGUUUCUCCUUAUUUCACAAAGGGCCUCUGUUAGGGAAUGGACUUGUGUCUGGAGCACAGAUACAACAUUGCUUUGAGCUUGCAUAUCUUGAUCAUGAGGCAGUUUGGACGAUAUUGCCUUAACAACCAACCCAGUAUUACGCAGGAACGUGCUUUUGGCACUGUUAGUGGACAGGUACUGACCAACUGCAGCAAGAGCUAACAUUGCGGUUAUAGUUGCCUCGCCACCUUCAGAAGGUGGCGGUUCCACCAUUUUUUCCAUAGAUAGCUGAAAAGUUGAGGUUUUACAUUAGUAGUACCAGAAUAGAAGAUAUUAAGGAGGCAGCAAAACCAAACAAAAUAGCUUUGGUCUAUAUACAGAACUUAUUCUGGUGAACCCAUGUAAAAUAUUAGUUGUAUUUUAUUGCAAAGUACAUAAUAAAACCAGGUUCCAAACAUAUGACCAUGUACCAUCGCUAAUGUAUUGUCUAUUUCUUCACAUUGUAUUGAGGGCUAAGGAUAAAGAGACGAAGUUUAUAAUACGGUAAGCAUAGUAUGACAUCAUUCAUAUCACAAAACAACUGAGAACAGACAAACAGGCAAUUGUAACAUUGUGUGGGCAAGUCCAGCACGGAACUAGAUUACGGGUCAAGAUCAAAGGAACGUCACUCCUCCCUUUUAAACCUUGUAAGGUGCAAUGAUACACUAAGACAAUUGUGUAUAAAAUUGAAAAGAGUAAUAGACAUUGGCUGCAAACCAUGCAGUUCAAGGCACAAGUCAGAGUAAGUAGUAGUUAAAAGGCAUGAGGAUUAAGGACUUACAACAGCGGCUUUGACUGGUGUAGUCAUGCCCUUCUUCUUGCUGGUGUGACAAUCCUUGAAGAUUUCCACAGCAUUUGGUUCAGGUACUUUUUGGUCCUUUCGGGCUUUCCUCUGCAUUUCGAACAAGUCAAUAUAGAUCUGAUAAUAUGGUACAGCGAAAAGAGUGAAACAGCAGCUAAUUACAAGAGCCUCGCAGUGUGCAAUAUAGCUAUGAGAUCCUGUCGUCUGUUGGAAUUUCACUUUCAUACGGUUGGCCUUGUUCUUUGAACAGUUCACCUACAAGAAGAUAGAUUUGUGUGGCACAUGCGUCAAUAGGACUUCAACAUGUGAUCUGAUCACAUAUAUAUAAUGUACCUGAUACUUCGGAUCAGACCAGUGUUUAACAAGGCCCCUCCAGUCUUCAUCCGAUAUAUUUUCCACUGGAGAUGUUUGGGAAAGUUCACUGUUAGCCUUGCCUUCAAAGUGAGUUUUCCUCAAGUUAUACCGAUACUGUCGCAGAGCAGACUUGAAAACAUGGGUGCAAGCUUGUCUGGUUGCAUCAUCUUGGCUAUCCAACUUGAACCUCAUCUGUUAAAAAUUAUGGGAGUCUCAUUAUCAGCAACCUAGAAAGUAUGGGACAGAGAAAGACGAUAUUACUAGUUUCCAUACAUAACCAUACUUACAGAUAAAUGGUCGAGGAAGGUGUUGAACUGGGUUUCGUCUUUGUCAUUCCUGUACUGAAUCCAUGUUGGGAGGAUACGUACAUGACACCUAACGGCAACCGCUGCCUCUGAUACUAACUUGGCUGACUCUGUAGCAUCACGUGGCCUUUUUAAACCUAGCUCAAAACGGAUCUCCAUUCUUCCUCCUCUAGAUUUAGUUAACCUAUCGAGCAUUAUCCCUGAUGUUUGUUUCCUCUUGCGCCUAGGUGCUAGUCCAACAACAAACAUAGGAAGUGUUAGUGUACAUAAAACUGUGAGACUACAUAUAAAGAAGCAUGCAACUAUAACUUGACUCCAGCAACUACCUUCUUGCUGUUGAAGCUCACAAGGUUCAUCUGAUAUUGCCAACUCAUCUUGUGUCAAGAGUGCUUGGGAAGUAGUGUCAGGUGGCAAGGGAGCUUGGGAACGUGCUGCUAGCUCAGUUAACGCACGAGUAUGUCGUGCAGCUGGUAGUACUAUGGUAGGUGUUGCAAGAACUAGGGCUGUCUCUGCUUGUUUGGUGGCAGCUAUUUGUUUCUGUUUGGCUUUUUUGCAGUUCGUGUAGCAUGGGAUGCUGUGUUUGUAGAAUUUUCCACUGGACUUUCACCUUCUAUUGCACCAUCAGUACCAGCAGAAUCUGCAGGAUUCAUCCGCUUCUCGUUCCCUGCCAUUCUCUGUUUCUUCCUCUUUCUCUGUGCCAUGUUAAGUCAAGCCGACAAGAAAAACGAAUAAAAUUUAGUUCUUCAGAACAAAUUGAUGCGUGAUGCAGACGAAUAAAACUUUGAUGUUAGACAACCACAUGAUAGGAGGAUGUAAUAUGUAUGAAAAACAGGACAGAAGAGAUAACCAGAACUAUGAUGUGUAAACUAAGAAGAAGACAUUUCACCAAAUUAGAAGCAAUGCAAUGGAAGGUAGACACCAUAUGAAAGAUGCUACAAAUAUCGCUCUGCCAAGUUAACAGUGUCUCAGCAUAAAUGGCGUUUAAACAAAUGUGAACCAGUACAAGAAAUAAAUCAUAUGCAAGAUGCAAACAACAUCACACUACCAUGUUAGAGGUCUCUCGUCAUUAGUGCCAUUGCAUAUUCACAGCAUUGCAUAUUCACAGCUUAUGAUGUGUAAACUAAGGAGAAGGCAUUUCAACAAAUUAGAAGCAAUGAAAGCUAGACACCAUAUGAAAGAUGCAAAUAAUAUCACUCUACCAAGUUAAAACUAUCUCGUCAUAAGUGCCAUUUCAACAAAUUAGUAGUACAAGCUAGAAAAGAAUGUGAGAUGUAACCUAUAUCACACUCUGAAGUCAAACGUGUCUUAUGAUAAGUGAUUGCUGCAGGUUACACAACAGUAGUAAUUUGAUGUAAGAACAUGGUGUGAUAGACAGAUAUUCUAUGUUCUAGAAACAGGAACACGUGUCUUAUUCAAGUAUAAUGUGUAAAGUAAGCAGAUGGAAUUCAACAAAAUUAGAAGCAAUACAAGCUAGACAUCACACAUAACAUGCAACCACAUAUAACAGUGCCAAGUUAGAGGGAGCACCAGUGAUGCUGCACUAGGGGAGACGUGCUCAUCAUAAACAUAGCUUUGUUGAGUGUCUAUGCAUGUGUUGUCUCGGAAAUCAUCUUGGGGGUGUGGAGGAGUAGAAACUGUAGAGGCCCUCCGUUUGGAAGGAGCACCUUUAUCCGCUGCCUUGCUAACUUCCUUCUGCUUUAUUGAUUUUGAAUUGUCAAGUAAAACCGACAAGAAAAAGCAAUAAAAUUCUCUCUUCAGAACUCAUUCAUGCAUGAUACUGACAAUCACUACUUUGAUGUAAGGCAAACACAUGAUACCAGGAUGGAAUAUGUACAAAAAACAGGACGGCAUGGCAUGUUCACCACUGUUUGUGUAAACUAAGUAGAAACCAUUCCAGCAAAUAAGAAGCAAUGCAAGCUAGACACCACAUGAAAGAUGCAACCAAUAUGACUGCCAAGUUAAAAGCGUCCCAUCAUAAAUGAAAUUUCAACAAAUUAGAAGCAGCGCAUGCUAUAAAUCAUAUGAAAGAUGCAACUAAUAUCGCACUGCAUAUACUAAAGGUGUCUCAUCAUAUUGAUUGAUGCGGGAUACAAAAAAACAAUAGUUUUAUGUAAGGACAUGCUUAAUAGACAGAUGUACUAUGUACUCAAUACAGGAAGGCAUGUCACAUUAACAGGUAUAAUGUCACAUUUACAGGAGUAUAAGCUAAGCAGACUAGCACAUGCAGUUUAACCAGAUUGGAAGAAUUACAAUCUAGACACCAUAUGCAACAUGCGACCACAUAUCACGCUGCCAUGUUAGAGCAAGCACCUGCAAUGCUAGUGUAGGGGAAAUGCUGUAAUCAACUACAGAGCUACGUUCACUAUCUUCAUCUAGCAUUUCUGUUUCUUGAGAAUCAUGUCGGGAGGCUAACGCUGUAUUCUUUAAAUGAGGAGUAGUCCCCUUGCCUGCCUGCCUCGUCAUAAGUGAUUGAUGAGGGAUCCACAAGAACAUUAGUUUGAUGUAAGAACAUGGUUAAUACACAAAUGUACUAGUAUGUACCAAAAACAGAAAGGCAUGUCAUAUUCAAAGGUAUAAUGUGUAAGCUAAGCAGAUGCAAUUUAACCAAAUUGGAAGCAAUACAAGCUAGACAUCCGGCUGGAGUGGUGAACAUGAUCAUCUAGGACCUGAGAGCCUAAUGGGAGGCGGGCUGCUUCACCACCAUCGCGGCUUUUUAGUUGGCUUCCAGGUGAUGCCUGUCUUUGCUGGGCUUGUCACUGGCUCGGCCAGUGCCCUGACUAGCUAUUUGUCUUCUGGUGCUCACGGGAUGGUGGUUCAUGUAAAAAAUAUCUUUCCUUAUCUUAAUAAAGACCGACUUCGGCCUUUCGAAUACAAGCUAGACACCAACAUGCAACCACAUAUGACACCGCGAAGUUAAAGCAAGCACCUGGGAUGGUGGUUCAUUGCGAGCGAGGUUAUCAACUACAGAGCUGCGUUUACCAUCUCCAUCUGCUGACACUGCACCCUUUAUAGCGUUGUAACGUGUCUUGCCUACCCGUAUACCAAGCUGGAGCGACUUCUCUCUUUUCUUUGCUACUUCUCUUUCGGCAGGAGAGUCUGAAAUACCCUUGCAUAAAAACACAACAGUGAGAGUAUGGGUGAAGUGUGUGCAGAACUAGUGCACCGUAAAAGUAGCAGAUAGUAGGUGGCUUAAAAAUAAAUGAUAGGAGAUAUAUGAUAGCUCUACAACAUUGCAUGGCAAACAAAAUUAGAUUCUACUCCGUAUGAUUUUGUAAUAUAUGAGCACAGGAAAUGCAGGUACUCCUCCAGCACACCACCACAUGUGGUCAUAUCUAAGAUAACAGUCGACUGAAAAUAAAUAGGUCAGUCUAUUUUUUUAAUGAACCGUCCGAUCUAUAAGGAACAGCCAGAUGGCCUUCAUCUACCUCCCGCCGGUCACUGUUGACGAUCUUUCACGAACCGCCAGGGACCACCGGCCCAGACCCGUGCCUCCGCCGCCCCGCCCUCCCAUCGACCUCACACCACCGCCGUGCUUGGCAGCGCCCCCAAGCCAUCCCUUUAAUCCCGGCCGACCUCCAGAUCGAGCGCCAGUAGCUCUAGGCUGCAGACGCCCCUAAGAUAAACACCAAGGCGCUGCUUCCCCGGUGUAAUAGUCGUACUAGCGCCUGUUACGCCAGGGAAUGCUUUCGUUAAUUGGGAAUCAACUGGCUAGAAAUUGAAAUUCAGGGGGGCGACGGACCUCUAGCUAAGGUGAAAUAGUAUAUGAGGAGAAACCUUGUGCAUCGCGAGUUACUAGGAACAUCUAGUAUCAAGAAGCAGCGGUCAACUAGUGUCUUCUGUGGGAUGAAUACCAUGCAAGCAGAGACGUAAGAUUUGCACGAAUAAGGGAAGAGGAGUACCUUCUACGGUUGCCGGUCUGGUCACCUCCACAUGUCGCGCCGAUCUUCUUGUUUUUACCAGGGAAACCGAUGUUCUGGAGGGUGCAGGCUUGGACAAACCCAUGGCCAAAUUGUUGACUGUGUUGCCGUGGCUGUAUGUCGGCGGAGGGGAAGCAGAUCCGAGGCGGCGAAGGAUGGCGUAGCAGGAACAGCUCCAGUGCGGUGGAGGGUGGCGAAGUUGGAGCGGCAGCGGUGAGGCGCAGGACGGCGUGGUUAAACUGGCUCGGGUACGGACGGCUCGGCCUCGGCUUCAACUACUAGCCGUGGAGGGCGUUGCGGUUGAGGUUGCGAUGGACGACGACGUCGGGGUAUCAGCUCCGGCGUGAUGGAGGAGGGCGGCGGUUAAUGGGUGGGAUGGGUGGCGGACGGAGGACGCCGGGGUUUCACGGCUGGUGGAGAGGUAGUUUUAGCGCCCACGGAGUACGAAUUGGGGAUCGGACGGGUGGGGGGGAACCAUGUUUCGGUCUGGGACGCGCUUGUUUUUGGCUUUUUGAACAGAAGAUGGGACGAGCUUGUUUGAAAUUUGGGGAAAGUACAAACUUUGCCCCCUCUUAAAUUUCGGACCUACUGCGGGUCGGGGGUAGGAUGGUAAUCCCAGGUGUCCCGAAUAGUGGGCAGGAACGAUUUCAGCCGCGCGCAUGUGUGCUUAGGCGGACAUUGUGUAUGAAUGUUUUUCGGAGGCGGUUGCGUGGCGUCUAGAUGAAGCUACAAACCUACCCCAGUUUAGACCUUUGGACAUCGGGCCGGUAGGUUUCACAGGUCGGAGUUAUUAGAAAAGUAAUUUCCUUGUACUACCAAACAUUGGUCUCACGUGGUUUCGGGCGAGUAGAGGCUCUUUUGGCGCUUCGUUCGAAAUUUUGAAACACAAGCAUUCACGUUUAGAGUACUCUUGAACUAUGAGGAUUGACCUAAAUAGACAACAUUAUAUUUGACCUUGCAUGUUUGAAAACCUCAUUAAAUUAUCUGCUUCCUUUUGAAUUUUGACACUUGAAAAUCCUAUAACUACGAUUAUUUUGGAAUGGAGGAGCUAAAUUUGAAUCUAUUUUGUACACGACUACAUAUGCUAUUAUGUACAAAAUCAAAGCAAAGAUUGGUACCCCCAUAGUUUAGGUAUGGUUUACAAAUGCCAUGAUAUCAAAUUCAAAUAAUUUAAUGGACUUCAUGUUGAAUUCGAUUUUUUUAAACCACCUUAGGUUGAAUUCAAAUGUAUACUAGUUCAUAGGUAGCUAUUUAUAAAUGUCCAUUGUGUAACUUUCGUAUGUAUAAUGUGCUUUACACACACAACAUGAACUAUACUCACGUUUAUAUUCGAUUGCUAAAGUGAUGCAUUGUCUGGAUUUCAAAAUACUAACUAUGUGGAUCAAUUGUGUCGAAUAAUAACAUAGACAUGCUCAAAUUCGAUAGAAUCUAGAUGUUUGAUGGAUCAAUGACCGCUCCUUACGCGAAUUGCAAAUAUCAUGAUCCCAUCCUAAUACUUGGAUACAAUUUAUAUCUUUAAUCAAUGUGUAGAGCAGUCUUUUACGUGCAGUUUCACUCUCCAUCUGUGGUCUCUCACACAUGCUCACACACUCGCUCCUGAGGUGUCUUUCUUGCACACAUUCUUUAGAUAUAACCCUCCCUCCCUCCUGUAACCAUUUACAAUUGUUUUCACUAACCUUUAUCACAAGCACUCUACCUCUCGCAAACAUACACAUGCACAAUCCUCAUCGACCCUUUCUAUAUACAUGGACCUGCCUAUGUGUCUCAUGUACGCACAUUAUCUUUACGCCUGUCUCUCACGCAUUAUCUCACACCUCUCUUCCUAAUCGACGAGUAUGAUUCUAGCAGAGCAUUCUAUAGGAUGCCCCUUAAAGUUAGGUUGGAUGAAUAGUAAUAUCAGAGAUAGAGGGGUUACCUUAGUCUGAGAACCUAGGGUUACAAAUCCUAGCCGGCUUUGUUAGUGGACACAGAGUCCUUCACAAUUCUGCUAUCUUUGUCUUGUACGACUAGUCAUCCAUGGGUCUUCCUAAAUGUGUCAUGGGCCGACCAAUGUGGCGCAGGACGGAACCGAACAAAGGGCCUCACCUCGACCCACCGGACCUCACGCGGUGACACACCCUCUGCCCCCACGUCUCAUUAUCUUCUCACACCCACACAUACCAACACAAACACCACACACACAGAAAAAUUCUCCUGGUGCCUCUAUUCCCUCCCCCUUGCAUAUACACACUCAAGGGAAUGGAAUCUCUUGUCAUGACAUCAUAUUCGUCUCUCUCUCUAGACCACCCUCAUUNNNNNNNNNNNNNNNNNNNNNNNNNNNNNNNNNNNNNNNNNNNNNNNNNNNNNNNNNNNNNNNNNNNNNNNNNNNNNNNNNNNNNNNNNNNNNNNNNNNNNNNNNNNNNNNNNNNNNNNNNNNNNNNNNNNNNNNNNNNNNNNNNNNNNNNNNNNNNNNNNNNNNNNNNNNNNNNNNNNNNNNNNNNNNNNNNNNNNNNNNNNNNNNNNNNNNNNNNNNNNNNNNNNNNNNNNNNNNNNNNNNNNNNNNNNNNNNNNNNNNNNNNNNNNNNNNNNNNNNNNNNNNNNNNNNNNNNNNNNNNNNNNNNNNNNNNNCCAUGCCUCUCUCGAAUACGUAAUACACACACAUACCUCUCUAGGCCCCACCAACUGCAUCAACUACACAUUCACACAUGUUACAUCACGUACCCCAUUGAUCUAAAAAGCCCUCUCUUCACGUUUAUUUCACAUACAACAUUCCUUUUGAAUAAAGUGUAGCCAAAAAAUUAUUUUAGAGUUUCUGCAUAUAUACAACAUUACAAAGUUAUAUGGAGGAGUACGAACGCUAAUUUGCAUUGCAUUGUGCCCACGAUGAUAUUUAUUCCGCACUGUGAAUUUGUAUAUUUUUAUACUAUAUACAAAGUUAGUCAUAAUAAAGAGAAACGAGGAGCAUCUCUCUCUCCAUCGCAUACCCCCCCCCUGUACAGCCCUUUCACGUAUGCACACAAAACUAUCUCCAUGUCCUCUAAAAGUAAGCCCCCAGAAAAUUCACGCGUGUUUCAUCUUUCUCUCGCGAUAUAUGCAAUGACGAUCAUUGUAUUUGAAGUGAAAGCAUGAUACAUACAUUGUACUUCAUAAUCCACUCAUUACGGUCACCGUUUACGUUUAGUGGUUAUUAUACAGUCACGGGCUCACCGUACAACUUUGUAUUUGCUCAUGACAUGACUAGUUGACCAGUUGAACACUCCACGUGGCACCUGAUCUAGUGUUGCAUCACAUUAUCUCACUAACAUCGUGCCCACCUGUCGACUUGUAUCUACUCUACAUCUACACUAUUAUAAAAUACUUAAAAUACACUCUUAUAAAAAAUAGAGUUGGUGAUGAUGGUGUGCCUGCCAUCCUGCAAUAUAGGUCGUCCGAUUUAUAUCUGACGGAUAGGAAAGAAACUAUGGCAGUUUUGCAAAAAGGUACCCACACACCUCUCCCCAUUUGCAAAUUAGGCCUUCCCUCGUUCAUCCUUUUCUCUCACAAGAUAAACAAGUCAUACAAAUGCAUCUUGAUGUUACGAGCAACGCACGGGCAUCUUGCUAGUAAGAAUGAAAACAAACGACAAAAAAAUAUUUUGACGGUGGUGCGAAGUCAUGACCGCGGGCACAGCGGACAAGGUGGCCUUGUAUUGGUAUGCUGAGUCGUAUGUUUUAACACACAGGAGCUGGUGUGGUGAUUAUACACACAUGCACGCAUGCACACGAACUCCAUCCACGCAACACUCACACAAACACAUGCACCCACGCACGCACGCAACACUCACACGUACACACGCAGCCACGCAUGCACGCAACACUCACACGCACACAUGCACGCAUGCAUGCACACACCAGUACACCACACGACCAACACACACUCUCACGCUCAAGUGCUCAACCUACACGUGCAUGCACACAGAUCAGGCCCUGACAGACACAUACACAACCAGGUGAUUCCCGCGCACGGGUUGGAGCCUUGCCGCGCCUGCGUAAAUUUGUGUUUAUCUGACCUUUUCCCUAUGCGAACUGACAGGUGGGACCCACAAGGAACAUGGUCAAUUUAACUAGUCAACAUGGCGCCACGCAGACUAUUUGGUCGGUCAACAGAGUGCAAUCCGAUGCUGAACUGUGAGCAAGUGACUAGAUAAUCACCGCAAAACGUAUACAGUGACCAUAAUCAGCUUAUUCUGAAGUUUGGUGACCGUACUACCGUUUUCUCUCUAUAGGCCCUCCAAAACUACAUCUCUACACGUUCUCGCAUGUUACAUCUAACAACUAUGCAAUACAGCACUACUACUACACUCUAACACAAUAAAUCAUAUGUGUUUUUAGUUUUACUAGAUAUCAUAUUGUUACUUAUAAUUAUUCAGUUUGCAUGCAUUAAAAUUUCCAUUGAAAUGUAUGGCCAGUAUCAUCUACCGGGCGGGAAAAAUCCCGCCCUUUCCUGUUUAAUCGGGUUUGUAUCGAUGGAUCGUGCGAACCAGCAAAACUAUAGUACUAUACAGUACAAGUGACAGUUCAGUGGGCCGUCGUGUCGUCUACUCCUCCGUCGUAAGAGUGGAGCGCUCGCUUUCAUAAAUCUUCUAGUCCCUUUCGCUGACAUGUGGGACAUCAAGCUACCGGGUCCACGUGCCAUACCGGAAUAUAGUGCAGAGUAGUCGGGGUGAAGCACCCCAGUCAUGGCGCCGGCGUAGUAAUGAGCAAUGAGGCGUCAAAUCACAAAGCUACACCUUUCCCGUAGUUAAGUUGGAGGGACAAAGUAAUAAUGCUAAAAAAGAAGUUGGAGGGACGAAGCAACCAUCAUUUCACUUGUUUCUGAAUCCGCGUCUCCCUCAUCUUCUUCAACUUAACCGCGUGUUGCUUUUGCCGUUGUUCUGCCUCAUGUCGGACGCGGAUCAGCUUGGUCGCUUCUCCCUCAUCUUCUUCAACUUAACCAUGUGUUGUUUCUGCCGUUGUUCUGCCUCAUGUGGGACGCGGAUCAGCUUGGUAAAGCACUGACACGUGGGACCGCAUGUUAGCAAACCGCCAGGACAACGUCCUCCGAAAAUAAGAAACCUCCCCCGCCAUCCGCGCUGCAAAACCAUCUCCUUUUUACUAAUCUUUGAUUCUAUAAUUUUUUAGAUCAAUAUAAUUGAGAUUUGUAUAGAUAGCACACAGGAGCAAAACCAAGUGGGACGGUUAAGGGCAUCCACAAUGUGUAGCCAAAUGUAAAAAUAGCUUUUGGCAUCGUGGGAAUCAUUGUGGACGGUGUUGCCAAAGCCAAAAAUAUGGAACCGAAGCUCCCUGAUUGAUUGAUUGAAGGAAUAGAAAAAUGCAACGUCUCUCCUCUUUCUCCCAUGCUUGGACGCAUGUAGGAGUAGUACAGUAUAGAGCAUAGAGUCUACUCCCCUGUCCCUUCUAUCACAAAUCACAAAGCAGUGAGGCAUCAAAUCACAAAGCACGGACGAAGCAACUAUCAUUUCACUCUUCGCUGACUCUGCUUCUCCAUCGUCUUCUUCAAGAAACCAUCUCACCGCACUAGUACUCCUAAUAGUAGUACUAGUAAAGGACUUCCUGGAUGCAAAUAAGGCGGUUGUCUCGGCUUGCAAGCGGCACUUGCGAACGACUUACCGUGGUCUCCCUCAAUGGUGUUCUCCGUCGAACGCACUUCGCCAAACCACAAAAAAAAGUCGUCGACGUCACCGCAAUGGGCAAGGAAUUCAAAUAUAGUUACUACCUCCAAUUUUUUUGUACACAAGGUCAGUAUAUCAAAAUUACAAUUUGCAAAGGGCCACUAACACUAAUCGAGGAAAAAUUGAUGGGGUUAGCAACCAAGGACAUUAAUAUCCCCUGCAUGCAUGCGGAAGUGAGAAGGUUCGUUUGCAUGGUGCUGCAUUAAUCAAGCAAUGAGGAGUGAGAUGGUUAGCUCUUUGGUCUUUCGAGAAAAAAAAUACCCAUUAAUUGACACGUGAAAUGAGGAUUUGUAUCAAAGGAAACCCCCGCCUUUCUUUUUUAACACUAGUACUCCUAGUACGUACUACCUCUGUCCUGGUUUAUAGGUCCCUUUUAUAGUUUGUGCCAAAUUUUGACUAAAGAUUUAACUAACAAAAUGUUAAUGCAUGUCAAGAAAAAUUAUCUCAUUGGAUUCGUAUUUGAACAUAGUUUUGAAAAAUAUAAUGUUUUGUGACAUGCGUGAACAUUUUCUUAGUUUAAUCUAUGGUCAAAAUUUGGCACGAAAUACAAUGGGGACCAAUAAACCCGGACAAAGGUAGUACGUACUUAUCCUGUUUGGGUCUAGGCCUUGCAUUGCCAAACUUCGCCACACAUCUUUGCCAAGCUUGCCUAAAGUUUUCAAAAUGAGAAGGAGGUACACUUGCGCACGACUGUCGCGGUCGCACCGCACCCUCACACGGUCUCUCCUGCACACCACAGUCGCACCGCACCCUCACACUUCGCUCCUGCACGACGCAAACCCAACCAAGGGAACGCACCCUCACUAACACGUGCUGUCGCAUGUGAACAAACCAAACUCAGCCAUCCUAUCGCUGACACAUAAUUUUCGUUCAUAGAGUAUGUUUAUCCAACUGGAGUAUCCGUACGGCCCGUGCGGUGGUCUGUUGGGGAAGAAGAAGAGGUGAGGAAGAAGGAAAGAAGGGUUAGGAGACGUAGGAUAUUCAUCCAACCGCCUGAAAUGGUAGACUCAGGCGACUUGCAUAACAAAUAGUAUGUUUUUACACAGCAAAAGAUCCAUAAUAAUGAAAACAACAACAUAAAGAAAAACUAUCACUGCUCGCGGAAAGAGACGGCCUCGUCAUCUUUGGCUGCCGGUGCGAACCAGCCGUCGCUGCCGACGUGUGUCUCCGUACCGUGGUUGUCCUCGGCCUCCAGCUACUCGUUCAAGCGGAGCGUGCGGGCACUCUGCACGGACGAGAGCACAGCCUGGUUCAAGUCGAGGACAUCCGGUUCCGCCUGCAGGAGGGCCUCGAUGGCAGCGGCAUCCGCGCGCUCCACGUCUAGUCGAGCCUCCGCCGCCCGGUUCAAGUCUAGGACUUCCGAUUCCGCCUGCAGGAGGGCGUCGAUGAGAGCGGCAUCCGCGCUCUCCGCGUCGAGUCGAGCCUCUGCCGCCCGGUUCAAGUCCAGGACUUCCGGUUUCGCCCACAGGAGGGCGUCGAUGAGAGCGGCAUCCACGCCCUCCGUGUCGAGUCGAGCCUCUACUGCCCGGUUCAUGUCCAGGACGUCCAGUUCCGCCUGCAAGAGAGCCCCGAUGGCAGCGGCAUCCGCGUGCUCCGCCUCAAGUUGAGCCUCCGCCGCCCGGUUCACAUCCACGACAUCCGGUUCCUCCUGCAGGAGAGCCUCAAUGGCAGCAGCAUGCGCGCGCUCCGCGUCGAGUUGAGCAUCUGCCUCCCGGUCCUCCUUUAGUAUCGCCAUGUUGAACCGCUGGUCCGCCUACACCAUGGGAGACUCUAACGCCGGCACGAAGUCGACGUCCAUCGUCUCAUACCCAUCGGGGGCCUUCUGCGUCGUGACCUCCACGGUGAACAUUGGAUCGGCUUCCUCCUCCUUGUAGCUUGGCUCCAGAGAACUCGGGGAUUGGCCCGCCGCAAAGCGAGCUUGGGAACGGAGGUCUGUGGCACCGACCGCUGCCGCGAUUUCUGCGCGGCGCUCCGGGGUCAGCAUCUUGUAGUAAGUGAUCGUGCGGCGCACCAUGGCUUUCCGGUGAACUAGGGGACGCUUGAUGCGGGCUAGGGGAUCGAAAGGUGGGGGAAUGGGCUGGAGAUUUGGUGUGGUUUUAGGGCAGUGGCUGGCGUAGCCCGAGCAGCGAAGGUUCUGGUGUGAAUAGUGGUUCCGGUGACGACCGGUCAAUCGGUUUUGACUGUACAUCGCUCUUUUCGCAUUCGCGUUGCAGCCCGGCACGCUGGACCCUCCACAUUGCUCACCAAAUGGAACGCGCUUCAUCUUGCGUUUUCGCUCACUUGUGGGACCGCAGUUGAGAGCAAACCGAUGUCCCUGCCCCUCCCCCGCCCGCGUCAUUUAUUAUACCACUACUCCCUUCGUUUUAUGCGGAGUAAAUAAAAACAGAGGGAGUAUACUACGGAUGAGGAUCCCCUGACGUGGCCGAACCCAUUGAGUAACUGACAUGCGGGGCCUAGAAAGCAUGGGGUCCGCCAGUAAGUGACCGAGAGGGAGGGUAAGGCAGGGAUACCUACGUCAGAGGAUCCACUUCCAUUAUACUACUUUGACCAAAUGUUAGAGUAAUAAUAUAUGACAUGCAACUUACACAAAUGUUAGAGUAAUAAUAUAUGACAUGCAACUUACAUAAAGCAUACAGGGUCUAAUGCGUUUUUUGAGGCUAACUUUGACCAAAUGUUAGAGUAAUAAUAUAUGACAUGCAACUUACACAAAGCAUAUGGUCAAUUUCGUAUGUGAAAGGAGUUUCCAAUGAUAUAAUUUUCACAUUAUACAUCUCAUGUACUCCCUCCGUCUAGGUGUGUAAGUCAUCUUAUGAAAACCAAAUAAUCUCAAAACACGUAGGCGCGGUGCAUUAACUUCUACCUCGUUUCUUGUUUCUUGACAUAUGAACCAAUAAGAGAUGAGCGUGUGCCUACUUUUAAUGACCCGAGACUAUCAAACAUGACAUGUAGUGGUUAGUUCAUUGCAUGCAAUACUAUUAAUUAGCAAAUAAACAUUAAUGUCUCUCGUUUUCCCAUCCUCCUUGGUCACGGUGCACAGCCUAAAAUGACUUACUCACCUAUGUGAAAGGAGUACUAUUAAUCUUGUCAAUAGUCAAAUUAGAAACCAUCUCGAGUACAAAUCUAGGAGUACGUACGAAUCUAACAAUAUUGAUUGGGCGUUGUUGAAUGUUGGUACCUUUUUAUCAUAGUAGAGAUACUUUGACUACACAUAAAACUUAUAUGUAAGGUAGAAAGGAUAGGAGGGAGUAUAUUGUACGUUCAAAAACGAAACGAACAUUGAAUACCCUUUAUAUAUGAUUUGCGAAUGCUAUGAUCACCGGCUCAAAAUUUUGAAUCCACCUUAGGUAUCACGUGCCCCCACUCGUUCCCUCUCGAUUUCAUCUCGGGGUCCGGAGAUCUAUUGAAAGAGGACUAGGGUGGGUACAUGCGAAUGAUACUCGGUGGAAUGUUCAAAUGAGGCAUGCGGGAGGAUGGACUCGACUGGAGGGCGACAUGAUCGAUGGAGAAGAGGGUUAGAGAGGAAUGAGAAAUAAGCAAACGCCACAUGAUUACAUUUGAACGGCUCAAAUAAACAAUAAGUUGUCUCGCUUGGCCUACAUAGUGAAAGGCCUAAUGCGCAACGCGGAGCACUCACGCUCGAAUAUGGCCGGGAAAACAGGGAAACCGACAUGUGGGGCACACCCGCCGGGACAAUGUAGCGUAGACUAGUCCAAUGGAGGAGCUGGCCCAUGACCUCCUCGCCACCGACAACCGUUCAUGUGGGUCUUUGGGGCCAACAAUGGGGCGCAGCUCCAGCACCGCCUCUGGACACGGCGACCGCGGUGAGCGACACGCUCAUAUCGUCGAUAGACACAGUCGGUUUCAGUGUGCCGAGGGUGGCGUUUGUGUUGUGGCACGAGCAACGGUAUGUUUGGUUUGUGCCCAAGGUUGCCCCAUCAAAGCAUUGGGUAGCCAAAAUUUUGGUUGAGGUAUUGGUUGCCUAUGAUUUGUCCGACAUUGGCAAGAAAAAUGAACUAGUUGGCAAGAGUUCAUUGGCAUGCCAAAGAAAUGGCAACCAUCCAAACAAAGACCAAUCUUUGGGUCAUGACCAAAAUUUUGGUAAGGUGCACUUUGGCCACAAUCCAAACACACCCCAACACCCGGCUCAUCGCUGAUGCACGGGGCACCGCGACGCGUCCGCGGAGUGGUGUAGCACGGACAAUUGCAUCCUCUGGACCUGAGACCAUGCCGGGUCGUCUUGCUUUUUCAAUGACAUGCAGGGAUCGCAUUUGAGCAAAGAGCAUCUCCAACGUUGCCACGACCGCAGCUGACUACCCUGGCACACCAAAGCCCUCGUCCCUCGCACCGUCACGCGGUGCGUUCCCAGCCGGUGCUAGCUACCCGCAUUCAUGCCCUCCAUUCGUAUGUCGGCGUUAAGAGGCUCGGUGCCCGAGGAACCAACUCCGGUGACUUAAUGACGCACUCGGACGCUUGGCCUCACCGGAAUGCGCUACUUAAAGCGGCAACGCCCAGCUAACCUCCACACCAUAGCGCAUCGUCCUCCUACCUGACACCACAUCCGCCAUGACCACAAGUGCGAACACUCUACGGGAGAGCUUGUCUUCGGGGAUGAAGCUCGAGGUCGCCGCCCUCGCUCAAGUCGCCUCUUGCGACGCAAUAGCAGCGUAGCCGGACGCGGACGCGACCGCACAAGCAAUGGCCAUGCUGGCGGCCGACGAUGGGAGCACCGUCAGCCACGUGUCCUACUUGCCGCCGUCCAACGUCCGGCACCGCCGAGGUCGGGGACUCCUCCGAGGAUGAGUAGGGCGUGGGAGGCGGCAGGGCAUGGUGUGCCAACUGGCCGGUCUGUAUCCCGUGUUCUACUCUUCCUCGCCGGAUACCGCACCUUCACUUCACGGGUCUUGAACCCCGCCCCCGUACAUAGAGAUCGCAGAUGGAGGACGUCGGUCGCCGCCGUAGAAUAGGUUUAGGGUCGGGUUUCUUUUAUUUUUCUGUCUUAUAAAAGUUUGAAAUGUAAUGAAAAUCUGCCGUGUUUGCAUUAAUCUCGGCCGGUGUAUAUGAACUUUCACAAUAAUAUACAUAUUAUAGGAGUACUAGUGCACGGAAGAUCAAGAUCUUGUGGGAGAAAAGGAUGAACGAGGGAAAGCCUUAUCUGUAAAUGUGGAGAGGAGUGCGGGUAAAUUGUCAUAGUUUCCUUCCUAUCCGUUAGAUAUAGAUCGGACGGCCUGUAUUGCAGGAUGAUAGACACACCGUCAUCACCAACUCUGCUUUUUAUUGAACCGAGACAAAUCUAAAAAACCCAACUAAGCCAACCUCCCAGCACAUCGCGCGGGAAAAGACCCGGUCGCGUCGUUUUAGUCGGGAUUACCGGAUUACUAGUAGUAGUAUCGAUGGAUCGCGCGAAGCAACAUUUUUUUGACGGGGCGAAGCACCUAGUUUAAAAGGAAAAAAGGUGGUACACUCACAGCACUCCUGUCGCGGUUGCAUUGCACCCCACACACGUUCGGUCCUGCACACGACUCACGCAAACGGAACGCGCUUCGGCUUGCCUCUUCACUGACACGUGGGACUGCACUUGGAGAAACCGACCAUGCGCCAAACUCCGCCCGCCCACCGCGCGNNNNNNNNNNNNNNNNNNNNNNNNNNNNNNNNNNNNNNNNNNNNNNNNNNNNNNNNNNNNNNNNNNNNNNNNNNNNNNNNNNNNNNNNNNNNNNNNNNNNNNNNNNNNNNNNNNNNNNNNNNNNNNNNNNNNNNNNNNNNNNNNNNNNNNNNNNNNNNNNNNNNNNNNNNNNNNNNNNNNNNNNNNNNNNNNNNNNNNNNNNNNNNNNNNNNNNNNNNNNNNNNNNNNNNNNNNNNNNNNNNNNNNNNNNNNNNNNNNNNNNNNNNNNNNNNNNNNNNNNNNNNNNNNNNNNNNNNNNNNNNNNNNNNNNNNNNNNNNNNNNNNNNNNNNNNNNNNNNNNNNNNNNNNNNNNNNNNNNNNNNNCAAAGCCUCCCUCCCCGCCGCACCAAUAUGUCGGCGUCGUGGUUCAUCGAGGGGACGCACGGUGAUCCUCUCGCUCCCACAAUACGCUCUCGUAGACUGUCGUCCUCUAGCCACGCCGCCACCUCUGGCUAUGUUCUUGUGGAGGCGCACGGCGGUCAGUGCCGCCACCGCUGGCGACGUUCGUGUGGAGACGCACGGCGGUCAGCUUCUCCCACGGUACAUGCAUUCUAGACUAAGGCCCCAUUCAUGUCGGUGUAGCGCUGAAUGUUAGCUGAUAGACGCUGUUAAUCUCACUGUUUGCUGAAGUAGUUUACUGUCAAUAUGCUCUGCUUAAGAAGCUUCCUUGCCCUGUUCUGCACUCAAUCUGCUUAGCUGAGAUGGCAUGCCAAGGCCGAUUAGUUGCUAAAAUAUCCUGCCAUAUAUUUAUUGUGACGUAGAUUGCCAUGGUCUAGUAGCCAAUCUAUUAGGUGAAAUAGCUCUACACCGUUUUAUACUCGAUCUUUGUUGCUGCGAUGGCCUUCGAUAGUUCGAUGGCUGUGUGCUCGGGCUCAUUGACUGCUGAAACAGCCUGCCAUAAUUUAGCACUCAAAUCUGUUUGCUGAAUUAGCUUUACAUAUAUUUUGUUACUUAGAUCUGCUCGUCCAAAUAUCUUGCCAUAGCUUUAGACAUCGACCUAGGUAUUAUUUUUUGGACUUCAUAAAAAAGCAUAUAUGUUUUUCAGGUAAUAUCUAGUAGAAGAACUAAUUUGUAUGUCUAACAGAUGGACAGGACUUGGAUAACUUCUUCUCGAAGAUUCUCCGCUGCAUAUGUCGAGGGGGUUGAAAACUUCAUGAACUUUAUCAGAGAUGAGUAUGGUGGUCCGAAAUCAGGUGUGCUCUGCCCGUGUAGCAGUUGUAUGAAUUCCGUUUCAAGACCCCAGUCAACUGUGCAAAAUCAUCUACACUUGUAUCGGAUGUCGGUCACAUAUACUAGGUGGGUUCAUCAUGGUGAAGCUGUGAACGUUAAUGUUAUUGACUACGUGGAAGCAGCAGAUCACCAUCUUGAUCUGCCUGAUGCUCAGGUGGAAGAGGAGGAGGAGGUGGUGGUGGCGGAGCCAGUGAGUUUGACCAACAUUGAAACAAUGCUACGAAAUGCUCGUGCAUUCCGUGAAAUUUCACCUGCAGAAGAAAAAUGGUGGGCCCGCAUGUUGGAACAAUGCAACGUUGUUGUCACCCCAGGAAAUAAGCUGUCAGUAUUCUCAGCUAUGGUCACCUUUCUUCAGGUGAAGACAUCUGAGCGGAUGACCAACAAAUCAUUCGAUGCGAUGUUGGCUGCUUUCCGCAAAUCUUUCCCAAAUGCGUCUGAGCUACCACACACCUACAGUAAAAUGAAGAAUUUCCUUCGUGCAGUUGGAAUUGGAUAUGAUAUGAUCCAUGUUUGUAAGAAUAAUUGUGUUCUGUUCCGGAAGGAUUAUGCCAACUUAAGUGAAUGCCCGAAAUGCAAAUCAUCAAGAUGGAAAGAUGGUGAUGUUGUGAAGAGGGUUCCUCAUAAUGUUCUGAGACAUUUUCCAAUUACAUCAAGAUUGCAGAGGUUGUUUCAUGAUGCUGAAACAAGAGAGGAUGUACUAUGGCAUUCUAGGAACCAGGAGUACAGAGAUCAGAAUGUAAUGAGACAUCCAUCUCAUGGUAGUGAGUGGAAAAGCUUCAAUGAUAAACACAAAGAGUUUGCUGCUGACCCGAGAAACAUUAGACUUGGCUUAGCUUCAGAUGGAUUUAACCCAUUUGGCCACCAGAGAGCCACAUAUAGCAUGUGUCCAGUGCUUGUUAUCCCUUACAACAUGCCUCCAAAUGUCUGCACCAAAGAAUCAAACUACAUGAUGGCCUUGCUCAUCCCAGGUCAAAAAAGUCCUGGAAAGGAUUUUGAUUUGUUCAUGGAGCCUCUUGUGGAGGAACUUCAACAGCUAUGGAAGGGUGUUCUCACUCGAGACCUAUAUAGCAGCCCACCAGCUGAUUUCUUUCUACGUGCUGUUGUAAUUUGGUGCAUCCAUGAUUAUCCGACUUUGGGCACUAUGUCAGGGCGAACGACACAUGGUUACAAUGCAUGUGUUCGAUGUGACAGGAAUCCGCUGUCAUACGCAAUACUUAGCAAGAUCUGUUACAUUGGACACUGCCGUUUCCUUGCCAAGGACAAGCCGCAUCCUAGAAAAUACCGAAGACAUGUGUUCAAUGCAAAGCAUGAAAACUGUGAUGCGCCAAAGAGGCUCACCACCGAUGAGUUGCAAGUGGAAUUAGAGAAGGUCAGACAUAUUACACCAGGAAACCAUCCUGGUAAUGGUAGCGGGAAAAGGAAGUGUGGCACGAUAGAAGAGAGAUUAUUGUUUACCCGCAGGUCCACUUUGUGGGACUUGGAGUAUUGGAAAGAUUUGGAUCUGCGGCAUAAUCUUGAUGUGAUGCACAUCGAGAAAAAUAUAUGUGACAGCAUUAUCGGCACACUUCUUAACAUUGAAGGCAAGACGAAAGAUACCUUAAAAUCUAGGAUUUAUUUGACACACCUGGGUAUCAGAAAGGAUUUGCAGGUGCAAGAUGAAGGUAAACCACGGGAUAUGGCACCAGUUGUGUACGUCGUGGACAAGGUAAAAAGAAAAGAAUUCUGUGAGGUCCUGUCACGUGUGAGAUUCCCACAUGGAUUUGCUUCCAACCCUGAAAGGAGAGUCAGUGCAGAUGGAAACAAGGUACAAGGGUUGAAAACUCAUGAGUGCCACGUCCUACUUCAAAGGGUUUUACCUGUUAUCCUUAGAGGAUUGGGCCGCCUUGACUUAUAUAGAGCAGUUGCAGAGUUGGGACAAUUCUUCAGGGAACUCUGCAGUAGAAAUAUCAGGAUAGAUGCUUUGGAGCAUCUUAGAGACAAGAUACCAACUAUCCUAUACGACCUUGAGAAGAUAUAUCCUCCAGCCUUCUUUGAUGUGAUGGUGCAUUUGGCUAUUCAUCUACCUGAUGAGGCACUACUUAGAGGUCCAGUACAGUAUGGCUGGAUGUACCCUACUGAAAGGCGGCUAGGCACUUUCAAGGGCUAUGUUAGGAACAUAGCUAGACCCGAGGGUUCCAUUGCAGAGGACUACAUUGCUGCAGAAGCGUUGACAUUCUGCUCAAAAUACAUUGAAACAGUUGAUCUGCUUAGCAAAGAGGUGGGUGAAGACAAUCCCGGGCUCAAUGUUUUCGAUUAUUCUGUUCGAGUUACAGGGAAGAGUCGACAAGAGGACAAACCUAAAGAUUUGGACAAAAUGGUUUGGUAUGUGUUGAAUAACUGUCCUGAGAUACUACCUUAUAUCAAGUAAGUGCAGUACUGCAGCUUAUACAUUGUAAUCUACUAAACUUGCAGCACAUUCUUAUAUAUUUAGACGUUUGACGCGAUCACUAUGUUGUGCAGCAUGUACAAAGAGGAGUUACUGCCGCAAAAUCCAAGAAACAUUGACAAACUGGUUAUGGAAGGAUUUGCGAAAUGGUUCAAGAACCAUGUAAGCUUUUGAAGUGCAUUGUCAGUUUUCUUAAUAUAUUGAGUACAUAAGAUGAUCAGCUUGUCUAUUUUCUAACCAUAGGUUAACAAGAUGCGGGAGGAUGGGCAGGCAGUUGAUGAUGCCCUUUACUCACUAGCAAUGGGUCCUGAUACUCGGGUAAGACAUUAUGAAUCUUGCGUUGUUGGAGAUGUGCGCUACAACAACCUUGCACGAGACGAAGGCAGGAAGACACAAAACAGUGCCAUCAUGAGCACGGAUACGUAUGACAAAGAGACAACUGAAAUGUAUGCUAACAUAACAGACAUUGUUAAGUUGCAGUAUAUCUCUAGUUUCGAGGAUCAUCGGUGUGUGGUUCUGUUGUGCUGUCGUUGGUAUAACCUGUUUUCUAGGAUCGCAAAACCCAGAGCUGAUGAUUAUUUCAAAUCCAUCAAUGUCAAGGCGGCGUACCAGACCAACGAGCCUUUUAUUUUGGCAAAUCAAGCAACACAGAUAUUUUUCUUGGAAGACACAUUUGCACGUAGCGGUGACUGGAGAGUAUUGCAAAGGUUUGAGCAGAGAAAUUUGUUUAAUGAAGUUGCACAACAAGAUGAUGCUUACACUGCUCCUGAUGUACAAGAUAACACAGAUGUUUCUAAUAUCUUUGAGAACCAUCACGUCAAUGACGCCGGCGAAAAGAUUGUCUGUCGUGUUGUGGACAUACAAGAGUUGAUCAAGAAGAAGCCAACGUUCGAGGACGUUGAGGACGAAGAAGAAGAUGACACCGUGGGGAAUUACGAUUCAGACUGAUACACAUGGCGAAGAUGUUGAUGCUGCUGCUGCGGAUGAUGAUUACAUUGCUUUUGUCAUAUUUGCCUGUCAGAAGACGUUUUUUUAUCUACUAUGUGAAAUUGUGUUUGCUAUGACAACUGAAACCUGAUGAACAUGUUGUUUAGUAUUUUGCUGUGAGAACAUCACUUGUUAUGUAUGCUGAUUUGUGUUUGGUGAUUGUAUGACAACUAAAACAUGAUGACAUUGUUGUUUAGUUGUACUCAUAUUUGGCUGUGAAACUUGAAUUUGAUGACAUAGUUUGCUGUUGGACUGCAAUUUGCUUGACUUCUUCGAAUGAGAACAAAGCUGACCCGACAGGGCCUCUGCUAUCUAUUUAUUUGUAUGAGCAAAAGGGGAUACCCCCUGAUUUCUGUUAAUAGAAAUCAUUAGAUGUUCACAACACUACGCCCAGCCUGCUACACAGGUUUCAUUCAUUACUAGUUUCAGCAAAGUGCUCAUGUCGUAGCCACUGAAUACAUCACGAGUGCUACAUACACUGCAAAUAAAGAGACAAUCAUCCUACAGAGCACAUCGAUUUGGCCCAUUAUCUUCACAAGCUCUUUCAUCUCCUCAUUGUUGUCAAGGCCGUUCAGCAGCUGUUGCUUGGCCAUGAUCAGAGGAACUGCGUCUUUAACCUUCUGCUCUGCAUCUUCCUCUUCUAUCGUUCCUUCAGUUACUUGUCCAACACCCCAACCUGCUAGUAUUGGGAUUCCUCGGAUAAACAAAUAAUCAACGUAGUUGCAUUCCCCCACAUCAGCAACUUCCCAGAAAUACAAAUCACACGAAUCUUCCCUUUUCUGCACGAAUCAAAUUGGAAGAUCAUCAACCAAACUAUUAAAAAAUCAGCAACUGAAAGCAGCAGAACAACACUUAAACAUAUUAUUACCCCAUGAUUCGGGCAUUUGUAGAAGACUCGGCCAGGGUUGCAGAUUGUGGUUGAGACGUGACAGAUGACUCUGCGUGAUUUGCAGUAGUGGCACCACACCAACGGCAGCGGGUUGUGAUGAGCAAUCGGUUGCGGUGCGCGUACCGGCGGGAGUGUGAUGAGACCCACAGGCGAUGGUACGGGUGGCGACUUGGCGCAUAUCUGGUUGUUGCCUGCUGAAGAGCAGGUGGACGAGCAGCCAGCGGACAUGGUUGCUGCGGCCAGAGCUUCUGAUGCUAGGCAGAGUAAGUAGAGAAGAGGAGAAGCGAACGUUGGAUAUGUCAGUUUCAUUACUUGCAGAGUAGCAUAGCACCAUAUAUAGUCAUAGUCUAGAUUUGGAUUCGAACCAGCUACAGGAGCACGUCUUUCUUUUUUCUAAAACUCGGCAACGUCUCUUUACUGGUACACUAGCUUGUUCUGUACGCCUUCCCAAGUCUUUGUUUUCUUUCCCUUUUUUUGCGAGGAAGGAAGGAGGACAAAAUUGAGAGUUCCUCGGACUCGAACCCAAGACCUCUCGGUUGAAAACCAAGGGUGCUAGUCACUUAUGUGGCGAACGUUCCCUGUGAGGAGGACGGCAGAUGAACGCAUUUUCCUCGCAUUUUCUUCCAAUAUAUAAAAAAGUAUGCUACUUGGUGUCCGCUUAGUCAAAAAACGAUUGUGCCAACCUUGACCGUUCGAUUGACAUUCAACGUCUGUCGCGUUUCUUCAGUCUCUUCUUCCUCGAGCCGCCAAAGCCAAACCAGUGCCGGCGGGACCGCCUGCUCCCGCCUCCCACGGCUGGCUGUGAUCUUCCCCGGCUCCUGUUCAUUCCCGUAUGAGGCCUCACCAUCGUCCUCCGCGCUCACCGCGGCGCCGCCCUCCGGUGUUGUCAACAUGGUCAACAACCGAGAGGAAUAAGGAGAUGACUGUACAUGGUGAGGAUGACAGUAGGGACCCAGCAGCGCGCGCAGUAAUUUUGUUUUUUCGGGGCGGAGAAGGGUAUCAACUGGGUUGUGCGGGACCUGUGGCCCGUCUAGCCCAGGCUUUUAUUUCAUAUGUUUAGCACAUGACCAGCCCAGUUUGUUUUUUUCCUUUCUGAAAAAUGGCUAGCCAGCUAUUUUGUUUUUUGCAGAAUAACCAACAUAGGCCUACUUGCUUUUCUACGCCCUGCUGGGCCGGAAAUCUUUCAAGACGAGGAGGGAUGCAUUUUGCGCAGAAAAUGGGCUAUAAGUAAUAAGAAAUGGGCUAUAAGUAAUAAUAAAUGGGCUAUAAGUAAUAAUAAAUGGGCUGUAAAAUGAAAAAAUACAGCAAAUGGGCAAUUAGUUCCCAAAUACUGUUUUCUUUCUGAUUUUGAUAUUUUAAAUUUCAUUGUUUUUGUGCGGGUAAAAUUUCAUUGAAUUUAAAUUAAGGUAUAUUUAGAUUUAAAAUUAAUUUGAAUACGGCUAGAAAUUUCGGGUUGUAUGUUGUUUGGGACAGAUUUGGAGGCUGACUUGUGGGUCUACUAGGUUGAUGUGUACUUUGGCUUUUUCAACUUAGUCCACAAACGAUUCUAGCAGCAGUGACCGUUGGAUGUUAAUCCAACGGCCGUGCUGCUUCUUCAAUAUCUGAUCUUCUUGCUCCAGCCGCCCAAACCAGCUCCGGUGGGACUGCCUGCUCCCGCCUCCCGUGGCCGGCUGUGCUGCCGCACAGGCCGCACCGCCCCAUCCUACUUCAUUGCUGGCCAGGCCAUUCCUCUACUCACCCACACCUCCUGUUAUUUUCCGGCGACGGCAGCCCGACCAGUAAACCCUCGUACUCCCCACCGCGUGGGCAACCAUUGCCAAGUCUUCCCCGGCUCCAUGUCGUUCCCUUCCUAGGCCUCGCCGUCAUCCACCGCCAUGGUGCUCUCGGCGCGGCCUGGUCAACAUGGUCAACGAACGACAUCCAUCGGUCGUGGACUGUACGCGCAAAAUAAUGAUUCCCCCACCUGACAGCUAGGACCCACCGGAAGGGCCUCUGUAUUUCACGAAAAAAACGUUCCCCCCGCUGACAUGUUGGACCCACCAGCUAUAUCUUCGCACACAAGGAAGUGACUCCUUAUUACGCACAAAAAAAUGAAUACCCACCCGGCUAGAUGGGACCCACCAUAGUGGGAGGAUGACUUGUGGGCCAACUAAGUUGACGGGGACGGAGGGCUUUGUCAACUUAGUCAAUAUGAAUGAUUCUAGCUCCAGUGACCGUACGAUGUCCAUCCAACGACCAUAGUGCUUCUUCAACCUCUGGUCUUCUUGCUCCAGCCGCCCAAAGCAGCGCCGGUCGUGCCGCGUGCUCCUGCCUCUCGUGGCCGGCUGUGAUGCCGCGGAGGCCUCACUGCCCCCUACUACUCCCACCGCUGGCCCAGGGUAUCCCUCUACUCACCCACACCCCCUAUUAUUUUGCAACUACGGCAGACUCACGCCACAGCCGAACCAGUGAACCCUCGUACUCAUCUCCGCGCGGGCUACCACUGCUGCGUCUUCCCCGGCUCCGCGUCGUCCCCUUCCUAGGCUUCGCCGUCGUCCAGACCACUGCCCUGGUGCUCUCAGCGCGGCGUGGUAAACAUGGUCAACGACCGACUUCCAUUGGAAGAGUACUGUACAUGGAGAGGCUGACAGCUGGGUCCAGGCGGGCGCAAGGAAGUGCCUCCUUAUUACGCGCAAAAUAAUUAUUCCUCCACCUGACAGCAGGGACCCACCGGACGGGCCACCUUAUUUCGGGAAAAAAACAUUUCCCCCUGACUGCUGGGAGCCACCAGACGGGCCAGCGUAUUUCGCGAAAAAACGUUCCCCGCGCUGUCAGCUCGGACCCACCGGAAGUGCCUCCUUAUUACGCACAAAAAAAUCAAUACUCCCCUUGCUAGCUGGGACCCACCAUGGUGGGAGGCUGACUUGUGGGCCUACUAAGUUGACUGGGACGGGGGCCUUUGUCAACUUUAGUCAAUAUGAACGAUUCUAGCUCCAGUGACCGUACGAUGUCCAUCCAACGGCCGUAGUGCUUCUUCAACCUCUGGUCUUCUUGCUCCAGCCGCCCAAAGCAGCUCCGGUCGUGCCACAUGCUCCUGCCUCCCGUGGCCGGCUGUGCUGCCGCGAAGGCCUCACCGCCCCCUACUAUUCCCACCACUGGUCAGGCCCUGCGGCGACGGCAGCCUCACACCGCAGCCAAACCAGUGAACCCUCGUACUCCUCUCCACGCGGGCUUCCACUGCCGUGUCUUCCCCGGCUCCCCGUUGUCCCCUUCCUAGGCCUCGCCGUCGUCCACCGCCCUGGUGCUCUCGGCGCAGCGUGGUCAACGUGGUCAAGGAACGACUUCCAUCGGACGUGGACUGUACGUGGAGAGGCUGACAGCUGGGUCCACGGCCGCAGCAAGGAAGUGCCUCCUUAUUACGCGGAAAAUAAUGAUUCCUCCACCUGACAGCUGGGACCCACCAGAUAGCCCACUGUAUUUCGCAAAAAAAACAUUUCCCCCUGACUGCUGGGACCCACCAGCUACAUCUUCGCACGCAAGGAAGUGCGUCCGGGCAAAAAACAAAAUGAUUCGCCCCCCUGACCGCUGGGAACCACCAGCGACACCUUCGCACGCAAGGAAGUGCGUCCGGGAAAAAAAGAUUCGCCCUCCUGACUGCUGGGACCCACCAGCUACAUCUUCGCACGCAAGGAAGUGCGUCCGGGCAAAAAAAACCAAAACGAUUCGCCCCCUGACUGCUGGGACCCACCAGCUACAUCUUCGCACGCAAGGAAGUGCUUGACAGUCGGGACCCACCUGGUCGAAGCGUACGUAGCGUUGUCAUUCUGGUCGCAAACGUGUACGUACAUAUAUACUGGUGGAUGUAGAGGUGCGCACGUGUCGUAGUAGAGGCGCGCACGUACCAUGUACACGUACGUACAGCGGCGAGGAUGCAAGAAAGAAAAUACGGCCACGUACGUACAUACGGGCAGGGUCUCUAACGCCUAUCGCACAUACGUACAUGGCUGGGUCGGAACGGAGAAACAGCGUCGUCCUUGUGUUCAUGGGGAGCCAACCGGCUGGGUCGGAACUGAAUGCGUGGUCGUGUUCAUCGGGAGGGCAUGGACGGAACAGGCGAUGGAAACGAGGCGUGGCGUACCGCACGAUGGAGGAAACGGCCUUGUGUUCGACCGGCCACGUUCAAAACGGGGUCCUGUUGAUCGGGAGGGGCCUGGCGUACCGCAAAACGGAGGGAACGGACCUCCUACAGUCGAAACGGGGGUCCUGUUGAUGGGGAGGGGUGUGGUGUACCGCAAAACGGACGAAGCGGACUUGUGUUGGAGCGCUACGGUCGAAACGGGGGUCCUGUUCAUAGGGAGGGGUGUGGCGUACCGCAAAACGGACAAAACGGACUUGUGUUGGAGCGCUACGGUCAAAACGGGGGGGAGGGGUGUGGUGUACCACAAAACGGGACUCCACGGGAUACUGUUCAUCUCCACCGUCGACCUCCUCCAGCCUGCACGGGCUACCGUCGACCUCCUCCAGCCUCCACGGGCUCCUAUUCAUCUAGCCUCCACCGCGCGCUACUCCAUCGGCUACUGUUCAACCACCCCUCCACCGUCUACUGUUCAUCCAGCCCUCCACACCACGGGGUCCUGUUCAACCACCCCUCCACGGCCACCCCUCCACCAUCUAUUGUUCAUCCAGCCCUCCACACCACGGGUUCCUGUUCAUCCAGAGGCAACGCCACCGCUCACUGUUCAUCCAACCCCCCCUGCAACGCUCACUGUUCAUCCCAGAGGCAGCAUUGAUCGGCUUCAGUUAGCAGCAGUAGCGAAGGAAUCGCUCCAUUGGGUUCAGUUAAUAGCCAUCGAUCGAUCGCUCGGGUUCAGUAACGCGUAGCCUACAGUGCAAUCGCUCCGGUUCAGUUAGAGCCCAACGCCUCGCUCGGCUUCAGUUAGAGCCAACGCCUCGCACACACGCGCGUACGUACGAGAGAAACGCGCAUCGCUCCGCCCCCGACCUCCCACCAUAAUCGGCAACUCCCCGAAAUUUUCCUCCCCCUCGCUUCUACCAUGGUUUUUUCCGUCAUGGACAACCCAAAGAAUGUCAUGCAGCUACGUCCCCGGUCCGCCCAGGACAAAAAGCCCAUUUUCUGUCAUGAUUUUUUGUCAUAGAAGUAGGAGCCCACCACAUCUAUGAUGAUACCGGGUUUUGUCACAAUUAUUGUCAUAGAAGUGUCAUAUGUAUGACAGAAAAAAAAUUCGUUCGGCCCAAAAUGUCACGGAUGUGUCUUUUUUUGUAGUGUUAAUAGUGAGUAAUGAGUAGUCAAAUCAUAAGCCCCACCUUUCCCACUGUAAGUUGCUCGGAAGAAGCAACCAUCAAUACACUCUUCUUUGAAUCCGCUCAUACUACUCCAUCCGUCACUGUUUAUAGAGGGCGCUUCAGAAAAAGAAAAAAUCUUUGGGACCAAGCCGACUAGCGAUCGGCCUGAAAAAUAGCAUUGGUAGUUAUAGCAUGGCGUCUAUUACUAGAGGAAAUAAUGCGUACACACAUGCAUGCAGUGCUUCCACCCCGGGUACACACAUGCAUGCACUUACUCCACUCAGUAGUACAUCGAGAGAAAAUUGUGGACUUGAUUGCGGUUACCACGCCCUAAUUAAUUGAGCAUUAAACCAAACGCAUCUAAAGUCUCUCUGGUGGUGGAAAUGCAUUGAGAGAAAUGCAUCAUAAUGAAGCGCGCCCUGUAAACUAUGACGGAGGAUAGUAUGAAGGUGCAAAACCAAGUACGCGUAUGGCCAGUCGGUCAACGCACCUCCUCUUGGCAUAUCACUGACAUGUGGGACUGGAGUGUGAGCAAACCGAUCUCAAUUGACGGACAAAUGGCCAACCGCCGUUUCUUGAGAGAGACGAGGAGCGAGAACACACAGACGGGUUCGCACGGAGGCCAAGAUAUAUUCGAGCAAGGUUGAUCGAUAUCAUCAUUACAUGUUGGGCUGCCGUUUUCCGCCCUUCUCCCGAAUAAAUGUUUACUUUAUCAAAGAUUAAAAAAAUAAGAGUACAGACGCUCCACCAUGUGGUUCUAGUAGUAGUAUUACUCAUACUAGUAAACCUUGCGCUUGGCUCUUCGCCUCUUCGUGAAGUCGAACAAUGAUGGUACUCCGCAUGUUGGGUACUACAGUGUAUGCCUCUGGCAAUCUGACACCGAAUGAACUGAUGCAUGUCCAUCGCCUGGGCGAGGGUAGGUUGCAUUAGUCAAAAAACCUUCACCUUGUCCUGCAAGCUGCUCCUUGUUCUGCGAGUUGACGGGGCACACCAAAAAGUAGUGCUAGUCCAUACUCCCUCCUUUACGGUUAAUAUGGCUUAAUCUUUUUUGCGGGUAAAUGAGAGAGCUUUAUUCAUAUAUAAGCAUUCUUAGGAUGAUCAGCCAAGACACUAUUCACUAGGAAGCGAGGUACCCCGCGAAAAAAGAAGUAGGAAGCGAGGUGUUUCAUCAAGCUAGCUCUCGGACACAUUCAAAGUGCAGCAAGCACGGUUCGCACAAAUAUGUGUCGCAAGGUUUACUGACCUGUUUACAUGCUCAAUAACAAGAAAAAGAGGAAAUAUUACCGAGCGCUCCUAUUUGUAACAUGAUAUGAGCCAGAAUUAAGCGAGAAUUGUGGCGAGUGUUCCAUGCAAUCAACUUCCAUUAUCACAUGCGAGAACCCUCAAAGAGAACCAAAUGUGUUGAAGAUUGCUUUAUCACAUUAUAAAAAUAUAAUAAGAGGGCAGAUGCUCCUCCAUCCGGUUCCUAGUACUAGUAUAGUACAUACCUCUAUAGACUAUAGUAGUAGUACUAGUACUAGUAAACUUUGCACUUGGAUGUUCGCCUCUAUGGGAAGUCGAACAAUAAUAGUACUAGUAUAGUGUAUGCUUCUAGCAAUCUCACACCGAAUUAAUUGUUGCACGUCCACAGCCUGAGCAAGGGAGAGCUUGCAUUAGUCAAAAGUUUCUCCUUGUCCUGCGAGCCACCGCGCGCAAGCUUCUCCCGUCCUGCAAGCUUCUCCUCGUUUGGCAAGUUGACGGGACACAACAAACUAAUGCUAGUCCAUAAUGCCUCCUCUCCGGUUAAUAUGGCUUAAUUUCAAACGAGAUAAAUACAUUGUCUGUCACUAUAUAUUUGUAAAAAUACGGUUAGUGCAAUUCAUAAUACGCUCAUUGCGCUCAAUAUAUACAUUUUCUGGUCUUUAUACGGUCACUAGCUCACCCUGGCUGAGUAUGUGUGUGCAUGCACGUGUAGGUUGAGCACUUGAGCAUGACCGUGUGUGUUCCGUCGUGUGCUCAGACAUGCAUGCAUUAGGGCAUCGCGCAAGUUUUUGUGUCCAUGUGUACGUGUGACUGUUGCAUACACGUAGGGGGAGUACGUGUAGGGGCCACUAAGGAGCAGUCAAAUCACACGGUAAUUUAGUCGGAAGAAGCAACCAUCAUUUCACUCUUCAAUGAUACAUACGCAAUAUAAAAUGGUUGAUAUGGAGAGAAAAAGAAAACCACUAUAUAUACACUAGCAGGAGCCUAAGCUACAAGCCUGCGUGCUUGGGUUUCUCUCUUCACAAGCAUAGAACGACGGUGGCCGCACCGCUGGUCACAUAUUCGGCCUGAUCCCGCAGCUGGGGAAAGGGAACAAUGUUCUGCGUAGACGCGGUCGAUAUCGGCGAGGGACAAAACCCACAAUCGGUGCAUCCCAAUUGGGGGUCGUCGGCCGAUGCCGCGUCCCAACCGCCCUUCUAGCUACAGCCCGACGUCCCAGGUAGUCCAUCUUCCUUUUGGAGCCGGCUUGCUCCACUGCCGCAGGUCCCCACGUAGCUCCAUAUCCAUGUCGAUCUUUCUCUACUUCUACCGGCUUCUACUUGUGAUGAGCUUAUGUCGCAUGAACUAGUGCCAGUACUAUUAUUCUAAUCACACUUCUUCAAUAUCUUUGCCAUCAGGGAUGCUCAACUCGAUUUUAGUGGAACUGCACAAAAGCAUCGUAUGACCCGAGGGUGCCAGCCAUCUUUCCUUCGACAGGUUCUACCUGGCCAGGAAAUUAAAUCAUGUUUAGGAUUUAGGGUUUAAGUCAUAGUGACCCCAUCAGUAGUUUUUCUUUCAUACACGCUCUCACAACUUUUGUCUUUAGUUGUGAAGUAAAUAUUGGCUAUGAUCUGUGAAUCAUUGAGAUGCAUCUGCAUGCGUAUUAGUUUUCCUUUGUAUUUGAUGGAAUGUUGUAACGGGGCAACCUUGGAGUAGGAAUGGAAAAUGGAGUGGAAAGUUUUCAUUUUUCCGGAGAAAAAUGGAAACGGAGAGAAACCAAAGUUUCUUUUUGUUGGAUCGUGCCAUCGAGCAAAACCAACGUUUAAAUCACGUCUAUCGCAUUCGUGUCUCACCCUCCUCCACGGCUCGACCCCACACGGUCGCUUGGCAUGCCACUCACCGCAAACCGAGUAUACGAUAACUUUCAUGCCUGCUUGUCGAUGGAUCACGGCAUGGAGUACUAGCACUACUGGAAGAGAUUGGCGAGUUGGGGGAGGACAGCUAGCUGUAGCACGGACUCCCAAGAACUUUUUACAUGCAUGUUGUGGCCGACUAUUAUGACCUUUGAACGCGGAGCAGUCGCGUGCACUAGGAAGCGGUGCGGGCGACGCUCUCUCGGCCGGUGCGCCGCUUCAAUGUCGGCGCCAGUGAGAGGUCGCGUUCGCUCUGGCCAGGCAUGAAUGCGGCACUGACCGUUUCGGGCGGGAAGCACGCGCGGGUGAUGAAGAGGGUUCGGGUUGGUCAGGAGCGGCCGUCGCAGCUGUCCAGACGCCCGCAAACAAGAGAUGUUGUACGUUAAUAUUGCUGUGUAUAUAAUUAACAACGUAAAUAAUGUGCCAGUUGGAAAAAUAUGAUUGGAGAUGGAGAUGGAAAUGUAAUUUUACCUAAACACGGAUAUGCAUGUCUAUGUCUAUGUGUGUGUGCGCGACGACUCUCGCGAUCUGGAAGCGGGAGCGUGUUUUUUAUCGAGUUUUCUUUCUUGGUACGUUAAAAACUUGUCCGCCAGUUUUUGUUUCUUUUUUCUGGGAACACACAUAUUCUAUUUAAAACCAUUGGUAUGGAGAGAUUUUUUUACUCCAUUAUAGCCUCUUGUUUGAUAGAGUUUCUCGCGUCUCACUCUCUCACCCUCUCCAUAUCAAAACAAGAUGACAAUGUCCACUCUAUCUCUCUCCUCACCGGUGGUCACAGAUCCGGCCGAAUCCCAUCCGCUGAGGGAGGUGAGGAGGUGUAGCAUUGAUGUUGCCGCCGUCGGCAAUGGAGGAAGCCGAUGUGCACCGUCCUCUCGGAGCCGGCGCUGGCGCGGACGAAGGUCCUCCGCGCCCUUGUUCGUUUCCGUUGUGUGGGCAGAUCCUACCCGCCCGCCUAAGCGACAUCUCGCCCACCUAAGGUAUAACUUCUUGUACUGGUCCAGCUCCCCAGGUCGCUGCAUGCGGGUUUUCUUCUAUGCGACUACUCCCCAACUCCCCAUGUAUAGUAGCUAGGGUUCCUCGGCUGGUCCAACAUCACCUACUAUUAUAGAGGAAAUGCCACUCGAAAAGUUGUCCUGAUUUAUGCCUCGAUGGAGGUAUACAUGUUGUUUCGACAAAAAGUACAUGAUGGUUGUGCGGUCAUUGUCCUAUUGUUGCUGCUAAUCUAAUAUUAUCACUGGUUAAAUGAAGAAUUUUUUUUUCUUGGGUAUCCUGGUUUAGUUCCCAUCAAGAUAAUCAUGAUGCUUCUGUUUGUUAGUCUACUUUUCAUUAAUUCUUAUUAACAAUUGAGAUGUCAUUGUUAAUCUUGUAAAACAAAGUAUCAACACUAUAUCCCUUUUUUAUAUUUUUGGAAACAACAAUGCGUAUCUCCAUACCCGGGCAUAUCUUCCUCAAUUUUAGUGGAACUGCACAAAAUUGGAUGGCCAUUGUUGUUCCGCCUCACUGUCCUAUGCCACGUGGUUCUUCCUUCCUCGAGCUUGAUUACUGAGAAGAAACAGACCACAGUGAGGAUUUGUCAAACUUCAUAGGUGCCUCACCCAAACUUGAUGCCAAAUGGAUGAUGCAUCACCACGAUGACCUAUCGAUGCCCAUGGUUGCGCCUCAAGGUUGCGUCGGCUGGUGAAGUUGAUCGAUUUUCAAUGAAAAACAAGCAGUCUUCCAUCAGUGCUCUUUGCUUGUUACCCACAAAGAUGAUAUCCUUCGUCAGUUCACCUUGGUUGCGUUGGAGACGCAGUCGUCUUUCACAUUGGUGCAAUUUUAUCACACAAUUGGCUAUGAAUCAAAUGUUUCCUCGAAGAAGGAUCGACGUUGGUACUAAGAGCAUAAGUUUUGUAUUGAUUUCUAAGCCUUCUCACAACUUUGUCUCCAGCUCCCCUGUAAUUUUAUUUGUCCAGCUAUUAACUUUGAUUGGAAAAUGGUGUGGACUAAAAACCCGGAUGGACGUAGUAGCCCUCCAUUUUUAUUUACUCCGCAUAUUAGAUUUGACUGAAGUCAAACUUUGUAAAGUUUGACCAAGUUUAGGCCAAACACAACAAACCAUAAUUAUUAGAGAGGGCAAACUGUACAUACUCUCAAACCUUUCCGAUAAUUGAAAUUAAAAUUCUUUAUUUGUACACACUCUCACACAUUUCCGAUAAUUUGGCGCAUGUGUGGUUGUACACUUAAGGGAGGGUAGUGUAUCGCACGUGAAGGACAGGAAGUGCGACUAGGAUGUGUGGAUUGUUAGUUCAUCGGAAGUACUUAGUAGUUUUCUUCACUGGUACGUUAAAUAAAGAGUUUCGUUCCAUACUUACACAAUUUAAAACGAUUGUUAUGGAGAUAAUAAGAAAACCACUCCACUAUAUAUUAGUCGUAUAGGCGAGUACUAUAUGGACGCAGCUUCAUUGACUUUAGUGCACCUGCCUUUGGGUUUAUGAAAGGUGGGCCAAAAAUAUGGCUGGCCCACCUGUCAUACAGCCAAAAGAAGAUGCAGUUAAGGCACCGGAGCUCAGUCCGUACUACAGUAUAUAUAUAUAUAUAUAUAUAUAUAUAUAUAUAUAUAUAUAUAUAUAUAUAUAUAUAAGCUGGAGCCUCAGCGCUUGUUCGUUAGGGUUUGCACUCUCCACACUCUCGUCGCACUACAUAUAUAUAUAUACACGCUGGAGGCUUAGCGUUCCUUUGCUAGGGUUUGCUAUAUUCACAGUCUCUCACCCUCUCUUCACCAGAUCCAAACAAGAUUGCGUUGGCCUCUUGUCUCUCUCUCCCCUCUAACAACUGGUGAAGGAGGCGUCCGGAUCCCGUCGCACCGGCAAGGGGAGGAGUUGCAGCGUUCACUCUAUCACCUUCGGCGAGGGAGGCAAUCCACUGUCGGCUAUGCUGGUCUCUUUCUCCCAGCGCCUGUGCGGGAGGGACACUAACCCCUUCUUCCUUGCUGCCGUACGUAGUGUGGGCAGAUCUGGCCUCCCGCUGCAUGCCUUGCCACAUCCCGACGACCCUAAGGUAUAAGUUUCUUUGAAACCGUCAUUGCUCUAGCUGCAUGUGGAUCUUUUUUGAUCUGUAGUCGAAUCUAGGUCUUGGUUCAAAGAGGAAAGAAGGGUGCGGUGGGGUGGAGCAUGAAUCUAGGAUGUGGUUCAAUGAGGAAAGGAGGGACGGAAAUUAGUAUAGACUGGCUAUCCAGCCGCUUUGUUGGUCGAAAGGGGAAAAAGGGGGUAACCCGAAACUGGGGGGUCAGGUAGUUUGUGCAGGACUAGAUUUGAUGCCCUCACAUAGGAAAAAGGUUGAAAGAGAACAAAUAUGGGACCAACGCAGAUAUGCUGCUAGGCUACAUACUCUGCAUCACACAUUUAUAUGUGUGGACGCACCUAGUGCUCGCAUGUCCCAUGUCCCAUGUCCCAUACAACUAUUUUGCUAUUGUUAAUCUAAGAAUGCCGGCAGAAUUGAAGCAAUGCCACUGUUAAAAGUAAAUUACAUUUUUUUAACGAAUGUUGUUCUAAGAGAAUGUCUCUAUUAAUAUGAAUCAAUGCAACCGUUUUAGAAAUGCUACUAUCCUACUUUGUUUUCCAUCAAGAUAAGUUAGAUGCUUCUUUUUGUCGCCGUUUGUUUCAUCCUCCUUUAUCGGCAAGUAAUUGUUUCCUUUUUUGCCUCUGUUAAAACAGGGGUAUCUAUUCAACUUGUUGCUAUUGCGACAUUUUGCUUCGCUACGCAAAACACUUAUGUUUUAAGAGUGUUUUGUGCAGUUCAACUCGAAUGUCACACCGACGACUUUGCUUAUUUUUGGUGGAACUGCACAAAAGGAGAUCGGAAUUUGUUUCCAGUCUUCGUGGCGAGUUGUUUCAAAUCUUGGUCUCAUCCACAUGUUCUGUAGUGUGCUUUGAGAUGUUGUGCUACUUGUUUUGGUACUAUUUUAAAUAAAUGUUGAAUUGAAGCUAUUGUAUUGCUGUAUUUUCCCCUUACAUAGUGAACAGAAAUGGGACCAACCCAGACAUGUUUCUUGUUGCUUUGUUACAACAAACUCUGCAUCACCCCCUAUAUAAGUAGGUGGAAGCACAUAUUGUUAUUGCGCCCACUCUCCCCUGGAACUAUUUAUGCUUUUCAUUAAUCUAAUGCUGCUGGUAAAAUUAAGCAAUGUCACUCUCAGAAUUAACUACUGAAUCUUAUUUCAAAACUACAACACUUGUUAGGGGUUGGCGGGAUUACCAUUUUUGUGGCCGCAUGUUUCAUACUCCCUUAUUAGCCAGUAAUUGAUUCCUUUUUUGCCUCUAUUUAAAUAGGGAUAUCUAUUCAACUUGUUGCUAUUGCGACAUUUUGCUUCGCUACGCGAAACACUUUUGUUUUAAUAGUGUUUUGUGCAGUUCAACUUGAAUGUCACAUCGGCGACUUUGCUUAAUUUUGGUGGAACUGCACAAAAGGAGAUUGAGAUUUCAUAUAUGUGUUGGGAUAUGUUUCUAGUCUUCCUCGCGAGGUGUUCCAAAUCUUGGUCAACAAAGGUCAGUACCGACUUUCAUCCACAUGAUGUUGUAGUGUGCUUUGAGAUGUUGUGCUACUUGUAUUGGUACUGUUUUGGAUAAAUGUUGAAUUGAAGCUUUUGAACUGUUGUCUUUUACCAUUAAGUGAGCAAAAAUUGUUCCAAUCCAGACAUGAUGCUUGAUUCUUUGUUACAACAAAACUCUGCAUCACCCCCUUUAUAAGUAGAUGGACGUACAUGUUGUAGUUGCGCCCAGUCUCCCCUGGAACUGUUUAUGCUUUUUGUUAAUCUAAUGCCGCUGGUAAAAUUAAGCAAUGCCACUCUCAGAAUUAAUUAACUAUUGAAUCUUAGUUCAAAACUGCAACACUUGUUAGGGAUUGGCGGGAUUACCAUUUUUGUGGCCGCAUGUUUCAUCCUCCUUUAUUGGCCAGUAAUUGAUUCCUUUUUUGCCUCUGUUAAAACGAAUCAGUCGCAUUGUUUUAGAAAUGGUACUAUCCUGCUUUGUAGUUCUUUCUACAUGUUUAACCAAGAUAUUGUUAAGAUAAUGUCUCUGUUAAAAUGAAUCAGUCGCAUUGUUUUAGGAAUGGUACUUUUCUGCUUUGUCGUUCUUUAUACAUGUUGAAACAAGGCAUUGUUAAGAUAAUGUCUUGGUCAAUAUGAAUGAAUCACGUAGAUGGAGAAUUUCUACUCUCCUGCUUUGUUUCCCAUUAAGAUAAGGUAGAUCAGUAUAUGCUUUUCUUCUGGGAGUAUAAGUCAUCAGCCGUUAUUUCUCAGUAAUUGUUUCCCUUAUGCCUAUUGUUGCUUACAGGGAUAUAAAAAUUAAAGCUCGGUUUUAUUCCGACUUUGAUUUUAGUUGAACUGCACAAAAGGAGCCAAUGUGUCCAAGGCAAACUGCUGCAUUACUGGGUCCAGUUGGUCGUUCCACUUUGCAGAAAGAAGCAGUAACUAUUUGUGCUACAUUACAGAAGGAAUGACCGAGAAGCUUUACAGAGUAUUAGUAGACGCUGGUGACAUGACUAGUCUGCAGAGAGCAUAGGCAACUCUACAACACAUGGAGUGCACUAGGCAAAAAGUGCCCAAACAAGUACAAGAAGCCAUGACAGGACUCCACAAUCAUAGGCAUUACAUAUUUUGAAUGGGAAAAGCUUGUCAAAGUUUAAUCAUUGAUGUUAGCAAGAAGACAUUAGUUUAAUAUAUUGGAAUUGGAAAACCUUGUCAAAAUUUGCUCAUUGAUGUUAGCCAGAAGACAUGCAUUUGAUAUUUUUGAGUGGGAUGCCCUUUGCUGUGAGCAGCGUCGAUCGUUUUUUUCCUAUUCCUGUGUUCAGUUUAGAAGUAAAUAGUUACUCUGAUGAGAUGCAUAGUCACAUGAAUGUUGACUUAUGUAAGGUAUUUAAAGAGUUUGUUCUGGAUAUUGUCUAUGUAAUGCCAGGCCUUGUGUUUGAUUGCAAAGUUGAGCUUGGAAUGUUGUGGCAUGCGUCAUCACGAGCUCUUCACUGUGCCUCCUGAGAAUACUGCUUCAUAUUGUUUUGCAUGUAUCUAAUGCCAGUGAUUUGCUUGUUAAGAAGAUCAUCCUCUUUUGUUGUUUCCGUGCUUAAGAAGUUCAUCGUCUUAUGUUUCAUUCAUAGCCUAUAUGACAAGUCGGGUAGGUUAGACGUGAAGACAUAUGAUCUUCCGACCAACUCAUCAUCUUAGGCCAUGAUUGGAUCAUCGUUUUCCAACCAAAACCGCUUGUAAAACUGACGCUUUUAAAUAAAAGCACAUGGUCUCGGGCGAAGCGCUUGGUUGGUCGAUUUCGACUAGUAAAAUAUACACUAGUAUCUCAAAAUACACAUGUAACCCGACGGUUUUUCUUACAUACCUCGGGCCCUCGGUUGCAUUACGCCUGUAUUUUAUGCGUUGUUUCCAAUGACGAGUAAAUUAAACUUGUAUCUUAAUACAUGUGUGAAAUAAACCAGAGCUCCCAAGCGCGGGCUUAUGGUUUCAUGUUGUCUCAGUCUCUUGAAGGUGCUCAUGGGUGUCCGACGAUCCUGGCUUCCUGAAUGAGCAGCGGGCGUUGUAUCAGACCAUUCGUAGGGCCCGCGAGGCCCUCUCCGUCGUCCUUCGACUUGUUGUGCUCGUCGUGGCACCGAGCAUUGUUAACAUGGUCAAAGAACAUGAGGAUUCAGGAGAUGACUUUAUUUUGACCGGAUGACAGUAGGGACCCACUAAGGCCAUAGCCGUAUGUAUGUAAGUGCCUCCUUAUUAUGUACAACUAUAUUUUUUGCUUCCUCCUGGUUUCCUGACAUCAUGGUUCCACACCAUUGUCAACCUAUGUAGUCAAUAUAAACGAGAGAAUUGCACAAGGUGCGGCCGAUAGUUGGGACCAAGCAGCUCGAGCAGUAUUUAUGUUUUUGAGGCGUGAGCACUGCAGAGUUUUUCUUGGCGAUGUUUUCGUUGUUGUUCAAAGGAGAGCACAGUAUUAACUGGGCAGGCUGUGGCCCAUCUAGCCCAGGCCAGAUAUCCAGCCCAGAUAUUAAUUUUUUUCAAGAUGAAAAUGGCUAGCCCAGCUAUACGUAUUUUUGAGGAAUACCCAGGCAAGGUCAACUUGUUAUUCUCCGCCCCGCUGGGUUGCAAAUCUUUCCUAGGAGGGAUGCAUUAGGCUUAACAGGAAAAUGAGCUUUAAAAAAUAAUAAUUGGUAUGUAAUUAUAAAAACUGGGCAGUAACUAUAAAAAAAUGCACCAAACACGAAAUUACUUUAUAAAAUAUUAUUUAUGGAUUUUGGAAGUCUUAAUUUUUAAUUGUUGCGCGUGAAAUGUUUCGUUGGAUUUUUAUGUAAUACAAAUUUAUAUUUAAUCGGACUAGAAAAUUCGGGAUAAAAAUAUUUCGGAUCCCGUCAAAAUGUGGGAAAUUUUAUUGAAUUCUGUCUUGAACGGUUGGUAUUAUUAAUCAUUGUCCGAGCUGGAAAAUGGGAUGUACUUUUAACAAACUAUAAAUGGGCUGUAGUAAAUUCCAUUAGAAUUCAAAAAUGGGUUGUACAUUCUUACAAAUCGCAAAUGGGCUAUAAGUUCUCUGCCACACACUUGUGGGCCUACUAAGUUGACGCGUCCCCUGAAAAAAGAAGUUGACUCGUAUGCAAGGCUUUGUCAACUUAUUAUAGUCAACACACAUUUCUAGCAGCAGUGGGCGUUGGAUGUGUAUCCAACGGAUGUCAUGCUUCUUCUUCAAUCUCGGGUAUUCUAGCUUCGGCUGCCCAAAAAAUGAUUCCUCCCCCUGACAUCUAGGGUGCACCAUUUCGGAGGCUGACCUAUGGGCCUACUAAGUUGACGCAUACCAAGGGCUUGUCAACUUAGUCAAUAUAAACGCUUCUAGCUGUAGUGAUCGUACGAUGUCAAUCCAACGGUCGCAGUGCUUCUUCAACCUCUGUACUUCUUGCUCUAGCCGCCCAAAGCAGCGCCGAUCGUGCCGCCUGCUCCUGCCUCCCGUGGCCGGCUGUGCUUUCGUGGAGGCCUCACUGCCCCCUACGACUCCCACCGCUGGCCAGGCCAUCCCUCCACUCACCCACACCCCAUGUAAUUCUGCGGCGAUGGCAGCCUCACACCGCAGCCUAACCAGUGAAGCCCCGUACUCCUCUCCACGUGGGCAUCCACUGUCGUGUCUUCCCCGGCUUCACGUCGCCCCCUUCCUAGGCCUCGCCGUCGUCCACCGCCGUGGUGCUCUCGGCGCGGUGUGGUCAAUGUGGUGAACGACCGACUUCCAUCAGAAGAGUACUGUACGUGGAUAGGCUGACAGCUGGGUCCACGGCAGCCGCAACAAAGUGCCUCCUUAUUACACGCAAAAUAAUUAUUCCUCCACCUGAUAGCAGGGACCCAUCGGACGGGCCACUAUAUUUUGCAAAAAAACAUUUUUCCCCUGACUGUUGGGACCCACCGAAUGGGCCACCGUAUUUCACGAAAAAAACGUUCCCCCCGCUGUCAGCUCGGACCCACCAGAAGUGCCUCCUUAUUACGCACAAAAAAAUGAAUACUCCUCCUGCUACCUGGGACCCUCCUUGGUGGGAGGCUGACUUGUGGGCCUACUAAGUUGACGGGGACGGAGGGCUUUGUCAACUAAGUCAAUAUAAACGAUUCUAGCUCUAGUGACUGUACGAUGUCCAUCCAACGGUCGUAGUGCUUCUUCAACCUCUGGUCUUCUCGCUCUAGCCGCCCAAAGCAGCGCCGGUCGUUCCGCAUGCUCCUGCCUCCCGUGGCCGGCUGUGCUGCCGCGGAGGCCUCAUCACCCCCUACUAUUUCCACCGCUGGACAGGCCCUGCGGCGACGGCAGCCUCACACCGCAGCCGAACUAGUGAACCCUCGUACUCCUCUCUGCGCGGGCUUCCACUGCCGCGUCUUCCCCGGCUAUGCGUCGUCCCAUUCAUAGGCCUCACCAUCAUCCACCGCCUUGGUGCUCUCGGCACGGCGUGGUCAAUGUGGUCAAGGAACAAAUUCCAUCGGAAGAGUACUAUACGUGGAGAGGCCGACAGUUGGGUCCACGGCGUCCGCAAGGAAGUGCCUCCUUAUUACGCGCAAAAUAAUUAUUCCUCCAUCUGACAGCUGGGACCCACCGGACGGGCCACCGUAUUUUGCAAAAAAGAUGUUUCCCCCUAACUGCUGGGACCCACCAUCUACAUCUUCACACACAAGGAAGUGCAUCCGUGUAAAAAAAAGCAAUUCACCCCCCUGACUGCUGGGACCCACCAACUACAUCUUCACACGCAAGGAAGUGCGUGACAGUCGGGACCCACCUAGUCAAAGCGUACGUAGCGUUGUCAUUCUGGUCACGAACGUGUAUGUACAUACUGGUCAAUGUAGAGGCAUGCACAUGUCGUAGUAGAGGCGCACAGUGUCGUAGUAGAGGCAUGCACGUAGCAUGUACAUGUACGUAUAGCGGCUAGUGUGCAAGAAAGAAAAUACGGCCACGUAUGUACAUACGGGCGGGGUCUCGAACGCCUACUCGCGCAUACGUAUGGCCAGGGUGUAGGAGAUAUGCCCUAGAGGCAAUAAUAAAUGCUAUUAUUUAUCUCCAUGUUCAUAAUUAUGUUUAUGUUCCAUGCUAUAACUGAUGUGGUUCCCGAGCCCGUAUAUCCAUAAAGGCUCUGGGAAAACCCAUGUGCACGUGUGGAAUAAUAAACGGUAAAAUGUAUUCCUAGUCAUGCCUCUAAGACUAGCUCAAGUGUUGUAUGAUGAUUACGUUUUCCCAAUCAUGGGCAUGUCUAUGCCAGCAACUUUGAGGGCACAAUAUUAAGAGAACAUUUGUGUUGAAUCGACCCGGUUUGAUGUUAUGCUAUGAGAUUCUUUGGUCACAAGUUAAUGGUAAAUAACACAGAGAUGGUUAACGUUUGCAUGAUUCCUUAGACCAUGAGAGUAUCGACUUUCUUCAUGCUUGCUUCAUGAACUUUGGGGUUUGUUAAACAUCAUCCGUAAAAUGGGUGGCUAUUACGGCGGCUUACGGGUUCAUGGAAAAGUAUGUCAAGUAACUUAAUAGCUCAAGAUUGGAAUUUGCUCCUCCGAUGAUGGAGAGAUAUUCUCGGGCCCUCUCGUUGUUACGGUAUCCAUCAUCGUCUGGCGAGACACAGUGUGAUUUGAUCACAGGGAUGCCGGAACACGGAAACGAGAAAAGAGAACAAAACCAGUAACGAAGUAACUAGCAUAGUGGACAAGUUGUUGAUCCACGGGGAUGCAAGUAAAUCUCACCUUGGGUCUUUGUAACAUAUCACGAAGCAACAAGAAUAGCACACGGCAACUGGAGGUUCACUCGAAUAUUCAUUCGUGUGGGUAUAGGGGUCAAUAUGGGUGUCCACGGCUCCGAUGUUGAUCAUUGAUAGGAAGGGGUUCCGGGUCAUGUCUAUUCUUCACCGAACCUAUAGGGUCACACGCUUAAGGGUCAUCUAUCUGUUGAAUACUAGACAGGGAGUCUGAGAGAAAAUCACCGAAAAAAGUUCCGGACACCGGAAAAGUUUCGGACAGCGGAAAAGGUUCCGCAGAGAGAGGUCAUCAGAUGAGUUUCGGUGAAACUGAAAAGUUGUUUCAGGGAAUACCGUUAAGUCAAAUUGGUUUCGGCACAUGCCUGAUAAUUCUUGGAGGGUGCCAGAAUCAUUUUGGAAGCUUUCUGGAAUUUCCGGGAUAAUAACCGGAUAUGCUCCGGAGCUGCCGGAACCACUUGAGAUGUUUUUCGCAGAUGAAAUUCACUAAUCUGAAAUUGUUUUGGAACAAAUCCAAAAUCAUUUUACUGGGUACUGGAAUAAUUCUAAGACUCACAGAAAUAUUUUUGGAUUUAAUGGACACGAAAAAUUGUCUUCAUGAAUAGUAAAAACACAUUCUUGUUUGCUUUGCGCAGAUGAAAAUCACUAAACCGAAAUUGUUUUGGAACGCGCUGAAAAUUAUUUUAGUGGGUACUAGAAAUGUUCCGAGCCCACAUAAAUAUUUUCAAUUCGAACGGACGCUGAAAAAUGUCGUCAUGAACAGUGAAAGUGCUUUUUGCUGGGCUUCUUGGAGAAGCCACCUUGAGGGCCUUUUGGUAUUAUCCCAUUGGCUUCUUGGAGAAGCCACCCUUGGGAUUGGCCUAUAAAUAGGGGUGGAGGGGGCUGCCUAAAGACACAUCCCUUCUCACAUACAAGUGCCAUGCAAUGAUCUGGCUUCUUCUCUCCCUCCCACGAAAAGAGUUUCGUAGAGCCGUAAGGCUGUCUGGGUUCCGGCAGGAACUAGUUCUGGACGGCGAAGCCCUGCUGGAUAGAUGACACUGUAUGUGUGCAACUCUGUAGAGAGAUCGUAGUUUCGGUCUUAGUUCGUGAGUGCCUCCCGAAGGGCUGUCCGUGUGACCGUCCGAGUUUUGAAGGUCCUCCCGAAGGGCUGUCCGAGUGACCGUUCGAGUUUCGAAGGUCCUCCCGAAGGGCUGUCCGUGACACCGUCCGGGGGGCUGUUCGACUGCCUCCCGGAGGGCUGUCUGAGGAGCAGAUGAGGGUAUACAUCCUCGCGGUUGGGAGGUUGUAAAUCCUAGUUGCGGGGAUCUGCACCGCCGAUCGUCAUUGACUCUACUUCCCGCUGUGCUACGAGUCGGUAACGAAAAAGAUCAAACCAUGUAUCCAGUCUCCAUAGUGGUCCUGGGCUGGUGCGUAGGUCAGAAAUUUUUUGUUUUCUGCUGCGUUACCCUACAGUGGCAUCAAGAGCCGUGCUAUGCGUAGAUGCAGGUUAUGAUCUAGAAUACAUGGAGAUGUAUGGGUAUUGCAUAAUAUAAUUUUGGAGUAGAUGAGAUCUAUUGCUGAAAAUUAUUUAUGCGGGUGACAGAUGAAAUCUGUUACCCGAUGUUCUUGUUGCUUCCCUAGAAUUUGCGUUUGCUCAAUCUCGAGAUAGCAUGGUGGAAUUUGACAAAGUUCUGGCAAUCCGUGAUCCUGAUUGAUCAUGGAAGUGCUAUCAGUUCUUUGGGUUCUGCCAUAGUCAAAAGAAAGAUGAAAUUCACAGAUGAAAGGGCAUUGCAGAUAUGAUCUGCACGGGGAUCAUGCGUAUGACGAAGUUUAGUAUGGGGCUCGAUAUUUAAUUAUCUCGUGUUUCAUACACCUCGAGAUGUUAAUCUAGCAACUUGAAUAAUCAUACUUGAUGAUAAAACGUUGGUAGCUACGGUUUAAGUCGAAACCUUAGAAGCCACGAAAAACAAGUUUGCAUGAACCGAUUAGAAACGUCUAACUUGGUUUUGCAGGAGGGUUUGCAUGUACAUGUGAUGUGGUAUAACAAUGCUCAUAUUCAAUUUGAUUAUGUAUGAGAUGACUAUAUGAUGUAAAUUGAUUAACAUGACCUGCGUGUCAUGAUUCGGCAUGAUGGCUGGAGCCAUAUGAUUGUCACUUUAGCGACCUGCGUGGCAACCUUAAGUAAUGCACUUAUUUUAUUAGCUAUAGAGAUAGCAAUAUUAUUUGGUGCAUCGACAAGGUGGUGGCAAUCUUCACGAAGGUGAACACCGAUGCGAAUGCCGAAGACGAAGAAAUGAAAGACUUCUCCGUCAGAAAGGGCUAUACCAUAUCAAGCUAUUAUGAAUUGCCUGAGAUGUUUAUCCCUUAUGAUGCACCCUUCUUGAUUGCACGGUAGUCGCUUUUUAUUAGGGUGAUCUCUCACUAAAAUAUCAAGUAGUUAGUGUUCUCCCAAGUGUAGCACCGUCACGGCACCUAUCUUUUCGGGGUGCGCCAUGGAUGCAUGGGUACGAACGAUUAGAGAAGUGUGAGGCGGGUGAGGUCAGACUUUGCAGCAAGAUCACUUGGUUGUCUUGACGCUCAUGGCAGGAUCGUCCUGAGCUCAGAACACACGCAUCGAAAUAUGAGCAAGAGUCACAUAGAGAUGUGAUCGGCAAGUUGGCCUACCAAUUAAAAUUCCCGUUAUGAGAUGAUGAUUCUAUAACGAUGAGUUGAAAUCUGGAUCUUGUAUCACUCAAAAUUAAUUAUGAGAGAUAUUGAUUUGAGUGGGAGCGCACUGUUGAAUUAACAUGUUUAAUUCUCAGUGCAAUUAAUUAUGAACACUAUCUAAGUGUUUCUUGCAAAAUAGUUGUAGAAUAAUGGCUCGCGUUUCCACCUUCCUUGUUAAAAUUGAAUAGCUAUUAAAUAUCUGGUUAAAACUUUACGAUUGGUAACGUAAUGUGAGGAUUGUCCUCAAAAGUGCCGAGAAGGACUUUGUCCUAUCGCAUGCUUUCCGUAUACUCCCGCUAAAAGCAAUGGAUGAUGAGACUCUCGUCCUUCGAUCCAAAAGCUAGAAUUCCGUUGCGGUCAAGUGCAAUAUGUUUCCUUCCAUGAAACUUGAACUUCGAAAGUUUGGGAUAGUUAUGUGAUAUUCAUGGAACUGAAAAUUAAUUUUCAGAUACAAACAAAGGCUAAAAGAUAUGAAAUAUCCAAAGCAAUGUUUGAUUGCAAAUUAUUAGUAAAGUGUUUACUAUGCAUUAGACUGAUAAGAGAGGGAUCUAGAAGAACGCCCGUCAUAUGAUAAAAGGUGAAUAAAACAACAACUUAAAGAGAAAGGAAGUGUCCAAAGGGUGUUAGUGUGACUUACACGCCUAGGAAGUCCGGGGCUAACACCACUCUUAAGUUGGGUGCUUCUUUUGCAAGUAGGAGAAAUACUAAAAGUUAAACUGUUAGAAGUAUAAAGGCAGAAAGAAAGAUGACUGGAAUAUCUAGCUCAUGUAUGAAUGUCAUACAAGUUUUUGAUGUAUAAGUAGGCUGGUCAAAGUUAUAGUUCUUGGGAAUUAUGGUGAAACAUGUUAAUCACUAAUUCUUGGGUAUUGUGAGUUAAUCACAAAGAUACCCGCUUGAUUGCAUUCUGUUGCGAAUCAAUGUAAGAGCUACUAUGGCCUAAAAAGACUAGCCAGAAAUGAGGUUAAGGUAUACACAGGGAACAUAGUAAAUGUUACUAUACCUUCCAUCAGUGUAUUGCCGUCUAUAUUUAUUUUCAUAAUUCAUUUAGAUUUUAUCAAACUCUAGCCCAUUGCAUCAGGUAUCUUGCAAGAAGGUUGUUCAUAAUAGAACUUUUUAUGUUCGAUGUUAUGAAUAACACAAGGGCCAUACUUUCAUUAUGAAUGAGAUGUAUGUUAUGAAUAUUGAUAAUAAUAAAAUACCUCUGGGUUUAUUUUCAUAAUUCUUUUAGAGUUUCAUACACUCUAGCCCAUUGCACAAUCUUUGUUGCAAAAGAGUUGUUCAUAAAACCAACAAUUGUUGUUAAGUAUUAUGAAUAACAUGAAGGGCCAUGCUUCUAUCCAAGAUGGGAUGUAUGUUAUGAAUAUUGAUGGUAUCCAUAACGCUGACGCUAAAUGUCGCGAGACUAUGAGAAUACCACACAUGUGUGGCACUACAUUUGGUCACAUUGGAGAAACCCGCAUGGAAAAAUUCCAUUAUGAUGGAUUUUGAAGUUGUUUGAUUUUGAAUCAUCUGACACUUGCAACUUUCCUCUGAAAAGUGAAGUGACUCAAAUACCGUUCACAGGCCAUAUGGAACGAGCAACAAACUUAUUGGUGAUCACACAUUUUGAUGUGUGUAGUUCAAUAAAUAUUGUUGCAAGUGGUGGAUUUAUUUAUCUUCAGAAAUGACUCAAGUAGAUAUAUGGAUAUUUACUUGAUGAGACGUAAGUCUAGAUCUUUUGAAAUCAUUCGAAAGGUUUUCAAAAAUGAAGUAGAAGUUAUUGUAACAAUAAAAUUAUGUUUCUGCAAUUUGAUUGCACAAAGGAAUAUUUGAGUUACAUGUUUAGCGAAUGACUAAUGAGUUGUGAAAGGGGUUUCAUAACUUGCACCUCCCGGAACACCACUGCAAGUGAAAAGUCCAUGGAGAUGUAAUCUAACCAUUUAUGACAUGGUAAGAUCAAAGAUGACAUAAAUAAAUUUGCCAUUAUCCCUUUUAAAUUGAUGCUUUAGAGACUGCGACUUUUACACUGAAAAGAGCUACAUCGAGUCUGAUAAAAUGAAGCCAUGGUAUGGUACGCCAAACCAUGUUAUAUCUUUUCUUAACAUUUGGAAUAUGGGGCUUGUGUAAAAGGUUACAAACCUAUUCCAAAUCAGACAAGUGCUACUUUGUAGGUUAUACCAAAAUGUUGGGUAUUCCUCCCUCACUAUACCGAGGCAAAUAGUUUUGCCGCGAAACAGUGUGCUUUUAAAGAGAAUGGUUCUUUCAAAAAGGUGAGUGGGAGAAUGGUGCAACUCGACAAGAUAAAUAGUAUCUUCAUCAUCAAAUCAAAGGAAAGAGACCUUGGAAGUAAUUCCAGAGUUUCCUACUGCGACUGAUACGGAAGUCUCUACAAUAAAAUGUAUGAACUUCGGUCGAACUUGCAGCUGAACCACGUAGGCACGGCUCAUGCAAACCUCUCAGGUGCGCAAACGAGAUAUUGUUGUUAGACAACAUUAUACCUACGAUACACAAGGAAGCGUUGAUGGGCCCUGACUCUGGAAUUGGCUAAAUGCCAAUACAACCCGAGUUAGUUUCCAUAUAAGUGAUUCAAGAUUAAAACCUUGAUACACCUUUCGGAAGACUUAGAGUCUAACUAAUAUUUAUGGAACUUAAAACUUAUACGGAUAAAAAUGUUUUAUCCAUAAAGCUCGACUUGUUGAAAUAACAAGUUCAAGAGUUGACUACGAUGAGGUUGUUUUCAUCGUAGCGAUGCUUAAAGUCGGUUCGGUUUGAACUAGCAAUUAAUACAUAUUUCAAUCAUGAGAUAUCAAACAUGGAUGACAAUAGGAUUUCCAUCUGAUGGAAAUGAAACCAAGGACUUGCAUGUGUUACAGUCCAAGGCAUUUUGUCUAUCCAGAGGAUGCUAGUAAGGGUGCAAACUUCAGAGUUCCAGCGAUGGACAGAAGAGAGCAAAAUGGAGUUGGAAUCUUCGUGCUUUGAUGAAAUGGUGAAAGGGGUUUGACUUCAUCAGUGGGUAACGGAGAUGCUUGUAAUUCAAUAAAGUAAGUGGGAGCGUAAUAAUAUUUCUAAAAACCUUGUGUGCUUGACACAUUGUUAAUUGGAAAUAAAUUUCUUGACACGAAUUAGGACUUCAUUUGAAAAUAGUUUUUUGAUGAAGUACUUAGGCUAAAUAGCCUCAAUAUUAGGCAUAAUGAUCUGUGGAGAUAGAUUUACCUAAUAGGGCUAAGCAAUGAAUACAUAUUGACAAGGUUCUAAAACCUUUUAGCAUUUAAAACUGCCAAGGAGUGAUUCUUGCCGGAGUCACAUGGAAGAGUUUUUUGCAAGAAUCGGUGUCCCAAAACACUGCUGAGCAAAAUACAUGAUGUAGAUUCCACACACUUUUGUGUUUGGAUUAAUCAUGUAUUCCAUGGUAUGUAAAACAACCAGAUAUGUAUGAUACUCCCAAGGUGUUGCGAGUAUGGAUACUAAAGUGAUCAAAGUACUGAUCAUGGGACAACAGUGAAAGAUGUCAUUGAGUACUAGAGUAAGUACUGAUGAUAUGUUCUCUUGCAAGCGGAGAUCAUGAAGAGUUUGUUGUAAAAUGUUACAUCGAUACAGUCUUCAUCUUUUCUCCAUGCGAUUUUCUAUUUAAGUUAAGGGUUUUGUGUAAUACACAAUAUGGUGGCACGGUAGUUGGAAAUUGUUCCCAACAGGAUACUGUGGCGAAUUCUAUAACAAAUGACUAAGUAUGUUGACGCUUUAGAAGCGACAAACAAGAUGAUGAAUCAUAUAGUUCAUUCAUGAACUUAGUAUGGUUCCAAGAUGGCUUUUGUCAAUGGGACACUACUGCAGGUAGUUUCUCCAUAACUCAGUCUGAGGAAUCCAGGUUCAACCUGUGAUUCACAUUUAUACAAAUCCAAUUCCGUACAAAAUAUGAAUUUUGUGAAAGCGUGAAAACGCGAGGAUAUGCGGAGAUAGACACGGAGCUGAAGUUGUCAGAUCUGUUGGACAUCAGGCUAUACCACAUGCGAAGUUUUUUUUACACCGGCAUGCCAUAGGUGUAAAGUGCAUUAGCAUUAACUAGAUUAUUGACUCUAGUGCAAGUGGGAGUCUGUAGGAGUUAUGCCCUAGAGGCAAUAAUAAAUGCUAUUAUUUAUCUCCAUGUUCAUAAUUAUGUUUAUGUUCCAUGCUAUAACUGUUGUGGUUUAUCCAUAAAGGCUCUAGGGAAAACCCAUGUGCACGUGUGGAAUAAUAAACGGUAAAAUGUAUUCCUAGUCAUGCCUAUAAGACUACCUCAAGUGUUGCAUGAUGAUUAUGUUUUCCCAAUCAUGGGCAUGUCUAUGCCAGCAACUUUGAGGGCACAAUGUUAAGAGAACAUUUGUGUUGAAUCAACCCGAUUUGAUGUUAUGCUAUGAGAUUCUUUCGUCACAAGUUAAUGGUAAAUAACACAGAGAUGGUUAAAGUUUGCAUGAUUCCUUAGACCAUGAGAGUAUUGAGUUUCUUCAUGCUUGCUUCAUGAACUUUGGGGUUUGUUAAACGUCAUCCGUAAAUGGGUGGCUAUUACGACAGCUUACGGGUUCAUGGAAAAGUAUGUCAAGUAACUUAAUAGCUCAAGAUUGGAAUUUGCUCCUCCAACGAUGGAGAUAUAUUCUCGGGCCCUCCCGGUGUUACCGUAUCCAUCAUCGUCUGGCCAGACACAGUGUGAUUUGAUCACAGGGAUGCCGGAACACAGAAACGAGAAAAGAGAACAAAACCAGUAACGAGGUAACUAGCAUAGUGGACAAGUUGUUGAUCCACGGGGAUGCAAGUAAAUCUCACCUCGAGUCUUUGUAACAUAUCGCGAAGCAACAGGAAUAGCACACGGCAACUGGAGGUUCACUCGAAUAUUCAUUCGUGUGGGUAUAGGGGUCAAUAUGGGUGUCCACGGCUCCGAUGUUGAUCAUUGAUCGGAAGGGGUUCCGGGUCAUGUCUAUACUUCACCGAACCUAUAGGGUCACAUGCUUAAGGGUCAUCUAUCUGUUGAAUACUAGACAGGGAGUCUGAGAGAAAAUCACCGAAAAAAGUUUCGGACACCGGAAAAGUUUCGGAUAGCGGAAAAGGUUCCGCAGAGAGAGGUCAUCGGAUGAGUUUUGGUGAAACUAAAAAGUUGUUUCAGGGGAUACCAUUAAGUCAAAUUGGUUUCGGCACAUGCCUAAUAAUUCUUGGAGGGUGCCAGAAUCAUUCUGGAACUUUCUGGAAUUUUCCGGGAUAAUAACCGGAUAUGCUCCGGAGCUGCGGGAACCACUUGAGAUGUUUUUCGUAGAUGAAAUUCACUUAUCUGAAAUUGUUUUGGAACAAAUCCAAAAUCAUUUUAGUGGGUACUGGAAUUAUUCUAAGACUCACAGAAAUAUUUUCGGAUUUAAUGGACGCGAAAAAUUGUCUUCAUGAAUAGUAAAAACGCAUUCUUGUUUGCUUUGCACAGAUGAAAAUCACUAAACUGAAAUUGUUUCGGAACGCGCUAAAAAUUAUUUUAGUGGGUACUAGAAAUGUUCCGAGCCCACAUAAAUAUUUUCAGUUCGAACGGAUGCUAAAAAAUGUCAUCAUGAAUAGUGAAAGUGCUUUUUGCUUGGCUUCUUGGAGAAGCCACCUUGAGGGCCUUUUGGUAUUAUCCCCUUGGCUUCUUGGAGAAGCCACCCUUGGGCUUGGCCUAUAAAUAGGGGUGGAGGGGGCUGCCUAAAGACACAUCCCUUCUCACAUACAAGUGCCAUGCAAUGAUCUGGCUUCUUCUCUCCCUCCCACGAAAAGAGUUUCGUAGAGCCGUAAGGCUGUCUGGGUUCUGGCAGGAACUAGUUCUGGGCGGCGAAGCCCUGCUGGAUAGAUGACACCGUAUGUGUGCAACUCUAUAGAGAGAUCGUAGUUUCGGUCUUAGUUCUUGAGUGCCUCCCGAAGGGCUGUCCGUGUGAGCGUCUGAGUUUUGAAGGUCCUCCCAAAGGGCUGUCCGAGUGACCGUUCGAGUUUCGAAGGUCCUCCCGAAGGGCUGUCCGUGACACCGUCCGGGGGACUGUUCGACCGCCUCCCGGAGGGCUGUCUGAGGAGCAGAUGAGGGUAUACAUCCUCGCGGUUGGGAGGUUG
rnacentral:lncRNA from 1 species